rnacentral:lncRNA from 1 species
AAUAACAAAUCUCCUUGGAAACGAUCAAACAUACACAGAGAUCUACUCACUUAAUCUGGCUUACAGACUGAGGCCAGAUGGUACACUCAAGCUCAAACAUCUUGUCCCACAUGAUGCCUCUUCACAUUUACAUCUUGUGUGACCAUGUAGUUUUACCUAAAGAAACCAAUAAAAGGAACACCAAUCUCCCCCUUUGGAAAAUUUUGGCUAAAAUAACUUUUUAAAAAAACUAUAAGAUGUGUAAGAGUAAAGCUUCAAAUAGCUCACAAUUUUGAGGAUACAAAAGCAGUACACCACAUAAUACACCAUAUCAGAGCAUACAGAGCAACAACAAAGAACAAAAUCAGAGAGAUUUUAUCAUAGAUCAUACGAGAUGGUUACUAAAAAUAGAAAUCAAAUAAAAAAAAACAUCACACACAUAUGAGAACAUAUUCACACAUCAUCACAACAUCACUACUCCCUAUUUAUUCCACAAUUUGGCAAAGGUUUGGAAAGAACUGAGCAUAACUAAGCCUUAAGCCAAGAUUAGAACAGAGAGCCAUAACUAGAAAAACUAGAAUCAUUGUCAUAGUUUGAAACUAGAGUCACAAUUAAAGGAUUAUUACAGAACCAGUAACACAAAAAAUAUAACAUGCUUAUAUACAAUGGAAAAAAACUAAAUCAAAACAGCAAUAAACAAAUUACAGUCAACAACAUCCAAUCCACAUAUCCAUCCAUAAGACCUCAGUCUUUAGAGCUAUACUCCUCUUCCUCACUUUUAUUUUCUUCUUCUUCCUCACUUUUAACUUCUUCCUCUUCCUUAGCUCUCAUCUCCUUGGUCAUCAUUGUAAUCAAAUUAUCCACAUUUUUUCUUCCUUGUGGUGUUUGUAGUAAUUUUUUUUGAACAAAUUUUGAAUCUUCCAUGAGCUUAAGUAACACAUCCUUUUUGGUAGAUUUGGAUAAUGGAGAAGAGUUCCCCACAGUAGAUUGAUCUUGGCCCUUUGUCACCACAAUGUCUGGAACAUAUGUUCCGACAAUAACUUAUAAUCAAAGGUCAGUGACACUGCCUUUUUGUUUUGAGCUUAUUCAAGAUGCACAACCCCAUGGUGUUGGUUCAAGAUAAUACCAUUUAACAAACAAGGGAAUGUUAUGGGUAUCUUCACAACAAAGGAAUCAACUUGCUUCAUAGUUUUCUUAAACACAUAUUUGGAAGAUAAGUUUGGCCAAAGCAAUGGUUAUACCUGAACUAUGAUUUAUAGGUUCCUAAUUUGUUGCACCAAUCCUAUUCAGAACAUCAUACUUUUCACAAACUUCCUUAUAACAUACACCUUUCUAUACUCCUUGCUUCCUUGAACAUUGCACUUAGUAGAGAUGUUAGCAAUAAAUUCCUUGACUAAAUUUUCAUAGCAAGGACCAAUGUUAGAGACAAUUCUCAUUAAACCAUCAUCUUUCACCAACUCAAUGAUUUCUUUACAUUCAAUAACUUCUUUAACUAUCUCUCUUUCAGCAUCCAUCUUUGAAUACAUAUUUCCACUUUUGAACACUUAUUUCAGAAUGGAAUAAGACAUUAUCCAUGGAAGCAGCGGGUAUAUUCACAAUAAUUCUCUUUUCAACAACCAUUCUUCUUAUAGUGUGUAUAAUGUCUAGGAAAUCUUCUACAACGCAGUAAAAACAGGUUCUUCUUCAGUUUUAGUAACAAACAUAACUAUACUAUUCACUAUAUUAACAAUAGGUUCUUCAUCAAUUUUAGUCUAUUCAUCCACUUCCACCACUUAUUUAUCCUUUUCUUUAGUAUCCAUGUCUUGAGACUUGGUUACAUUCUUAUUGAUUCUCUUUAUUAUGUUGGUAAUAGGAAUGUCAUCAUCCUUAUUAGCUUCCACAUUCUUUUCAUAUUGAACCUCAAACACUACAUUUUGUGGGUCCUCUCCCCUCAACUCUUCAGUAGAAUCAUCUUCUUCAUCCAAGGUAUCAUUCAAAUAGGUAUCAAAUUCAUGUAUAUCAAUAAUUGGUCUAGUAAUGGGUUAAGUAGGAGUUUUAACAGGGGGUUCACAAGAAGGUUUAACAUGUUGUUCCCUAAAUGUCUCAACAUUUGGUUCAACAUGGAAAUCAAUGGUGGUUUUAGCAGUUUCAACAAAAUUCUUAGUGGUAUUAGCUUCAUUUUCCACAUUGUCUUUAUUCACAUAAUCAACAUGCUUAUUAACAUGCACAAUAGUGUCUUUGUCAGAGGAACUUAACUUUUAAGAUGUCUUAUUCUUCUCGAAGUCAGUCUUCUUAGCUCUUGUCCUUGAUACAUCAACAAGCAUAACCAUAUGAAGAGGUACAACAUCGAGUACCACAUCUUGUUCAUAAAGUUUUCUACUUGACUAAUAAGCCUUAGAUGUCUUUGUUGUUGCUUUCUCCCUCAUCUUGACUCCAAGGAUUUUGACCCUAUAUGCAUUAGUAAUAGGUUUGGGUUCAAAGGUCUUAGUUUUUUCAGAUUUCCGGCUCAUUUUCCCUACAAGUUUGAAGGACUUGAGAGAAGGGUAGAUGGAAAUUGUUGUUAGAAUAAUAGAUAGAGGGAUUGAUCUUCAUGCAUGUAAAAGUGGAAUAGUUAUACGUAUAAUUUGAAAUAGGAAGGGUGUGCUUUAUUUCUCAUGCAAUAUGAUCAUAUGAGAGAGAAAAUUUCCUUUAAUUCUUACACGCCUUGCAUUAAUUUCUAUACAUUUUCACACAUGCAAAUACCAAGAGCACCCUUUAGCUUUUCAAACUGAAAAACAUCGAAAGCUUUGUGAAUAUGUCUCCAAGUUGCUUUUUAAUUUCUACAUGCUUAAGGUUUACAAUUUAUCAUUCAUAAGUUCCCUGAUGAAAUGAUGAUGAAUGUCAAUGCGCUUGGUUCGACUGUGUUGAACAUGAUUAUUUGAAAUAUUAAUAACACUUAAAUUGUUGCAGUAUAAUGUCACAACAUCUUGUUCAAUAUUGUAUCCUUCAACAUCUAUUUCAUCCAUAACAAUUGGGUUCAUUUGCUUCCUGCAACAAUGUACUCAACUUUUGUAGUAUAAAGAGAGACAUAAUUUUUCUUCUUGUUCAACCAUGAGAUUAAGUGGUUUCCAAGAAAGAAGCAUCCACCAUAUUUUGUUUUUCAAUCAUCAGCACUUCCAACCCAAUUAGUAUUACAAUACCCUAAUAUUAUUGAGUUAGUAUCAUGAGAAUAAAGAAUACCAUAGUCACAAGUCCCAUUUAUGUAUUUCAUGAUUCUCAUCACUUAAAUGAAAUGACUAACCAUGGGUUUAACUUGUUAUCUAGCACAAACAUCUACAGAAAAUGUGAUGUCAGGUCUACUUGUUGUGAGAUAUAACAUACCACCAAUCAUGCUUAUGUAUAGGCUUUGAUCAAUAUCAAUACCAUUAUCAUCUCUGGAUAAUUUCACAUGUGUUGUAGCAUGGAUUCUCUUAUGAAUUUCCCUUUCAAGGCUAAACUUCUUUAUUAUACUCUUUGUAUACCUGCUUUGAGAAAUAAGGAUGUUAUAUUCCAUUUUAUUUAUUUGUAGACCAAGAAACUAGGUGAGUUCUCCUACAAGACGUGUCUUAAACUCAGAUGGCACUUGAUGAACAAAAUGUUCCACCAUCUUGUCUUACAUUCCACCAAAGAUAAUGUCGUCAAGAUAAAUCUGAGCUAUCAUGAGCUUUCCUUAUUCAUUAUUUACAAAGAGAGUUUUAUCUAUUCCAUAUCUAUUGUAUCCGUUAUUAAUCAGGAAUCUAGUUAAUCUUUCAUACCAAGCUCUUCGAUCUUGCUUUAAUCCAUAAAGAGAUUUCUUCAACUUGUACACAUGAUUUAGAAAGUUAGGAUCAAUAAAUCCCUUUGGUUGCUCUACAUGAACUUCCUCAUUAAGAUACCCAUUUAAGAAUACACUUUUAACAUCCAUUUGGUAUAAUCUGAAUUUAAACAUGCGGGAGACUCUUAGUAAUAAUCUAAUAGACUCAAGGUGAGCAACUGGAGAAAAUGUCUCAUCAAAAUCCACUCCUUAUAUUUGUGUGUACCCUUGAGCCACUAAAUAAGCCUUGUUCCUUGUUACAUUACCAUUUUCAUCAUAUUUAUUCUUGUAAUUCCAUUUGGUACCAAUGAUAUUCACAUCUUCAGGCCUUGGAACUAAUUCCCAAAUUUUGUUUAUUUUGAAUUGACACAGUUCCCUUUACAUAGAAUUUAUCCAGAUUCAUCAGUCAAAGCUUCCUUGAUGUUCUUUGGUUCAAUCUUUAAACUGAAAGAUGAGUUGACAAUCAUAUCUCUAGAUCUGGCGAUAACUCCUUCAUUCAUAUUCCCUAUGAUAUUUUCUUUAGGGUGAUAUUUAUGAAUUCUAGUUGAUGGUCCCUUGUUAGUUUGAGGGUUUUGAGAAUUUAUGCUUCCAGAUUGUAUGUUAGACUCCUUAUGUAGGACAUCUGCUGAGACACGUAUCUGUUGAAAGAAUACAUCAUCUUCAUCUUCAACUUAUUUCUUAUCUUUAAGAUUAUCAUCAAUGAAAACAAUAUUGAUUCCAUCAUUGUCUUGGUACGAGUGUCAUAUACCAUGUAAGCUCUGUUGUUGUUGGAGUAGCCUAGGAAUAUUCCUCCAUCACUCUUGGGAUCCAACUUUCUUCUUUGCUCAUGAUCAGCCAAGAUGUAGAACUUUCUACCAAAUACAUGAAAGUGUUUGACAUUUUGCUUUCUCCCUUUCCAAAGCUCAUAAUGAGUUUCUUUUGUUCCAUAUCUUAUGGUCACGUGAAUGUGAGUGUGAUAGGUUGUGUUCAUGGCUUCACCCCAAAAAUAGUAAGGAAGAUUAUUGGCAUGCAACAUGACUCUAGAUGAAUCUUGCAAGUGUAAGACCCCAAUUUUGAUCCUAAUAUCCCUCAUGCUAUCUUAUCAUAUGCAUGGAAUUGGGAGCACAUCUUGGCAUCCUCCUAACCCCUCAUUCAUUAGGUUUGUAUUGGGAGAGAUAACCAAGCACCAUAUGAUUGUAUCAUACUUUGUAUUUUAUCAUUUUUACUAACUAAAAUACCAAAAAUAUGUCUUUGCAUUUGUCUAACUCUUUUGUAGGUAGGGCACUUGAUCCCCUUUGAUCUAUCAAGUUCACAUCUAGGGUUAAAGACAUUCAAUGCUAAGAGCUCAACCAAGAAAUGAUACACAAUGUCUCUAGGAAUAAUAUAUGAGUCCCCAUGAUCUUUUCAUGUUAUUUUGAUCAAGAAUUCUUCAAGAGUUUGGAUUUUGUUUGCCUUGGAAACCCUAGUUCAUCUAAGUAUCUUGAGUAACUUCUUCAACAAGCUUCUUCACCAAUUGAUCAAAAAUUUCAAGGGAAACUUAAAAUUUCAUGAUAUUAUGCAUAUAUGAUCUCCCAUUAUCCCUAAAAGUCAAGAUAAUUUCAAGUUUGCAAGGAGGUUGAUGGUAGUUGACCAGAGAAAUACAUCUAAUCAAAACUGGGGUCCUUAGACCCUAUCUCCUACAAUUUUCAUCCUAUGAAAAUGAUUCCAAGAUAAACGUUACUCUAAAUGACAUUUCAAACAACUUUCAUGUUGAGGUCUAGAGCUAAUUUUGCUUGGAAAGUCAUUGUUUAUGUUGAAAGAUUAUAUGUCAUUUUGUCAAAACCCUAAUUUAGAGGUCAACUUCCCAAGGCCAUAACUUGCUCAUUUUUUAUGAUAUGAAAUAUUUCCAAGUUUAAAAAUCAAAUUCAGGGUGUCUACUUAAACUUUUAUGUUUGGAGGAAUAGAUAAUUCAACUUUCAUGAGCAUGUGAUAUGAGGAUACAUUAUAGGUCAUUUUGGACCAAUACCAUUGAACAAGUGAUUUUCCUCAACUUCAAAAAUGCAUAACUCAUUCAUCCCAAAUCUAAAUAAGGUCAAAUUUGUGACCAUUUUGAAGGUUUUUGAAAUAGCUACAACUUUGAUGAAUACACUUUUUCAUUUGAAGCACGCAUUAAAAGUUAGCCAAGGUGGAAUAAGUGAGCAUAUGGCUUAACACUUAGAAAAUUUUUUAACAUGUUGAAAUUUCAACUUCCACCUCAAAAUUCAUCAUGAUACAAGCUUCAAAUGAAAAAGUGUUCAACAUAAGAGUUAUUAUUGUUGGUCUCACCUUUCCAAAGAGUGCAAAUUCAUCCAUUUUGGACAAGGUUUGAGUGGUAUGCGCAUGGCUUGAACAUGGCAUCAUCAUUUGGCAAGGAUCAACGUCAAACAGCUGCACACUUUUGCCUUGCAUUCCAAUCCACUUUCAGACCCAAUUACAUGUGAUUAUGGACUUAAUUGAGUAGCUUCAUGGGCUUGUACACGCCCAUGCAAGCAUGUAUCACUGAAUUGAAAAAUUUGGAAACAACUUUGAAGGUGCAAAUAUCACUUUCUUCAGCUAUAAAUAAGAGUCCAUUACAUCAGAAUUAGGGACCCCUUGCGCGCUAGCUUUGCCUCCACACUUUAAACCCUCACAAUUGAAAGGAAAACUUGAGAACUUUAUUUUGAAAAUUGAGUUUGAAUCUCACUGUUUGGAGAUUCAAAACUCUAGGGAUCCAAAGCUUUGUUUCAAUCCUAAGCCACUCCAGCAAGCUUUCUGAGGGAGAUCAAGCAAGAAUUUAAGCAAGAGAGAUCGAGUUCUGCACAACAUUGAAGGUAUUUUCCAGAUUUUUUCUUCUCUUUGAUUCUCUCUCAAUUCUCAUCAAUUCUAUUGAAUCCUUGGUUGUCUGAAGUCCUACCAAUGUAGGCAAGAAGAUUGAGUUUCUUUGAGACCAAAUAGAAGCAACUCAGUUCAUGUACCUCAAAUUUCAACUCCAUGUAUCUCUCAAUAUACUUAGAGUUAGGAUGAAUUGAGGCCAGAUUCGUGAUCAGUUCCAUUUUUACUUUAAAAUCAUGUCCUUCUUUUUCAUUUUUGUGAUGGUGAUGAGAGAACCAAUCUGGCCAAGGUCGUCUGAGAAGACGACCGACGCUUUGCUCCGGUGAUGAGCUGGAUAGGUUCUGAGCCAUAGGAUCAAGCCAUUUUGUUUUAAUCACGAGCGUUCCUUUUGAAUACCAUUGGUGUGGCGCGCCGUAUCGAGUGUAUGAUGGAACGCAUGUUUUGGUCCACUUGAUUUGCCACCUCAAUUAAUGAGGGAGAUCAAGUGGUCCACGUUUUUUCUGAUUAAUUGAUUUUCAUUUUAUUUGUUUUAUUUUCAUUAAUUCAUAUUAAAUUUAAUAUUUAUCCAAAAAAUAUGAGAGUUUCACCAAAAAACUUUAAAUAAAAUCCUCUUUCAUUUUCUGAAUUAAAAUUAUUUUUUGGAUUAUUAUUAAUAUUUUUCAUGAUUUAAUUGAUUUUGUGAAUAUUUUUAAUUGGUUAAAUUUACUUUUAAGUUUCCAAAAAUUAUGAAAAAAUUUCUCCAAGGUCCUUUAACCUUGUUUGACCUAUGAUAAAUCUCAUGGUCAUUUCUUUGGUGUUUUGAUGAGGUUUUAGGAAAUUGACCAACCAUGACUUAAUUUAAUGUAUAUUUUUAUUAUUUUUAAUUGCUUAAACACCAAAUAAAUUAUGUAUAGCCAUUUUAAUUGAUUUUGUUAGUUUGACUUGUGUUGUUAGGCCUUGUCAAGGUUGAUUUAACUUUGCUAGGUUAUGAUCAUUGGAUUUAGGGGAUUGAUGGAAUGUACAUUCCAUCUCCCAAAAUGAAUGAAUGAUCUUAAUUUGGUAAAAGUCCUCCUUUGACCAAUUUGUGUUUAAUCCACCCACCCCCCCUCUUCAUCUCAUUCCCCUUCUUUAUCCAUUCAUGUCAUGGACCUAUGAUAUCUCUAUAUCCAAAGGCUAGUUGAUUGCAAAAUCAACAUAAGUAUGGAUGAGAUUAGAUCCCCCAUUUUGCAUAUUCUUUUUGUGUGUGGCAUGCUUCAUGAGCAUAGUUUAUCAAACUAUGUCUCUAACAUGUAUUAGCACCAAAAUUCUAUUGCCCGACCUCAAAUAGUUAUAACUUCUACAUAAGUCUAAUUACGAUUGCUUAACAUAGCGCUAAAUUUAUGACACAAAAGGCAUAACAUUCUAGUUAGUGAUAUUGUAAGUCUCCCCUCUUUCAUGUUAUUGUGUGGAAACUUGGUCUUUUUUCCUUCCUUUGGAAGAAGUCUUGUUUCGAGGAUCCAUGCUUGUGAUAAGUUGGUUGAGUGUUAUCCAAAGAAUGACUUAAACAAAAACAAAGCAAAAGCAAUACUAACUUCUAAUUAACUAACAACUAACAUUUAAUUUCAAGUCAUUUUUUUAAUGCACCUUAUUUUUUAAGCUUUAUUCAUUUGCCAUUAUUCUUACCAUUCAAGUUGUUUACUUUAAUGUCAUUUUCCCUUUGUCCACUUGGACCAUAUUUUGUGAUAUAUUGUGUUUGUAUAUACUUGUGUGUUUGUGUGGUCUUUUGACCUUAAUGUACAUAAUAAGAGCAAAAACCCUAAAAAACAAUUUGUGUGGACUGUUGGUUUGAUCUGAGACUAUUGGACUUAGAAUUUAGGCAACACUCCCUAUGCAAAGGACUCGGCCAAUGCCAACUUUCAUGAAACCAAGUACUUAUGAAGUGAACUUUCAUCUCAUACAAAAUUGAAGAUCCAUUUGAGUUCAUAUACAACAUGAUCAUUGUGAAGUUGUUAUCUUGAACUUAUGUCUAAUGCCAUCUUUUGAAGUCAUCUGAUAUAUGGGCAAUUUGUGAAGAAGAUCAUGGAGUUGAUAAGCUUGGAUGUGGCUAUCUUUAUUUGAUGUCUUGCUCUCCAACUUGCUAUUGAUAUAUUGUUUGUUAAUUGACUCUAAAGUCCAAGGGAAAUUUGGGUUUCUAUAUGACAUUCUUGUCUAUUGGAUUGCAGCCCAUUGGUCAGAUCUUUUCAACUUUUAACUUUUUAAAUUUGUGCUUAGGAUUAGUCUCCUCAUCUCCUCCCCACUUAUUUAAUUUCAAAAUCUCUUCCCCCUUUCUUAAAAUCUUCUUUGCUUGUGCUUGUUUUCUAAACUUAGACUAUAUUGCAAAUUAGAAACUUUGGCCUUAUGCCAUUGCAUUUUCAACCUUCUUUUCUUAAAUAAACUUGUAAAUAAACUUAAAUAUACUUGACCUAAAAUUUUCAAAAGACAUAAAAAACUAACACUAAUUCAAACCAUUUUAGGCCUCUUGUGCCUUUGUUAAACUUAAAAUUUUGUUAAAAGCAAUGUACUCACUUUGAAAUUGAUACCACGAACUACAAGGUUUUGUUCCUUUAUUUUACGUUGGUACGUAGGCACAAGUCCGAAGGUCUAGUCAAACACAAAAUUAUAAUUAAUGAAUUCUUUUCUCACCCCCACACUCCAUUUUAUUGCAAACAUCAUUUGUACAAAAACACUUAUGCACACAAAAAUGGGCUCCCUAGGGGUACCUAAGACACUUUAGGUGUUAACAUCUUCCCUCUGUGUAACCAACCCCUAUACCUGUAAUCUCUGACAUUUUAUUAGUUUUGAUUUCAUAACUUCUUAUCUUUGGGUUUUGUUCGUACUUUUCCCUUUUCCCUUGGAAACAAUAAAAGCGCGGUGGCAACUCUGGUUUAAUUGGCGUCUAGCUUAUCCAUAGCUUGAUGGUCAUGAAUUUACCGCUACAAAAACUAAGUGGCGACUCUGCUGGGGAGUAGUCUCCAGUGGGUUUAGCCUACUUUUUUGUGUGUAUAUAACUGUAUAUUUGAUGUAUGUAUAUUUGCUUGUAUGAUAUAAUCUGCUUGUUGUGCUUGGUGAUCUCUGAGUGGUGAGAUAAGUUCUAACCCGAACUUAAGUGCAAUUAAGAUAGGAGGAUGGUAUAGUCAUGUUCGUCUUGUGUGGAGUAGUCCUUAACAAGUUGGCUUGAGACCCAUCUACUCAGUGGAGACCCUUUUGGAGUUAUGAAUGUCACACAAGUUAUUUGUGGUUAGGCAUUACUAUCUCUGAUUUGGGGUCCGAGAAGCAUAGUCCUUAACAAGUUGGCUUGAGACCCAUCUACUCAGUGGAGACCCUUUUGGAGUUAUGAAUGUCACACAAGUUAUUUGUGGUUAGGCAUUACUAUCUCUGAUUUGGGGUCCGAGAAGCUGAGGACCGUAGAAAAUUUAACCCCUCUUGGCCUAAUUAGGACGUAGUGCAGAGACUGUUUAAGUGUAGACUUGAUCACAGUUGUUACGCGAUGCUACACUCAGACGAGUUUCUCUUGAGAAUAUUAUGGGUUGAUGAGUCAUUCUUUCUAACCUAUAAUAUAUGAUAGAUGGAAUUAAGACUCUGGGAACUUUUUAGAACAUGAUCUACAGGUUUUUAUCCUUAGUUCACUCCCUUGGGAUGGUUCUUACCCAGACUCCAUGCUCGUGACUCACAAUAAACCCUUGAUUCUUGGUUGAUCCAAUCCAGUCUUGUCAAUAUCAAUGGAACUUGGGUGUUGAUAAGGUGUAAACCACAAUCCACCAAAAUGGAUGAUUGAUCUUGACAAUGACUUGAUUCAUCCCUUGACCUUUGUUUGUUUGCCUUAUGUGUGAUCCCUUGUUUGUGAUUGUUUCAUUCAUGCAUUCAUGUUCAUCAUAACAUUCAUCACACGGAAAUGUCAAGGAACUGAGGUAUUAUUUGCAAAUAUUUUCAAACCAUGGAUUGUGGACGAAGGAACACUAAGAAGUACAGUUUCAGGUCCCCAUAUUUGAAAGAGUUAAGGAAGCUUGUAUCUUUUGUAUUAUAUCCCUUGGACUUCAAGCAACAUCAUCGGAAGCUUCUGUCUAUUCUAUCUGCUGAUGUGGUUGAAGGACUCUUGAGUGUGUUGGUUCAGUUCUAUGACCCUCUCUACCGUUGCUUCACUUUUCCUGAUUAUCAGCUCGUACCUAUGUUGGAGGAGUAUGCCCGUCUCUUGGGAAUACAUGUUUCUAGAAAAGUGCCUUUUAGUGGAUUGGAAGAGAUUCCCAGAUCUCAUCUUAUUGCUGAAGCCCUUCACUUGAAAAAGUCUGAGAUAGAGGCUCAUUGGGUGAAGAAAGGAGGAUUGUUUGGGUUGACUUAUGAGUUCCUCAUCAAGGAAGCUACUGCUUUUGCUUAAGCUGGUAGUGUGCAUGCUUUUGAAGCCAUCUUUGUAUUGCUCAUCUAUGGGUUGGCUUUGUUCCCCAACAUUGACGGUUUUGUUGAUGUUAACGCCAUUAGAAUUUUCUUGAUUGCGAAUCCUGUGCCUACUUUGUUAGGAGAUAUGUACUUCUCUUUGCAUCUAAGGAAUUCUAAAGGUGGUGUAACUAUUGUGUAUUGUGUUCCUCUUCUGUACAAGUGGUUUAUUUCGCACUUGCCUCAAACACCUGCUUUUAUGGAGAACAAACAAUGUCUACGGUGGUCUCAGAGACUUAUGCCUCUCAUUAAUGAUGAUAUAGUUUGGUAUGAUCCUUCAUUGAGCAGUUUGGAUAUUAUUGAUUGUUGUGGUGAAUUCUCUAAUGUGCCUCUCAUUGGUACACAGGGAGGAAUUAACUACAACCCUGCUUUGGCUCGUCGUCAACUUGGGUUCCCCUUGAGAGACAAACCUAAUAAUAUUUUGUUAGAAGGUAUUUUCUGUCAAGAGGGUAAAGAUCCCCAACAUUUGAAGCAGAAGAUUGUGAAUGCUUGGCAUAAUGUGCAUAGGAAAGGAAUAUUUGAGCUUGGUCCGCACAAUUGCGUAGCUUUGGAAGCUUACACUUUUUGGGCGAAGAAGAGAGCUUUGGAGUUGAAGAUGCCUUAUGCUUGCGAAAUACCUAUGUCUAUGGUUAUGGAUGAGCCAUUAACUCUCCCUAACCAAGAUGUAGAGGAGUUGGAAGACGCGCUCGCCAAGAUGAAGCAAGAGAAGGAUACAUGGGAAGAGCGUUUUCAUGCUUUGAGUAUAAAGCAUGAGGAGUUGCAACUUGAGUCUAAGGACAAAGAUGCACUUAUUGAGCUACUUGAAGACCGAGUAAGAAAGAGACAGAGAGAGCUAGAGGUUUCAUCUUCCUCUAGUAUGCCUCAGCCUCCCGUUGAUUGGAAGAGGAUUGUUGACCAGCUUGUCCUCGAGAAGACUCGGAUGAAGGCUUCUUUUGAGACCGAGAUCCAACGCAUCCGAAGGAAGUACGUGCCUGUAGCCAGAUCUUCUGAUGUUGUUAGGGAUCCUUAGGAUGACUAGUCUCCUUUUCUCUUGUAUUUUGUAUUUUUGGUUUCUGGAAUUGUACUUGGUGUAAUCCUUCCAAUUAUAUAAAUAAAAAAUAUUUUUAUGGUCAUAUCAAAUUAUUGCAAUUACUGUUAAAUAUAUAUAUUUGCAAAUAAAAUAGUAAGUUCCUUGAAAAUAAAAACAAUCAAGCAUUGCAUUUCAUGCAUCAUUUGCAUAAGCAGGUUUAUCUUUCGCCAGAUGUCUUAUUGGUAUUUCUUCUGUGCUUCAGCCAAGCUGACUCAUCGAUACAAAACCCACGCCAAUCACUCAAAGAUUAUGGAGCAUCUAGAAGAAGAGAACGAAGACUUGAAGGAUGAGAUCGCCCGUCUGACUACCAUGAUGGAGUCAGUGCUAGCCGCUCAGAGCCAAUCUUCUCCAACACCUACAACUCCUCCUCCUCAGAGGACUGUUAUUUCCGAGGUUGCUACCUCUACCUUUGAGGACCGCGCGCCAAACGUAAAAGCUUACCCACUACCUGCCCAUGGAAGUUCAUCUGUUAAUAUGGUGGACGGUUGUCCUGGCGAGUUCAAGGUAUUUGAUGUACGCUUCAUUAGAAGGUCCUUGGUGAGGAUGCACAAGGAUAUUUGCUAGGUUAGCGAUUUUGAGCAUGAUCAUGAUGGUUGUGCUAUUUGCAGUGUCAAUCCCAAAGGUUGUAUGGUUGUGAAUAGAGACAUCCAGAGGUUGAUGGAUGAAGGUUUGAUUCAGAUUGUUCAGUCCCGUCAUGUAGAUGACGAUGUCAACGUUAUAGUCCCGGUUUUUAAAACUCCUGAGAGAAUGGUGAUUCAGUACGACAACAGCAAUAGUAACAACGUCAACAACAGAUCAAUAUCGUCGUUGGUUAUACAGUUAGUGGGCCCCAUCCCAUAUGCAUCCGAUAAGGCUGUCCCAUAUCAGUAUAAUUCUACCAUGUUAGAGAAUGGUCAAGAGGUUCCUUUGCCUAUGACCAGUUCCGUUGUAAGUAUAGCUGAUGUUACUAAGGUGACUCGUAACGGUCGUGUCUUUGGGCCAGUGUUCCCAAAGAAUGUGGAAGAUUUGUCUGUUAGCAAGAAGGUUGAUGUACCAGUAGUAGAGUCUGUUAGCGUUCUAAGGUGUUAGUCUGGUGAAUCCAUCGACUUGAAGCCUAACGUUGAUGAUGAGGUGCUUAGAUUGACCAAGAAGAGUGAGUUCAAUGUGGUGGAGCAGUUGCUCCAAACUCCCUCCAAGAUUUCAGUAUUGUCUCUAUUAAUGAAUUCAGAAGCGCACAGAGAAGCACUGCCGAAAGUUCUAGAGCAAGCUUACAUGGAACAUGAUGUUAUGGUGGAUCAGUUCGAUCAUAUUGUGGCAAACAUAACUUCCUGCAAUAAUCUCAGUUUCUGUGAUGAAGAACUCCCUGAGGAGAGUAGAAAUCAUAACUUGGCUCUACUCAUUUCGAUGAAUUGCAAGGUGGACGCUCUGUCAAAUGUGUUGGUAGACACCCGGGUCUUCAUUGAAUGUACUUACGAAGUCAACUUUGUCUAGGCUGACAUACCAAGGAGCUCUUAUGAGAUAUAGCAGCGUGAUCAUCAAGGCAUUUGAUGGCUCUCGUAAAACUAUGAUCGGCGAAGUGGACCUUCCAGUAAAGAUAGGUCCGAGUGAUUUCCAAAUUACUUUCCAAGUAAUGGAUAUCCAUCCGGCCUAUAGCUUCUUGUUGGGAAGGCCAUGGAUUCAUGAGGCAGGAGUUGUUACUCCAACGUUGCAUCAGAAGCUGACAUUUGUUAAAAGUGGAAAACUUGUCAUUGUUGGAGGGGAGAAGGCGUUGUUGGUCAGCCACCUGUCAUAUUUCUCUUAUGUAGAAGCUGAGGAUGAGGUUGGAACUCCGUUCCAAGCCUUAUCUAUUGCUAGAGAAAAGAGAGUUGGGGCACCCAUGUCAUUAUUCAAAGAUGCAAAGAAAAUUAUUGAAGAGGGUCAGUCUGAUCAUUGGGGACAGAUGGUAGAGGUCUCCGACAACAAGAGCAGAGCCGGUUUGGGUUUCCAACAAGGUUCAUUUGUGGUUAGAUCUGAAGAUGCGCAACCCAAUUUCUGUAGAGGAGGGUUCAUUCGUGGUAAUGAACAACACUUAGUUGUGGUGCUAGAGGGUGAUGAAGAUGAAGACUACCCAAUUUUGUGAUGCAUGGAAAAGCUUGCAACAAUUGGACUGCUGUUGAUAUUCCUGUUAUUAUGCAUCGAUCUAAGUAAUUGCUUUUAUUUGUUUUUUGAAAAUCCUUCUCAUAUGCCUAAGGGAGAAGUGAACAUUGUUUGGGCAUUUUCAAACUUGGUCAUCAAUAAAAUAUAAUUCUAUUCAUCCACAUCUAUGAUGUUUUAUUUUUACUUUUUGCUUUAUUCUGAAAAUGGUAAUCACAAAAAAAAUAUAUAAAUAAAUAACAUAAUUGUCCAUCGGCAUAAUAUUUGGUCACAAUUCACUUCUCUAAAAUCAAAUAUCAAACUAUUAUGCAGGUUGGUUUCUAACCCCAUCGAAUACAAUGAUCCUUCUCCUUGUCCAAAUUUUGAAUUCCCUGUGUUUGAGGCUGAGGAGGAAAGUGAUGAAGAAGUAGGUGAUGAAUUGUCUCAUCUUCUUGAGGACGAGGGAAAAGCCAUUCAGCCAUUCAAAGAUUAAAUUGGGUUAGUCAACUUGGGUUCCGAGGAUGAUGUGAAGGAAGUCAAGAUUGGGUCUCAACUGUGUCCAGAAGUGAAGAAGGGAUUGAUUGAUAUUCUCCGAGAGUAUUCAGACGUGUUUGCUUGGUCCUAUCAAGACAUGCCUGGGUUAGAUUCUGAGAUUGUGGAGCAUAGAUUGCCGUUGAAGCCAGAAUGCCCGCCAGUUAAACAAAAGUUGAGGAGAACUCAUCUUGAUGUGGCAGUAAAGAUCAAAGAAGAAGUGCAGAAGCAGAUUGACGUUGGUUUCCUUGUUACUGCUGAGUAUUCGCAGUGGGUGGCCAAUAUUGUGCCUGUUCCGAAGAAAGAUGGAAAAGUCUGCAUGUGUGUUGAUUAUAGAGAUUUGAAUAAAGCUAGCCCGAAAUAUGAUUUUCCUCUGCCACACAUUGAUGUAUUGGUGGAUAAUACAACUAAAUUCAAAGUCUUUUCGUUUAUGGACGGAUUUUCUGGAUAUAAUAAGAUCAAGAUGGCACCCGAAGAUAUGGAGAAGACCACAUUCAUUACACCUUGGGGAACAUUCUGUUAUAGAGUGAUGCCUUUCGGUUUAAAAAACGUUGGUGCAACUUACCAAAGACCAAUGACUACUUUUUUUCAUGAUAUGAUGCAUAAAGAGAUCGAAGUCUAUGUUGAUGAUAUGAUUGCCAAAUCCAUUGAUGAAGAAGAACAUGUUGAGCACUUGUUAAAGCUAUUCCAGCAUUUGAGGAAGUAUAAACUCCACUUGAAUCCCAAUAAGUGUACUUUUGGUGUUCGUUCUGGUAAGUUGUUGGGCUUUAUUGUCAGCGAGAAGGGUAUUGAAGUUGAUCCUGUCAAGGUCAAAGCAAUGCAAGAGAUGCAUGCGCCCAAAACUGAGAAGCAAGUCAUAGGUUUUCUCGGCCGCUUGAAUUAUAUCUCAAGAUUCAUUUCACACAUGACUGCCACAUGUGAGCCUAUAUUCAAGCUCCUUCGGAAAGAUCAGUCUUGUGAUUGCACCGAAGACUGCCAAAAAGCUUUUGACAGUAUCAAGGAGUAUCUGCUUGAGCCUCCGAUUCUGUCUCCUCCGGCUGAAGGAACACCAUUGAUCAUGUAUUUGACUGUGCCUGAAGAUAGUAUGGGUUGUGUUCUAGGUCAGCAAGACAAGACUGGAAAGAAAGAAUAUGCUAUUUACUACCUCAGUAAGAAGUUCACCGAUUGUGAGACUCGGUAUUCUGUGCUAGAGAAGACUUAUUGCGCAUUGGCUUGGGCUGCUAAGCGUCUGCGUCAAUAUAUGUUGAAUCAUACCACUUGGUUGAUAUCCAAAAUGGAUCCAAUCAAGUAUAUUUUUGAGAAGCCUGCUUUAACUAGGAGGAUUUCCCAUUGGCAGAUGUUGUUAUCAGAGUAUGAUAUUGAAUAUCGAUCUCAGAAAGCGAUCAAAGGUAGUGUCUUGGCUGACCAUCUGGCUCACCAACCAAUUGAAGAUUACCAGUCAGUGCAGUAUGAUUUUCCUGAUGAAGAGAUCUUGUACUUGAAAAUGAUAGACUGUGAUGAACCAUUGCUUGAAGAAGGGCCAGAGCCUGGUUCCCGUUGGGGAAUGGUAUUUGAUGGAGUUGUUAAUCAGUAUGGUAAUGGCAUUGGGGCAGUAAUUAUUACUCCUCAAGGCACUAUUUUCCAUUCACAGCUAGAUUAAAUUUCAAGUGUACAAAUAAUAUGGAAGAGUAUGAAGCUUGCAUUAUGGGGCUUGAAGAGGCCAUUGAUCUCAGAAUCAAGUAUUUGGACGUCUACGAAGAUUCAACUUUGGUUGUGAAUCAGAUCAAAGGUGAAUGGGAGACGAAUCAACCCGGUUUGAUACCAUAUAGAGACUAUGUGAGGAGGAUUUCAACUUACAUUACAAAGGUUGAGUUUCAUCAUAUCCCUCGAGAUGAAAAUUGGAUGGCAAAUGCUCUUGCAACGUUGGCUUCAAUGAUUGUAGUGAAAUAUUGGAAUGAAGUUCCUAACUUGACUGUGAUGCGUCUUGAUAGGCCAACUCAUGUGUUUGUUGUAGAAGAAGCCAAAGAUGAGAAGUCGUGGUAUUUUGACAUCAAGUGCUUCCUCCAAAGUCAAAUUUACCCACCUGGGGCAUCUCUGAAGGAUAAGAAGACUUUGAGAAGAUUAUCCGACAACUUCUACCUGAAUGGUGAUGUGCUUUACAAGAGAAACUUCAAUAUGGUUUUUCUCAGAUGCGUGGAUAGACACAAAGCAGACUUAUUUUUGAUGACUGAAGUCCAUGAAGGUUCCUUUGGUACUCAUUCAAUGGACACACAAGGGCGAAGAAGAUGUUGCGAGAAGGUUACUAUUGGCUGACAAUGGGAUCUGACUGUUGCAUGUUUGUGAAGAAAAGCCACAAGUGUCAAAUCUAUGCAGAUAAGAUUCAUGUUCCUCCAAAACUGUUGAACGUCAUUUCCUCCCCAUGGCCCUUCUCCAUGUGGGGAAUUGACAUGAUUGGCAUGAUUGAGCCCAAAGCUUCAAACAAACAUCAUUUCAUUUUGGUGGCUAUUGACUACUUCACAAAAUGGGUUGAAGCGGCAUCGUAUGCAAAUGUAACCAAGCAAUUUGUUGUGAGGUUUAUAAAGAAUCAGAUCAUAUGCCGUUAUGGUGUGCCAAAUAAGAUCAUUACUCAUAAUGGAUCAAACUUGAAUAACAAUAUGGUGGAAGCUCUUUGCAAAGACUUCAAGAUUGCACACCAUAAUUCUUCUCCCUACAUACCUAAGAUGAAUGGGGUUGUUGAAUCUGCAAAUAAGGACAUCAAGAAGAUCAUUCAGAAGAUGGUUGUAAUGUAUAAAGAUCGGCAUGAGAUGCUCCCAUUUGAUUUGCACGGGUAUCGUACAUCCAUCCGCACUUCAACAUGGGCAACCCCCUUCUCACUUGUUUAUGGUAUGAGAUCACAUCUUUCAUACCAUAGAGGUUGAGAUCCCAUCAUUACGUAUGCUCAUGGAAGCCAAGUUGAUUGAGGAUGAAUGGUGUCAGACAAGGUAUGAUCAGCUGAAUUUGAUUGAAGAGAAGAGGUUGACUGCCAUGUGUCAUGGUCAGUUAUACCAACAGAGGAUGAAGAAAGCUUUUGACAAGAAGGUCAAACCUCGUGUGUUUAGAGAAGGUGAUCUUGUGCUCAAGAAGAUUUUAUCUUUCAAACCAGAUUCUAGGGGCAAAUGGACUCCUAAUUAUGAAGGCCCAUAUGUUGUUAAGAGAGCCUUUUCAGGCGGUGCUUUGAUUCUUAAUGUGCUCAAGAAGAUUUUAUCUUUCAAACCAGAUUCUAGGGGCAAAUGGACUCCUAAUUAUGAAGGCCCAUAUGUUGUUAAGAGAGCCUUUUCAGGCGGUGCUUUGAUUCUUACAACUAUGGAUGGUAAAGAGUUUACUUGUCCUGUGAACACAGAUGCAGUCAAGAAAUACUUCGCCUAAAAAAAGAAAAGAACAGCUCGCUAAGUUGAAAACCCAAAAGGGCGGCUUAAGCAAAAAUGAGUGUCUCGGUGGAUUGAAAACCCGAAAGGACGGUCCAGGCAAAAGUUAGAGACAUAAAACAGAAAGAGUUAUCCCAAUAAAUUGAGUACCCCACCUUGGGGAAAUUUAUGCAAAAAUUAGGGAUUAUGGCAAGUAACUGCAUCCUGCUGAUCUUCAGUUCUGAAGACUUUCUUGAGCACAUCGUCGGAUUCUAAUCCCCAGUGGCAGCCAAGAGCAUAGUGGAUAUCAAGAGAUGGUAGAAGGAUUAGUGAUCGUUGUAUUCAAUGUAGCCCCUUUUCAUAUAAAUUACCAUUUUUAAUUUUUGUAAAGAUCUAUAGAGUCCUGCCAUUUACAGACUACCAUUCUAUUUAAAUAAAGUUGAGCUUUUAUCCAAUUGUUUCUACUCGUAUUUAAUUCAGCCAAAUAGUUUUAAAUUUUAUUAUGAUCAUUUUGAAAAUUAAAAUUUUAAUCAAAAAGCAUAUUUUCUUAAACAUAUGAAAGCAUUAAAUCUAAGUAAUCGAUUUCAUUUAAAAGGAAUAUCAAUAAUGGUUUGAAAGGAAUAAUCCCUAAGCAUGGAGCAUUAUUGGUUCUCCCUAAAGCAGUAGGUGCGUUUCCUCUUUCAUCCCUGGCAAUGUGUUUAGCACCCGGUGUCUGUUGAUUUCCCCAGUUGUUAAUCCGCCGUUGUCUCUAGCUGGUUUAUGGUUGUUCCCCAGCUAAGUGAGGGCAUUUCGUUGCGGCAGUUUGCAUCAGUUUCGAUAGAACUUUGGUUUCCCCGCAAGUCGCCAUCAAGUUCAUUCCCAAUCAGAGUUUUCUCAUGGUUUCUGAGCAGCUAUUUGUGUUUAUCCCCUGCGGGGUUGUCUCCCAUUUGAUAUGGUGUUGACCUAAAAUUCCCCGCUGAGUUAGUAGCGGUUUCCUCAGCAGAUAUCCUAUCUUCUUCCCCAGCUAGGGUCGAGCCUUUUAGAUGUUGAUCUCUCUUUUCUCCAGCAGUUUAUUUCCCUCUUUUGUGGAUUGGCCGAGAAUUGUAUCGAUGAUUCAAAUUUGCGACAUUUUUCUAUCCUUUGCGAUUGUUUUCAUCAUAAUCAUCAUAUACACACACACAUAAUCAUCAUAUAUAUAUAUAUACACACACACACAUAUACAUAUACACUCAUAUAACCUCAUUAUUGCAUCAUUACACCAAUUGAUUCAUUUUUGAGAUUCUUAUCCCCUGAUAUGGUGACACUUUAUCCCCAUUCAGGGUCGGCGCGUCUGUCCUCCUUCAAUUAUAGAGUGUCAGCCCCCCUUUAGCAGAAAGACUUUAACCUUUCUCCUUUCCCCACUGAGUUAUUUCCUCGUGGAUGAUUAUUAUUUCAGCUUCCUCUCCAGUUGAUUAUCUGGAUGGAACCACUCCCCUUGAGUUAUUUACGUUUCCCUAGGAUGUAUAUCCUUGAUAUGAUCAUCCUAACCGAUGACAGAUACUUUUUCCCCCUGCUUUGAGUUUAUCCUUGAUAUGUUCAUCCUAACCGAUGACAAAUAUCCUCUUUUUGGUAUUCUACCCAGUAAAAAGGUAGUCGUAAUCCCUAUUUGUUUCUCAGAGAGUUAAUCCUUGAUAUGUUCAUCAUAACCGAUGACAGGUUUCCUUCUCUUUGCGGUCUUCUUCCCAGUAACCGGUAGUUGUAAAUCCUGCUUUUUCUCCCCUUGAAGAGUUUAUCCUUGAUAUGUUCAUCCUAACCAGUGACGGAUAUUCUUUUUUUUUUGGUAUUCUAUCCUGUAACUGAUAGAUGUGAUCCCUAUUCUUCCCCUCGGAGUCUAUCCUUGAUAUGUUCAUCCUAACCGGUGACAGAUAUUCUCUUUGAUGGUAUUCUAUCCAGCAUUCGAUAGAUGUAAUUCAUACUCUUGAUGUUCAAGUGGUUUAUGCUUGAUAUGUUCAUCCUAACCGAUGACAGGUAUCCUCUUUGACAUCCUCAGGCAAGUCUAUCCUUUAUAUGUUCAUCUUAACCGAUGACGGAGCCCCUCGUGUCCGCCCAACAGUUUUUAAGUCGUAGCCUCGCCUACGCAUAACCUUUUAUUCCCCCCAGAGUCUCUGUUCCCCAGUGAGUUUUCCUUACGGAAUUCAUUACGCUCUUGUGAACUUUUAGGCUCUCUGAAUUCUUUUCCUUUGUGGCAAUAUUUCCCCAAGGAGAGUUUAGUUUAGCAUUCAUAUCAUAUGCAUCAUGAGGUCUCUUAGGGACCAAAAUUUGUUUCUAUACGUUGUUAUUUAAGUCCAUUCUACUGAGUCGAUACAAAGAUUUUAACCUUCAUCUCCUCAGCUAGAACGUCCUUAAAUAGGGGCAGCUGUAAGACCCCAAUCUUGACCCUAAGAUCCCUCAUGCUAUCUUAUCAUAUGCAUUGGCAUUGCGAUCACAUCUUGGCAUCCUCCUUACCCCUCAUUCAUUAGGUUUGUAUUGGGAGAGAUCACCAAGCACCAUAUUAUUGUAUCAUACUUUGUAUUUUAUCAUUUUUACUAACUAAAAUACCAAAAAUAUGCCUUUGAAUUUGUCUAACUCUUUUGUAGAUAGGGCACUUGAUCCCCUUUGUUCUAUCAAGUUCACAUCUAGGGUUUAAGACCCUCAUUGCUAAGAGCUCAACUAAGAAAUGAUCCACAAUGGCUCUAGGCAUCAUAUAUGAGUCCCCAUGAUCUUUUCAUGUUAUUUUGAUCAAGAAUUCUUCAAGAGUUUGGAUUUGGUUUGAAUUUGGUUUGCCUUGGAAACCCUAGUUCAUCUGGGUAUCUUGAGUAACUUCUUCAACAAGCUUCUUCACCACUUGAUCAAAUAUUUCAAGGUACAUUUCAAAUUUCAUCAUCUUAUGCAUAUAUGAUAUCCCAUGAGCCCCAAAAGUCAAGAGAAUUGCAAGUUUGCAAGGUGGUUGAUGGUAGUUGACUAGAGGAAUUCAUAUGAUCAAAACUCGGGUCCCCUAGAACCUAUCUCCUACAAUUUGCAUCAUAUGAAAAUUAUUACAAGAGAAAAGUUACUCCAAUUGACAUUCCAAACAACUUUCAUAUUUAGGUCUAGAGCUAAUUUUUCUUGGAAAGUCAUUUUUUAUGUUGAAAGGUUAUAGGUCAUUUUGUUUAAACCCUAAUUUGGAGGUCAACUUCCCAAGGCCAUAACUUCCUCAUUUUUUAUGAGAUGAAAGAUUCCAUGGUUGAAAAAUUAAAUUCAAGGUGUCUAAUUCAACUUUAAUGUUUGUAGGAAGAGAUAAUUCAACUUUUAUGAGCAUGUGAUAUAAGGAUACAUUAUAGGUCAUUUUGGACCAAUACCAUUGAACAAGUGAUUUUCCUCAAUUUCAAAAAUGCAUAACUCAUUCAUCCCAAAUCCAAGUAAGGUCAAAUAUGUGACCAUUUUCAAUGUUUUUGAAAUAUCUACAACUUUUAUGAAGACAUGUUUCUCAUUUGAAGCUUACAUAAAAAGUUAGCCAAGGUGGAAUAAGUGAACAUAUGGCUUAACACUUAGAAAAUUUUUUGACAUGUUGAAAUUUCCAAACUUCCACCUCAAAAUUCAUGAUGAUACAAGCUUCAAAUGAAAAAGUAUUUAACGCAAGAGUUGUUCCUCUUGGUCUCACCUUUUCAAAGAGUCCAAAUGCAUCCAUUUUGGACAAGGUUUGAGUGGUAUGCGCAUGGCUUGAACAUGGCAUCAUCAUUUGGCAAGGAUCAACUUCAAACAACUGUACACUUUUGCCUUGCAUUCCAAUCCACUUUCAGACUCAAUUACAUGUGAUUAUGGACUUAAUUGAGUAGCUUCAUGGGCCUGUACACGCCCAUGCAAGCAUGCAUCACUCAAUUGCCAAAUAUGGAAACAACUUUGAAGGUGCAAAUAUCACUUGCUUCAGCAAUAAAUAAGAGUCCCUUGCAUCGGAAUUAGGGACCCCUUGUGCGCUAGCUUUGCCUCCACACUUCAAACCCUCACUAUUGAAAGGAAACCUGAGAAUUUUCUUUUGAAAAUUGAUUUUGAAUCUCACUGUUUGGAGAUUCAAAACUCCAGGGAUCCAAAGCUUUGUUUCAUUCCUAAGCCACUCUUGCAAGCUUUCUGAGGGAGAUCUAACAAGAAUAUCGAGUUCUGCACAACACUGAAGGUAUUUUCAUGAUUUUUUCUUCUCUUCGUUUCUCUCUCAAUUCUCAUCAAUUCUCUUGGAUCCUUGGUUGUCUGAAGUCCUACCAAUAUAGGCAAGAAGAUUGAGUUGCUUUGAGGCCAAAUCGAAGCAACUCAGUUCAUGUACCUCAAAUUUCAACUCCAUCUAUCUCUCAAUAUACUUGGAGUUAGGAUGAAUUGAGGCCAGAUUCGUGAUCAGUUCCAUUUUUACUUUAAAAUCAUGUCCUUCUUUUUCAUUUUUGUGAUGGUGAUGAGAGAACCAGUCUGGCCAAGGUCGCCUGAGAAGACGACCGACGCUUUGCUCCGGUGAUGAGCUGGAUAGGUUCUGAGCCAUAGGAUCAAGCCAUUUUAUUUUAAUCAUGAGCGUUCCUUUUGAAUACCAUUGUGUGGCGCACUGACUCGAGUGUAUGAUGGAAUGCGUGGUUUGGUCCACUUGAUCUUCCACCUCAAUUAAUGAGGGAGAUCAAGUGGUCCACGUUAUUUCUUAUUAAUUGAUUUUCAUUUUAUUUGUUUUAUUUUCAUUAAUUCAUAUUAAAUUUAAUAUUGAUCCAAAAAAUAUGAGAGUUUCACCAAAACAAUUUAAAUAAAAUCCUCUUUCAUUUUCUGAAUUAAAAUUAUUUUUUGGAUCAUUAUUAAUAUGUUUCAUGAUUUAAUUGAUUUUGUGAAUAUUUUUAAUUUUUUAAAAAUACUUUUAAGUUUCCAAAAUAUAUAAAAAAUUUCUCCAAGGUCCUUUGACCUUGUUUGACCUAAGAUAAAUCUCAUGGCCAUUUCUUUGGUGUUUUGAUGAGGUUUUAGGAAAUUGACCAACCAUAAUUUAAUUUAAUGUAUAAUUUUAUUAUUUUUAAUUGCUUAAAUGCCAAAUAAAUUAUGUAGAGCCAUUUUAAUUGAUUUUGUGAGUUUGACUUCUGUUGUUGGGCCUUGGUAAAGGUUGAUUUGACUUUGCUAUGUUAAGAUCAUUGGAUUUAGAGGAUUGAUGGAAUGUACAUUCCAUCUCCCAAAAUGAAUGAAUGGUCGUAAUUUGGUAAAAGUCCUCCUUUGACCAAUUUGUGUUUAAUCCAUUCCCCAUCCCUCUUCAUCUCAUUCCCAUUCUUUAUCCAUUCAUGUCAUGGACCUAUGAUAUCUCUAUAUCCUAAGGCUAGUUGAUUGCAAAAUCAACAUAAGUAUGGGUGAGAUUAGAUCCCCCAUUUUGCAUAUUAUUUUUAUGCGUGGCAUGUCUCAUGAGCAUAGUUUAUCAUACUAUGUCUCUAACAUGUAUUAGCACCAAAAUUUUAUUGCCCGACCUCAAAUAGUUAUGACUUCUACAUAAGUCCAAUUACGAUUGCUUAACAUAGCACUAAAUUUGUGACACAAAGCGCAUAGCAUUCUAGUUAGUGAGAUUGUAAGUCUUCCUUCUUUCAUGGUAUUGUGUGGAAACUUGGCCUUUUUCCCUUCCUUUGGAAGAUGUCUUGGUUCGAGGAUCCAUGCUUGUGAUAAGUUGGUUGAGUGUUAUCCAAAGAAUGACUUAAAUAAAAACAAAGCAAUAUCAAUACUAACUUCUAAUCAACUAACAACUAAAAUUUAAUUUCAAUUCAUUUAUUUUUAAUGCACCUUAUUUUUUAAGCUUUAUUCACUUUCCAUUAUUCAUACCAUUCAAGUUGUUUACUUUAAUGUCAUUUUCCCUUUGUCCACUUGGACCAUAUUUUAUGAUAUAUUGUGUUUGUAUAUACUUGUGUGUUUGUGUGGUCUUUUGACCUUAAUGUACAUAAUAAGAACAAAAACCCUAAAAAACACUUUGUAUAGACUGUUGGUUUGAUCUGAGACUAUUGGACUUAGAAUUUAGGCAACACUCCUUAUGCAGAGGACUUGGUCAAUGCCAACUUUCAUGAAACCAAGUACUUGUGAAGUGAACUUUCAUCUGAUACAAAAUUGAAGAUCCAUUUGAGUUCAUCUACAACAUGAUCAUUAUGAAGCUGUUAUCUUGAACUUAUGUCUAAUGCCAUGUUUUGAAGUCAUCUGAUAUAUGGGCAAUUUUUGAAGAAGAUCAUGGAGUUGAUAAGCUUGGAUGUGGCUAUCUUUAUUUGAUGCCUUGCUCUCCAACUUGCUAGUGGUAUAUUAUUUGUUGCUUGAUUCUAAAGUCCAAGGGAAAUUUGGGUUUCUAUAUGAUAUUCUUGUCGAUUGGAUUGCAGCCCAUUGGUCAAAUCUUUUCAACUCUUAACUUUUUAAAUUUGUGCUUAGGAUUAGUCUCCUAAUCUCCUCCCCACUUCUUUAAUUUCAAAAUCACUUCCCCCUUUUUUAAAAUCUUCUUUGCUUGUGCUUGUUUUCUAAACUUAGACUAUAUUGCAAAUUAGAAACUUUGGCUUUAUGCCAUUUGUAAGACCCCAAUUUUGUCCCUAAGAUCCCUCAUGGCAUCAUAACAUUGCAUUGCAUAGCCUCAAGGAUCAUUGAGCAUCUUGGCUCCCUUUCCCUUUGGGUAGGGAUCUCUUGUGAUGGGUUUGAGAUCACCAAGCAUGCUUGAAUUGUAUAUCAUUUCUUUUGUCAUUUUUUUACUAACCAAAGACAAAAUAUGUCUAACAUCUUUUGUUUGUAGCUUAAGCAAUCACCAGGUCAAGAGUUUCAAGAAGAUCCUUUGUGCAAGAGAUGAGGUAAUUUACUUGGGAUGAGGAUCACAUGAUUAAUAUAAGGAUCUUACAUGAGCUAGGGUUUCAUUUUGAAGCAAUUUCACCAAGUGGUAGAGGCACAAGUUAAAUCAAGACAUUUCAAGGUCAUCUGAGGACCAAAAUCACUGUGCAGUCAACCUGAGGGCUAUGAGGUGGGGAAAUGAGUUGAGACACCUCAAUCAUGUUCAAAUAGGGUCUAUUCAUCAUUCUAAACAUCCAUCUUGAAGAUUCAAAGGUCAUGGCAAAAGUUACUAAAAAUGGAAAAUGACCUAUAAUUCGAAGUUUCCAAAUUUGGCAAGUUUUUGGUCCACCUUCAACUUGACUUGUCAAUAUCAAAGAUGUUUCAAAUGGAUUUUUGGUGAACAUGAAAGUUGUAGAUCUUUGUCUCCCCUUUCCAAAAAGUCCUAAUUCAUGUCCAUAUCAUGAAUGGUUGAGAAGUUAUGGUCAUUUGAUCACAAAGUGUGCAUGGAAAUUCAAAAUGGCAUAACUUUUGAUAUAAUGCUUCAAAUUGGUUCAUUAUUUUGGCAAAAUGCUUCUCAUGUUCAAGACAUCUCAAAAUGAGCUUUGCCAUGCAUGGGAAAAGUGUGCAUGCUCAUUAUUUCACACAUGUGAAAAUUGAAGAAAAUAUUCACCAUUCAUUUUUUGGCUUAAGAUGCAAGCUAACAAAUACUCAAAGCAUGACCAUUGGAUGUUCUUAAGUGGAUUUAAGCCUUAACAUGGAGCUGAUCACGUGUAUUAUGGGCAUGUGAGCUCAUUUUGCAUUUUUGCAAAUUGCUUCAUAACUCCUUAAUCAUGAUUAACCAAUGGAAAAUAUGAUUAGCAUUGUCAUUAGCAUGGGAUAUAAAUACUGAAACCCUAAUCAAAACUGCAAAGAACCACCAUUUUCAGAUCUGAAAUUCAAGAACUCUCCAAAAUUCUCUCUCUUCGAAUUUGAUUUUUCUUCACACAAUUCUCAAAGAUCAUUGCAUAUUUUUGUUCCUAGUGCUUCACUGAGCAAGAUUCAUCCACUAUUUGGUGCAAUUCAUCAAGGAAUCGAGCAGUACAAGAGCAUGAACAUGGCAAUCAGAUUUGGAAAUUGAAGCAGAUUCAAGAGGAUUCAACCGUUUAUUUUUGCUUAAAGCUUCAUAGGAAGAUCAUAGGAGAAGAUCUGGAGCUGUAGAGCUUGAGAGAACACGUUUUCAGAAAGCUUCAUUUCCAGGUGAUGCAAUUUUAGAUCUCUCCUUUUGCUGUUUUUUGAACAUAGAACUGUAGAUCUUGUUGAGUAGAGCACAAGUAUGUGUUUAGAUUUAGAAUUUAGUGAGAAUUGAGAAUGUUAGGUUGACUAGAAGUUUGGAUCUAGAAAAUGUUUCUCUUCGAUCUGUAGAAUCUAUGAGGAAUUAGGGAAAUCUAAGGUCAUAUUUGGAACCUACGUUGGGAGACGAGUCAAACGGUAUAGGACUCGUGAGAUUCUGGAAAAUUUUGGGCGGCGCCACCGUGAGGCUUGCCGGAGAAGACGACCGGAGCUGUAGCUCCGGCGUCUGUAUCAUUUUAGGGUUUGGUGAUGUGUACUGCCAUGUGUUCCAUUGCAUGGACAAGCGAUUGGAUGAUGUUGCUUUGACUGAGCCACGCGUGUGUUGAAGCGCUGAGUGGCAUGCUGAUUGGUUUAAGUGAAACUGCGCGUUUUGAUGUUUAAACCUGGACCAUUGAUCUGGAGCGCGCGCCAGAUCUGAUGGUUGUGGAGUUUUUUGGCUUUACUCAAAUUAAUUCGUUUCCCUCCAUUUUCAUUUGAUUAUUCAAUUAUUUUGCUUAUUUUGUAAAAUUCAUAAAAAAUGCAAAAAUGAUCCAAAUGAGUCCCAUUUUUUUUUCAUGGUUUUGUAUGGAUGUCUACUUUUUUAUGAUGCUGAUUUCAUGAAUUUUUGAUGUCUGGAUUUUUAUUUGUGAAUUUUUGAAUGAACAUUGUGCUAAUUUGAUCUAUUGCAAUCAAUGCAUUGUGAAAUCCUCAUCUUUGAGCCAUAUGAUCCAAUUUUUUGCAUACAUGACAUUCAUACAUAAUAUGAAUUAUUGGUCACUGGUUUGGAAUUUUUCUCACAUGUUAUCAUCAUUUUUGACACAUAGGGAAUAAUGUGACAAUUUGUGUCACAUUUUUGACAUUGAAUUGGUGAAUUUUUGUUCACAUGACAUUUGCAUCAUUCUGGAUUUGAUUUUUUGCAUGAUGAUUACUCAUGACAUGAGGAACUUGUACAAAAAAGCUCAAAGUCAUUGCAUGCAUUUCUGAUUUGGUAUGAAUUUUCUAAGUUGGAAGUUUAUUUUGUGCAUAUUUUUGGUCAUUGCCUGGCAUAGACAAUUAGAGGCAUUUGAUUUUUUGAUUUGAUGCUGGUCCUUUUGAGGACAUUUAGUGGAGUGUUGGAAGGUGUAAUGUGUAGAAGAUUGGGUUCUGGUUUGGUCAUUUGGUUAGGUUUUUAAUUCAUCUCUUAUGCUUUUGUUUGUUGGUGUUUGUUGUGUUGUUUAAAUACACAUAGACUAACUUUGUCUUGUGUUUCAGGUUUGGAUACUCAUCAUUGAUCUUGUGAGAUACAAAUGCAUUUGAGUACUGACCUAUUGUUGUUUUGUAGGGUUUUAACUGAUGUGGUGAACUCAUGAGCUCAUUUGAGUAUUAGGGCACUUAUGCACUGAAUUGUGUAAUUGUUAGAGGGUUUCACUGUUUGUUUUCUGGUUGUAUGACCGAAGUACUAAUUGUUUAGUCUUUGUACAGGUACUUUAGUUGCUUGCUUGCUUUAGCUCUUGCUUAAGCUUUGGAUUAUGGUUGACACACCACUCAGGUAAUUAGCUUCAUACUUCAUGUAGUCUGAAGUCCUGUCACCUUUUUGGCCGGCAUUUUGCUGGCAAGUCCUCCUUCAGAGGCUCUGUUUGUGUUUGUUUAAAAUUGUGCUCAAAGACCUCCAAGAAGAGGCAUGUGAUAUUUGAUAAGACCUCCAAGAGAAGAGGCAAUUGAUGGAUAAAAGGGAUUAGUAGCCAAUCCCCCGUUAUUCAGUAUGUCGUUCUUUAUGCUCGCACUACGUGCUGAUGCUUCUGAACAUGUGCCCCAGAUCUUUGUCUAGAGUUUGUCAAGUGGAAAAGGAUCCCACUUUCUUGAUCCCCACGCUUUCUUUGUCAUGAGCUCACCCCGGCCAAGGUUAAGAGCAUGAGGUCUCAUCCUCAUUACCGAUUUGAUCAACUUCACCCUAACGUUCAAUGUUAGUGGUUAAGAGCUACAGUUUGGCUUGUUCGUCGAGGUUGACAUGACCCCUCUUGACUAAAGCCCACCCAUUGUUUGAGCCUCUUGUAUGGAUAUAGUGUGUAAUGUUUGUUUACUUGUGAGUUAAGUUCUUGUUAGAGAACUCAACUUAGGGAUGUUGAUUGCAUGACAACUAUUAGGCUCGAAUCUUAAUCUCCCUAUUAGUUUGUUGUUUCUCUGGUCUCUGGUUAGGAGAGUGUUUUACCCCAUGGAACUUUUGAUGUGUGUGCUCUUGAACUAGGAGUUUCCAUUUGAGCUUAAUUGGAGGAUCAUUACCAUGUUCAUCCAAGUGGAGGAUACAAGAAACAUUGGGGAUCUCUUAUGAGACUUGUUUGAUUGCUUAUACUUUGUGCUUGCUUAUUCCAAAGGAUGGGAGCUACUUGGAUCAUCAAUAUGAUCUCAAGAGAGGAACUCCUAGUGUGGUUUCAUUUCAAUACUUUGUGCUUGCUUAUUCCAAAGGAUGGGAGCUACUUGGAUCAUCAAUAUGAUCUCAAGAGAGGAACUCCUAGUGUGGUUUCAUUUCUUAUCCCUCAUCUUUUUGUUUUCCUUAGGACUUAGCCCCUAUUCUUCAUCUCUCUACCCUAACCCAAGCCAAAACCCUUUUUGUGCAAACAUUUAACCUGUGUUUUCAACAUUAGAAACCUAAGCCGUAUGCUUUUGAUAUUCAAACUUUCUUUUCAUAGCACUCAUUUUGAAUUGAAUCUUUAAGUCAACUUUGACUACUUUUGUAUAUACUUCUAAUUGGUAGAUAUAACCCAUUCAAAUUUCCCUUGUGUGGUUCCUAUGGCCACUUUCUUAAUCAAAAUUUUCCAUAACCUUUAGCUAUUAGGUUUGAGUUAUCUUUGUGGUAGAUGUAAUACUCACCUUUGUCCUUAGUGAUGGACAAUGAGCCUUCCAUGCUUUUUAUAGGGUUAACCCCUGACUAGCAUGUUGAAGCUAUCCUCACAUGGUGGACUUGUGGUUUUAGGUUGAGUUUUCUCCCUUUGAUAACAAAAGACCUUAAGGCUUUUGGACUAAUCAAUUCACCAAUUUGUUUUGAGAUUUUUACCCCGAACUACGAGUUUUUGAUCCUAAUCUUUUUAUAAGAUGGUACGUAUGCAAUGGGUUUAUCCAUCCAAACAUAAAAUGUAAAUAACUUGUAUAUUCUCUUCUCAUCUCUUCAAUCAUGUUUGCACAAAUAAAUUUUCACAAGACAACAACCUUCACAAGUAUGAAAAGGGCUCCCUAGGAGUACCUAGGAUGUUUUGGGUGCCUAACACCUUCCCAUUGCAUAACCAACCCCCUUACCCGAUUUCUGUCUUUAUUAGUUUUUGUUCAAAACUAUUAGGUUUUGUUCGUUGUCUAACCCAUUUACCUUUGGAUAAAUAGAGUGCGGUGGCGACUCGAACUUGUAUGAUUUACCUUGAGUUAGUCAUAUCGCAAUAACCGGUACACGGAAUACCCCGCCUACACCUUCCUAUACUUUAGGAUUAACAUUGCUAAAUAUUUGGAUCCCUUGCUAACUUUAGGAGAGUUAAGCGUUUACCUUGCUAAAUAUUUAUUAAAUACAAAUAUUAUUAUUAAUAAUGAAUAAUUUAUAAAAUUAAUUUAAUUUUAGUUACAUACAGUGAAUUCAAAUGUAAACCUAUUUCUACUUUUUUACUUCAUCAUUUAAAAAAAAUCAAAAAUUAUUCGAUACUUAUAUCAACCAAAUUAAUUUUAAUAAUUCUAUGGCUUAAAGAAAUUACUCUAUAUCAAAUAAAUUUAUAGUAAAAAAGUGAAUUAACUAAAAAAUACAUAUUAUAAAUAACGAAUAAAUGGAACAACUGAGUCACUAAUUAUAAAAUAGUUAUUAUAAUUAAUGAGCUUUAACAAAUAAACAUUAUUUAAAAUUUUAAUUAGUGCAAUUAGAAAUUCAAAUCUAUUCAUUCUAUCAUAAAUUAAACUAUUUUAUUUAUUAUAUAAAUAUAUUUAUAUCAUACAGAUAACCAAAUAUUAUUAUUUUUUAUAUCUGUUAUCAUAAUAAAAUUAAAAUUCAUAUAUUUAUUGAGAUGUCAUGUAAAUGAAUGAAUGCAAAUGGUGAAUGAAUGUCAAUGCCAUGAAUCCAAUUUAUCAUAACCAAUCCGCUACAGAAAGUGGCGACUCUGCUGGGGUAAAAAGCCUAAUGGGUUUUGCCAACUUUCUGUUCUGUUUGUAUUGGUUUGUGACAUAUUUUUGUGCCAAUUUGGGAUUACUGUAUUGUAUGUAAUGAUUGAUUUGCUUGAUAUUAAUUCCUUGUAUGCUUGGUGAUCUUUGUGAGAUGAGUUCUAUACCGAACUCAAGUGCACUUAUGGAUAGGAGAAUGCAUAGUCUUGUUGACUACUGUGGAGUUAUUCCUUAGCAAGUUGACUUGCAAGUCCAUUCACUUGGUGGAGGUCAUGUUGGGAUCAAUAAUGUCACACAGUAGUUGUGGUUAGACAUUAUUUCCAAUAUAGACUUAGAAGCCAAGGACCUUAGUUUACCAAGCCCAUCUGGCCUAUUUUUAGGAUGUAGUGCGAAAGUGUUCAAAUGUAGAUUUGAUACGAUUGUUACGCAAUACACACUCAUAAGAGUCUCCUCUGAGAAUUAUUUGGAAUAACGAUUAGUCGUUCUCCGAUAAUAUCGAAAGAUGGGAUGAUGACUAUGGGAACCUCUUGUAGAACAUGUUUGCAGGUUUAAACCCUAGUACAUUCCUUUGGGUGGUUCUUAACAGACUUCCAUGCUCGUGAUUUGCAACAAACCUUGAUCAUGGUUGAUCUUCAUACAUCCUUAAUAUCAAUGGAACUUGGGUGUUGAUAAGGUGUAAACCAUAAUCCACAAAUGGAUGAUUGAUAUUAAGGAUAAUAUGAUCCAUCCCAUGACCUUUGUUUGGUGUGCUUUGCGUGAUCCUUGAGUGGUGAUUGUUGCAUUCAUGCACUCAUUUGCAUCCAUAUCAUCAAUAAUAAAAGAAAUUUUUCAAAGGAACUUAAGGGUUAUUUGCAAAAUUUUCAGACAUGGAAAGACAAGAAGGAAGACAAAAAAGUAAGCUUUCAGACAGCAGAUUUGAAAGAGUUAAGGAAUUGACAAUCCUAUGUAUUAGAUCCUUGGGUUUCAAGGCUCCCUUUGGAAGCUUCUCCUCUUCUGACUACUCAGGUGGAUGAAGGUUGAUGAGCGUAUUGGUGCAGUUUUAUGAUCCCUUGUACGCUUCGUUUCUCACGUUUCCGGAUCUUCAGCUUUUGCCUGACCCUGAGGGUAUGCCUAUCUUGUGGUAUACUUAUCUGAGUCAGUUCACCGUAUAGUCUAUGGGAGAGUUAUUCCUACUCUCAAGAGCAUAGCUAGACAUGUUGCAACUAAGAUGAAUCUCUGAGUAGUGCUCAUAUGACUACAAAAGGUGGGAUUCAAGGUCUCCCCUUCUGAGUUCCUCAAUUGCUCAAGCUACUAUUUAUGGCAGAGGCCAUGAGUAAUGAUUCCUUUGAAGCAUAUUGCUACUUCCAUUAUGGGUUGGUAUGGUUCCCCAACAUCGACAAGUUUGUGGAAAUGUGAACGCUAUUAGGCAUCUUUCUCCGCUCUCAAUCUUCGACUCUGUUGGGUGAUACCUAUUUCUCUUUGCAUAUGAGAUGCCAGAAAGGGUCGUGGUGCCAAUUAUGGGUGUAUUGCUCUGUUGUAUAAGUGGAUUUUUAUUUUUCUCACUACUCAGACACGGUCGCCUUCAAGGAGAAAAGGAUUCUACGGUGGGGGGUUCCACAGAUUAUGUCUCUCACUAAUGAUGAACUCUUUGGUAUAGACCGUGAUAUAUGCUGAUAUCUCUUUGUAUCUCGUAUGGUGAAUUCUCCAACGUACCUCUUCUUUGGCUACAUAUGGUGGGAUUACUACAACCCUGUGUUAGGCACGUCAUCCAGCUUGGGUCCCUAAAAGGAUUAAACCCUAAUAACAUUCUUUUAGAGGGUGUGUUCUUUCAGGAGGGUAAAGAUCCCCAAGGCUUGAAGGGCAGAAUGGUUCGCGCUUGGCGCAAGGUUCAUAAGAAAGGAAGGAAGGAGUUGGGUCCUAAGAAUUGUGUUGCUAUGAAGCCUUACACUGCUUGGGUAAGGAAGAGAGCAUCUGAGUAUCUCAUGCCUUACGAAUAUCCGAGACCUAAACCUUUGGUUGUGGUUGGGCCUUCAACCCUCCCUAACCAAGGAGUAGAGGAGUUAAGAGACGAAGACCUAUCACGUGCCUGGAUCCGUGAAAGGGAGGAGUUGCUUCAGCAGAUUAAGGAGAAAGAUGCUUUGAUAGAGUUCCUCGAGCAUCAAGUUAUUGAUGAUCCUAAUGAUGCAUGGACUUUUCUACUUCCCCAGUCUUCCAUGUUUUGGAAGAGGAAGUAUGACCGACUCACCAAGGAAAAGGCAGACAUGGAGGCAGCUUACGAGAAGGAGGUGAAGAGACUUCGCGCAUCCUAUCUUCCUGUGUCCCGAGCUUUAGAUGAUUGUUUCUAGGGAUCCAUAGGAUGAUUAUUUUCCUUUUCUCUUGUACAUGAUUGACAAUGUUGUACUUCUUUUCCCUGAUGCUAUGCUAUGAUAUAUUUCCAUAUGUGAUAAACGGUUAAUAUUUCCAAAAUUUGCAAAUAAAACCCUAGAGUUCCUUUGAAAUAAAAACAAAUCAUAUGCACAAGCAUUGCAUGCAUCAUAUGCAUAAGCAGGUUUUGUACUAGAGUUCCUUUGAAAUAAAAACAAAUCAUAUGCACAAGCAUUGCAUGCAUCAUAUGCAUAAGCAGGUUUUGUUCCCGGCUUCUGGUCUUGUGGUCUAACUCUGUGCUCUUCAUUUAUUUUGAAGAUAAGCUGACUCACCGGUACUACACUAGAGCCAACUCUUCAAGACUAAUGGAUCAUCUAGAGCAAGAGAACCGUGAACUCAAAGAAGAAGUCGCCAGACUGAGUGCUUUGAUGGAAUCAUUCCUGGCUGCCCAGAGCCAGUCUUCUCCAACGCCUUCAACUCCUUCCCAGAGGACAGUCAUCUCUGAGAUUGUUUCCUCAACUGUGCCUGCAGCCAAUGCACAUUUUGCUCCAGCAGCUAUGCCAACCGGGUUCCCGUGCGGGAUGCCUCCCAAUUUCAUGCUUGAGGGUCCUGCUCCAACCUUUGCUUCUAUGCCGACAUCUAGCCCGGUCCUUGUUGUUCCUCCGCCUGUCGUGCAUACCAUGCCUAGGGUAGACGACACCAUCUAUCAUUCUGAGCCGUCUGAAGGCCCAGAUGUCCAUGAGAAGAUGGACGCUAUGAACGACCAAUUUCUUGAGCUUCACAAGGAAUUGAAGACUCUUAGAGGAAAGGAUCUGUUUGGCAAGUCUACUGCCGAUCUGUGCUUGUUUCCCAAUGUGAAGAUCCAUGUGAAAUUCAAGGUCCCUGACUUUGAAAAAUACAAGGGGAACACCUGUCCUCUUAGCCACUUGGUCAUGUAUGCCAGGAAGAUGUCAACUCAGACUGAUAAUGACCAAUUGCUCAUCCACUACUUUCAGGACAGUCUGUCCGAUGCCGCUCUGCGCUGGUAUAUGGGGCUGGACAGUGCGAACAUCCGAUCCUUCAACGAUCUUGGCGAGGCCUUCGUCAAGCAAUACAAGUAUAAUAUGGAUAUGGCUCCCGAUAGGGAUCAAUUGAGGGCCAUGUCCUAGAAGGACAAAGAAACAUUUAAAGAGUAUGCCCAAAGUUGGCGAGAGUUGGCAGCACAGAUCGUGCCUCCGCUAGAAGAGAAGGAAAUGACCAAGAUUUUUCUGAAGACCUUGAGUUCAUUCUAUUACGAGCGGAUGAUUGCUAGCGCUCCUUCUGACUUCACCGAUCGUGCCUCCGCUAGAAGAGAAGGAAAUGACCAAGAUUUUUCUGAAGACCUUGAGUUCAUUCUAUUACGAGCGGAUGAUUGCUAGCGCUCCUUCUGACUUCACCGAGAUGGUGAAUAUGGGGAUGCGAUUAGAAGAAGGGGUUAGAGAAGGACGUCUGACCAAAGAAGAAGGCUCUUCUGCCAAACGUUAUGGGGCGUUUGCAAAGAAGAAGGAUGGAGAGGCACAUGCUGUAACCUCCCAUGUGAAACCUAGAAGACCCUCUGUGAGGAGGAAGACCAUGCGUCCCGCUGGUAACCAGCACCAGGUGGCUCACAUAGCACCUGUUUUCAGAGACAAUCAAAAGUAUCAGCAACAUAGCAACAUAGCAACAAUCAACAAUCACCUCAGCAAUACCAACAACAACAGCACCGUCCGCAACAGCAGGCCUAUCAUCCUUGAAACAGUAAUCAAACCAGCACGAGUUACGAGAGGAAAAAGGUCACUUUUGAUCCGAUUCCGAUGACGUACGUAGAACUAUAUCCCUCUUUGAUAAAGAGGAAGUUGAUUACUCCGAGAGACCCACCAGCUAUACCUGCUAACCCUCAGUGGUGGUAUAAACCUGAAUUGCACUGUGUAUACCAAUCUGGUGCUCCCGGCCACGACGUGGAGAAUUGCUAUCCUUUGAAGACCAAGGUUCAAGACCUUGUGAGGUGUGGCAUCCUGUGUUUUGAGGACGUAGGUCCUAAUGUGAAGAAGAACCCAUUGCCCGAAGGUUCAAGACCUUGUGAGGUGUGGCAUCCUGUGUUUUGAGGACGUAGGUCCUAAUGUGAAGAAGAACCCAUUGCCCGAGCAUGGGAAAUCUGUUAACAUGGUCCAGGGCUGCCCUGGCAAGUACAAGGUCAAACAUGUCAGUCAUAUCCGACAGUCUCUGGUCGAGAUGCAUCGUUUGCUAUGUGAGUACAGUCACUAUGAACACGAUCAUGAUAGAUGCCGAAUAUGCCCUGUUAACCGAUUGGGUUGUCGCCAGGUGCGCAAAGAUCUUCAGGAAAUGCUGGACGAAGGAGUUAUUGAGAUCCUUCAGAAUAGGAAUGUUGACGAAGAUGAGCCUGAGGUCAACGUAAUUUCCCCAGUAUUCCGGAUGCCCGAGCCUGUUAUCGUUAAGUAUGAUGGUAGCAAGCAGAAGGUUUCCCCUUCCCUGAUCAUUAAGCCUGCCGGUCCAGUACCGUAUUCCUCUGAAAAAGCCAUUCCCUUCCGUUACAAGGUUGUUGCUGUAGAAGGUGAGAAAGAGGUGUCUUUACCAUCCUCCUCCGUUGUAAAUAUUGCUGACGUAAGUGGUUUGACCCGCAGCGGUGUGUGUUUUCAGCACCACCGAAGCCUCAAGCUAGUACUGAUGUUGUUGAACGCCCGAUUGGGAAUGUUGUAAGCACCCCAAAUCCGGCACCUGUUGUUAAGCCCUCCUCUAUACUAAAAACUCCUACUUCUGUUGGCCCUAGCGGCAAUGUGAAAGAAGACUGUGAUGAGAUGCUGAGGCUCAUCAAGAAGAGUGAGUACAAUGUUGUAGACCAGCUUCUACAAACGCCAUCCAAGAUAUCCGUGUUAUCAUUACUCCUGAAUUCAGAACCACAUAGGGAGGCUCUGCAGAAAGUUUUGGAUGUGGCAUAUGUAGAUCAUGAUGUCACAAUAGAACAGUUCGAUAGCAUUGUUGCAAACAUUUCUGCUUAUAACAAUUUGAGUUUCUGUGACUCUGAUCUCCCUGAGGAGGGAAGAGACCACAACUUGGUUUUACACAUAUCCAUGAAUUGUAGAGACGACGCCAUGUCCAAUGUACUGGUGGACACUGGGUCAUCCCUGAAUGUAUUGCCAAAAACCACUCUCUCAAAACUGUCUUAUCAAGGGCCUCCCAUGAGGCAGAGUGGGGUAGUUGUGAAAGCUUUCGAUGGGUCUCGAAAGACUGUGAUUGGGGAAGUUGAUCUCCCUAUCAAGAUUGGACCAAGUGAUUUCCAAAUUACCUUCCAGGUUAUGGAUAUUCACCCAUCGUACAACUGUCUCCUAGGCAGACCAUGGAUUCACGAGGCAGGCGCCGUGACAUCCACCCUACACCAGAAGCUGAAAUUUGUGAAGAAUAAGAAACUGGUAGUGGUAGGGGGAGAAAAGGCUCUCCUGGUUAGCCACUUGUCUUCCUUCUCGUACAUAGAUGCUGAAGAUGAAGUUGGAACUCCUUUCCAAGCUUUAUCUAUAGCUGAGCCUAUUGAGAAGAGAAUUCCUUCAUUUACUUCCUAUAGAGAUGCAAAGUGGGCCAUUGAGUGUGGUGCAAUUGCUGGUCUAGGAAAAAUGAUUGAGCUGGAAGACAAUAAGUCCCUGGCUGGCAUUGGCUUUUCUUCUGGGGUCUUCAAUGAGAAAGGGCUGUUCAAGAGUGGAGGUUUUAUCCACACCAGUCAGGAUGAGGAAGUUGUUGCUGUCUUGGAAGAGGAUGUAGAGGAUUCUGGCAAUUUCAUCAUCCCUGGAGGGAUCUGCUACAAUUGGGUCGCUGUGGAUAUUCCUACAGUUGUCCACAAGUCCACGUAAUGAUCACUUUGUUAAAAAACCCUUCUCCCAUGCCAAAAGGAGGAGUGAUGACAUUGUUGGCAACAUAAAUACAAUGAUAUUUUCAUUCAAUAAAUUCAUGUUAAAUGUUUGUUUUUCCAAUUAUUUUCCCUUUUUGCUUUUUGCAUGAAAUUGGUGAUCACAUAAAACCCUAAAAAUAGAAUAAAAUCAAUCUUUUCAUCUGCAUAAUGAUUUGCCUUGUUUGAUUUCUAAAAGCUUUUCAUAUCCAAAAUCAUUAUGCAGGUUGAUCAAACCCAUUGAACAUAAUGAUCCGACACCAUCUCCUAAUUUUGAAUUCCCUGUAUUUGAGGCAGAGGAAGAUGAUGUUGAGGAGAUUCCUGACGAGAUUACCCGUCUACUUGAGCAUGAAGAGAAGAUCAUUCAGCCGCAUCUUGAGAAUCUGGAAACAGUGAACUUGGGGUCUGAGGAUUGUGUGCGAGAAGUGAAGAUUGGGGCACUCCUGGAAGAAUAUGUUAAGAAGGGGUUGAUUGAAUUGCUACGAGAAUAUGUCGAUAUCUUCGCUUGGUCGUAUGAAGACAUGUCGGGUCUAGAUACAGAUAUUGUGCAACAUUACCUACCCUUGAAGCCUGAGUGCAUGCCUGUGAAGCAGAAGCUCAGAAGAACUCAUCCUGAUAUGGCAUUGAAGAUCAAAGAAGAAGUUCAGAAGAAAAUUGAUGCGGGGUUUCUGGUGACUUCUACAUAUCCUCAAUGGGUGGCCAAUAUUGUGCCCGUGCCUAAGAAAGACGGAAAAGUCCGGAAGUGUGUGGACUAUAGAGACUUGAAUAAAGCUAGUCCGAAAGAUGAUUUCUCUCUACCACAUAUUGAUAUGUUGGUCGACAAUACAGCUAAAUUCAAAGUCUUCUCAUUUAUGGACGGAUUUUCUGGAUAUAAUCAGAUUAAGAUGGCACCCGAGGAUAUGGAGAAGACAACAUUCAUCACACCUUGGGGAACAUCGAGUGAUGCCCUUCGGUUUGAAGAACGCCGGAGCCACGUAUCAACGAGCUAUGACCACCUUGUUUCAUGAUAUGAUGCACAAGGAGAUUGAGGUAUAUGUUGAUGAUAUGAUUGCUAAGUCAACAACGGAAGUGGAACAUGUAGAGCACUUGUUGAAGCUUUUUCAACGUUUGAGGAAGUACAAGCUUCGUCUGAAUCCCAACAAGUGUACAUUUGGAGUCCGUUCUGGCAAGUUAUUGGGCUUUAUUGUCAGCGAAAGAGGUAUUGAGGUUGAUCCUGCACAAUACAAGAGAUGCCUGCGCCCAAAACUGAGAAGCAAGUCCGAGGUUUUCUUGGCCGCUUGAAUUAUAUUUCCAGAUUCAUAUCCCACAUGACUGCCACAUGUGCGCCGAUAUUCAAGCUCCUUCGAAAAGAUCAUUCCCAUGAUUGGACCGAGGAUUUCCAGAAAGCUUUCGAUAGUAUCAAAGAGUAUCUGUCUGAACCUCCAAUCCUGUCUCCGCCUGUAGAAGGAAGACCAUUGAUCAUGUAUUUGACUGUCCUUGAAGAUUCAAUGGGUUGUGUCCUUGGUCAGCAAGAAUAAUCAGGGAAGAAAGAGUAUGAUAUUUACUACCUAAGUAAGAAGUUCACUGAUUGUGAGUCUCGAUACUCAAUGCUUGAGAAGACAUGCUGUGUUUUGGCUUGGGCCGCUAAGCGUCUACGCCGGUAUAUGAUAAAUCAUGCAACUUGGUUUAUAUCCAGAAUGGAUCCAAUCAAGUACAUAUUUGAGAAGCUUGCUUUAACCGGGAGGAUUGCCCGUUGGCAGAUGUUGUUGUCUGAGUAUGAUAUUGAGUAUCGAGCUCAGAAGGCUAUUAAAGGUAGUAUCUUGGCUGACCACUUGGCACAUCAGCCGAUUGAGGAUUAUCAGUCAGUUCAGUAUGACUUCCCAGAUGAGGAGAUUCUAUAUUUGAAAAUGAAAGAUUGUGAUGAGCCUACACUCAAUGAAGGGCCAGAGCCUGGUUCCAGAUGGGGUAUGGUAUUUGAUGGCACUGUAAAUCAGUAUGGAAAUGGUAUUGGGGCAGUAAUCAUUAAUCCUCAGGGCAUACACAUUCCCUUUACAGCAAGGCUAACUUUCAAAUGCACGAAUAAUAUGGCUGAGUACGAGGCCUGUAUUAUGGGAUUGGAAGAAUGCAUUGAUCUAAGGAUCAAGCAUCUUGAUGUUUAUGGUGAUUCGGUCCUCGUUGUCAAUCAGAUCAAGGGUGAAUGGGAGACGAAUCAGCCUGGUCUUAUUCCAUAUAGGGAUUACGCGAGGAGGACUUCAACGUUCUUUACUGAGGUUGACUUCCAUCAUAUUCCUCGAGAUGAGAAUCGGAUGGCAGACGCUCUUGCUACGCUUGCUUCGAUGAUUGUGGUUAAACUGUGGAAUGAAGUUCCCAAUAUCACCGUGAUGCGCUUGGAUAGACCAACUCAUGUAUUUGCAGUUGAAUAAGUGAAGGAUGAUAAACCAUGGUAUUAUGACAUCAAGUGCUUCCUCCAGAACCAGGUUUAUCCGCCCGGGGCAUCUGUGAAAGAUAGGAAGACUUUGAGAAGAUUGUCAGGCAGUUUCUACCUCAAUGGAGAAGUGCUUUAUAAGAGAAAUUUUGAUAUGGUUCUACUCAGAUGCGUGGAUAGACACGAAGCAGACCUGUUGAUGACUGAAGUCCAUGAGGGUUCAUUUGGUACUCAUUCCAAUGGACAUGCCAUGGCUAGAAAGAUGUUGAGGGCAGGCUACUAUUGGCUGACAAUGGAGUCUGACUGCUGCAAAUAUGUGAAGAAAUGCCACAAGUGUCAGAUUUAUGCGGAUAAGAUUCAUAUUCCUCCGACACUUCUGAAUGUGAUUUCAUCACCAUGGCCUUUCUCUAUGUGGGGAAUUGACAUGAUCGGCAUGAUUGAGCCGAAAGCGUCCAAUGGACACAGGUUUAUUCUCGUAGCAAUUGAUUACUUCACUAAGUGGGUUGAAGCGGCGUCAUAUGCAAAUGUGACCAGGCAGGUGGUCGUGAAGUUUAUCAAGAAUCAACGCAUAUUCCGUUAUGGUGUGCCAGAUAAGAUCAUUACUGAUAAUGGAUCUAACUUAAAUAACAAGAUGAUGAAAGAGUUGUGUAGUGAGUUCAAGAUUGCACACCAUAGUUCUUCUCCUUAUAGACCCAAGAUGAAUGGGGUUGUUGAAGCUGCUAACAAGAAUAUCAAGAAAAUUAUCCAAAAGAUGGUUGUUACGUACAAAGAUUGGCAUGAGAUGCUGCCAUUUGCUUUGCAUGGAUAUCGUACAUCUGUCCGCACUUCAACAGGGGCAACCCAUUUCUCUCUUGUUUAUGGCAUGGAGGCUGUACUCCCAGUAGAGGUGGAGAUCCCAUCAAUAAGAGUCUUGAUGGAAGCCAAGUUGACUGAUGCUGAAUGGGUUCAGAGUCGCUAUGACCAGCUGAAUUUGAUUGAAGAGAAGAGAUUGACUGCCAUGUGCCAUGGUCAUUUAUAUCAUCAGAGAAUGAAGAAAGCUUUUGAUAAGAAGGUCAAGCCUCGUGUGUUCCGAGAAGGUGACCUCGUGCUCAAGAAGGUCUUGUCUUUCGCGCCCGAUUCCAGGGGAAAAUGGACUCUAAACUAUGAAGGUCCAUAUGUUGUUAAGAGAGCCUUUUCAGGCGGUGCUUUGAUGCUUACAACUAUGGAUGGGGAGGAUUUCACUCGUCCUGUGAAUUCAGAUGCAGUCAAUAAAUACUUCGCCUAAAAAUAAAAACAGAAUAACUCGCUAAGUUGAAAACCCGAAAGGGCGGCUUAGGAAAAAAUGAGCGUCUCGGUGGAUUGAAAACCCGAAAGGGCGAUCUAGGCAAAAGUUAGAGACAUAAAAAAUGAAUAUAUGCAUCCCGCUAGAUUGAGUACCUCAUCCUAGGGCAAUCUAGGAAAAAAUUAGGGAUUUGGCAAGUAACUGCAUCCUGACAAGACUGUGUUCUACAACUGUCAUCCAUCAGAGAUUCUUGUUCAUUCGUCGUCAACCAAAGCUUCGAAUACAUCGAAUUCAGAAUUGAUGGAGAAAUGGUCAUUAUGUUCAAUGUAGCCCUUUUCCAAUAUAUAUCACCAAUUUCAAACUUGUAAAAAAUCUUUGGGGUCUUGCCAUUUGCAGGCUACCAUUCCAUCAAAUAAAUUCGAGCCUUUAUCCAAUUAUUUGCACUCCUAUUUGUUUCUAUUUCAACAAAUGUUUUGCAUUUUUUUAAUUGAGAAAAUAUCAUUGUUUUAAAUAAAUGAGUUUUCCAUAACUUGUUUUUUAAACAAAGUGAACAUUCACAAUGACAAAAGGAUACUUAGGAGAUCCUCAGUGCUCUCCCAAGGGUGGUAUGAUCCCCAACAGGGUAAGACAUUUGUUCAUAUCCCUGGCAUGACUGUAUCUUCUUCCUCCGGAGCCCCUUUUAUGGUUCAUCCCCGAGUGGUAUGCUUGUUGAGAUGUUCACCACUCUCCCCUUCAGCGGAAGAGCGAUCUUUUCUCCUCAGCAGGUGUGAUCUCCUUGGUGAGUUUGGUACUUGGUGUCGGAUCACCAGAUUCCUCUUAUAUCCCUCAGAUGGAUUCCCCAGUAGAGUUGCUUUUGUGGCAGUUUCUGCCUGUGCAAUGAACUUUUUUCCCCAGCCGGAUUGACUGAUGAUUCAUCCCCCAGAGAUUUUGUGAUUUCCUGGUAUCUCUGAUUCCCCGGCAGAUUGGAUACUCUCCAUUGGAAUUUUGGGCUUCCUCCCUUGAGAUGUAGUACCGGACGGCUGUGUGCCUUUUCCUUUGGAGUUGUUUGUGUUAGAAUGUCUGUUUGUCAGCAUUCAUCAUACAUAAAUCACGCAUAUGUGCAUAUAUCCUUCAUAACAUUUAGAUAUUCAUAUUGCAUUUUUUGCCAUAUAUCUAUUGUUUGUUAUCCUCUGCUAGUUGGUAAUACAUUUCCCAAGCAGAUGUCGGUGUCUGAUCCCUCAAUAUAGAGUCAGCCCCUUUAAGCAGAAAGUGUUUAUCUUUCCUACCAUAUUCCCCACUGAGUUAUAUCCUCGUGGACGACGGUUGUUUCUGCUUCCUCCCAACACAUAUAUCGGGAUGGGUUCCCCUAUUGAGUUAUAUCCUCAUUAGGAUGAGUCUCGAUUCAGUUUGCCUUUUUGGUUUGAUCCUAAAUUGGCCUCUUGUGACUGUCUUUGGUGUUUCCCUGUGGUAAAUGAAUAAUAUCGAUUCAGUUUGCCUUUUUGGUUUGAUCCUAAAUUGGCCUCUUGUGACUGUCUUUGGUGUUUCCCUGUGGUAAAUGAAUAAUUGCUCAGUAAUCAGUAAUUAUUCACCUUAUCCUCAGCGGAGUUUGUGGUUUUCUACCCUUAUACCGGUAGAUAUAAACCCUAUUUUUCCCCCUUUGCAGAGUUAACCAUUGUUGUUCAUCCUAGUUGAUGACGGUUACUCUUCCGUGGUUUUCUACCUAGUAUCCGGUAGAUGUAAUCCCCUCUUUGACGGUUAACAUUAUCCAACAUUCGGUAUUGAUAUUCCCUCAUUCUUUUGGAUAAUUGCUCUGAUUAAGCAAUUUUAUCCCCAGCGGGUCCUCUUUCAUUUACCGUUUACCGGUGAUGUUUGUUGCUCCCCUUGUUUGGUCAUCAUUAUAUAACUAGUUUUGGUAUCCCGAUGCCUUUCUCUGUCGGUCGAUUUAUCCUUUAUUAACCCAGUAACCGGUUGUGGAUAAUCUUCCAUGCGAGUAUUUUAUCUACGUUCCGACGGUAAUAGAUAAUAUAUCUCAUGCACUCUUUGGUCGAAGCCUUUUGUUCUUCCCCAAUCGAGUAAGAUUCGUAUUCUUGUUUUAGAAUCAAAUGUCCAUCCCAUAAUCGAGUUUGCAUUCUGUCCUCUUUUUGGAUGAUGAGUGUUUUGGGAAUAUUCCCCAAUUCAUGCUUUGUUUGGUCAUCAUUAUAUACCUAGUUUUGGUAUCCCGAUGCCUUUCUCCGUCGGUCGAUUUAUCCUUUAUUAACCCAGUAAUCGGUUGUGGAUAAUCUUCCAUGCGAGUAUAUUAUCUAUGUUCCGACGGUAAUAGAUAAUAUAUCUCAUGCACUCUUUGGUCGAAGCCUUUUGUUCUUCCCUAGUCGAGUAAGAUUCGUAUUCUUGUUUUAGAAUCAAACGUCCAUCCCAUAAUCGAAUUUGCGUUCUGCCCUCUUUUUGGAUGAUGAGUGUUUUGGGAAUAUUCCCCAAUUCAUGCUUUGUUUGGUCAUCAUUAUAUACCUAGUUUUGGUAUCUCGAUGCCUUUCUCUGCCGGUCGAUUUAUCCUUUAUUAACCCAGUAACCGGUUGUAGAUAAUCUUCCAUGCGAGUAUAUUAUCUACGUUCCGACGGUAAUAGAUAAUAUAUCUCAUGCACUCUUUGGUCGAAGCCUUUUGUUCUUCCCCAGUCGAGUAAGAUUUGUAUUCUUGUUUUAGAAUCGAAUGUCCAUCCCAUAAUCGAGUUUGCGUUCUGCCCUCUUUUUGGAUGAUGAGUGUUUUGGGAAUAUUCCCCAAUUCAUGCUUUGUUUGGUCAUCAUUAUAUACCUAGUUUUGGUAUCCCGAUGCCUUUCUCUGUCGGUCGAUUUAUCCUUUAUUAACCCAGUAACCGGUUGUGGAUAAUCUUCCAUGCGAGUAUAUUAUCUAUGUUCCGACGGUAAUAGAUAAUAUAUCUCAUGCACUCUUUGGUCGAAGCCUUUUGUUCUUCCCCAGUCGAGUAAGAUUCGUAUCCCUGUUUUGGAAUCGAAUGUCCAUCCCAUAAUCGAGUUUGCUUUCUGCCCUCUUUUUGGAUGAUGAGUGUUUUGGGAAUAUUCCCCAAUUCACGCUUUGGUUGGUCACCUAUUAUAUGCCCAGUAACCGGUAUCCCUGGUGUUCCUUCCUUCUGCUCCCUAUUAUGACUUUUUUCCCCUGUGGAGUCAGAUUUUCCUGAGUUGAGAUAUACCUUUUAGGUCUUCCUCAGAUGAUUUGGUUGAUUGAUAUCUCUCACCCUUAUACCGGUCUUAGAUAUUCAUUCUUCCCGAGCUUGUUGUUCUCUCACCCUUAUACCGGUGAUCAGAUCACAUGUCUCAUUGAGCUUGUUACCCAGUAACCGGUAACACCUCAUCCCGCUGCUUCCCCAGGAGAGUCUUUUUAGACAUCCCCAGCGAGGUAUCUGUUGUGGAUCGCUUUUUGCUGUGUUGGCAUAUUCCCAAAUACAUGCAUCUUUGAGUCAGCUCGAGUCUUUCCAACGGAUUUAUUCCCUUUGGAGGCCCUUUUCCCCAGCUUUGAGUCGUGACCUGCUCACGCGGUUUCAGUCCUUUACUCCCCCGUAGAGUCCCUUCCCCAUGGAGUGGAUAACUCAUAGGGAUUAUCAAAUUUCUUCGGAUGUCUUUUCUUCUUUGUGGACACAUAUCCCCACAGAGUUUUGUUUGUUUUGCAUACAUACAUUGGCAUUAUGAAGUCUCUUAGGGACCAAAAUUUGUCUCUUUGUUAUUAUUUAAGCCCAUUCUACUUCGUCGAGACGAAGAUUUUAACCUUCACUUCUCCGGCUAGAAUGACCUUAAAUAGGGGCAUCUGUAAGACCCCAAUUUUGUCCCUAAGAUCCCUCAUGGCAUCAUAACAUUGCAUUGCAUAGUCUCAAGGAUCAUUGAGCAUCUUGGCUCCCUUUCCCUUUGGGUAGGGAUCUCUUGUGAGUGGUUUGAGAUCACCAAGCAUGCUUGAAUUGUAUAUCAUUGCUUUUCUCAUUUUGUUUACUAACCAAAAGCACAAAAAUAUGUCACUAACAUCUUUUGUUUGUAGCUUAAGCAAUCACCAGGUCAAGAGUUUCAAGAAGAUCCUUUGUGCAAGAGAUGAGGUAUUUCCUUGGGAUGAGGAUCACAUGAUUAAUAUAAGGAGCUUAUAUGAGCUAGGGUUUCAUUUUGAAGCAAUUUCACCAAGUGGUAGAGGCACAAGUUAAUCAAGACAUUUCAAGGUCAUCUGAGGACCAAAAGUCAACUGUGCAGUCAACUGAGGGCUAGGAGGUGGGGAAAAGAGUUGAGACACCUCAAUCAUGUUCAAAUGGGGUCUAUUCAUCAUUCUAAACAUCCAUCUUGAAUAUUCAAAGGUCAUGGCAAAAGUUACUAAAAAUGGAAAAUGACCUAUAAUUCGAAGUUUCCAAAUUUGGCAAGUUUUUGGUCCACCUUCAACUUGACUUGUCAAUAUCAAAGAUGUUUCAAAUGUAUUUUUGGUGAACAUGAAAUUUGUAGAUCUUUGUCUCCCCUUUCCAAAAAGUCCUAAUUCAUGUCCAUAUGAUGAAUGGUUGAAAAGUUAUGGUCAUUUGAUCACAAAGUGUGCAUGGAAAUUCAAAAUGGCAUAACUUUUGAUGUAAUGCUUCAAAUUGGUUCAUUCUUUUGGCAAAAUGCUUCUCAUGUUCAAGACAUCUCAAAAUGAGAUUUUCCAUGCAUGGGAAAAGUGUGCAUGCUCAUUAUUUCAUACAUGUGCAAAUUGAAGAAAAUAUUCACCAUUCAUUUUUGGCUUAAGAUGCAAGCUAACAAAUACUCAAAGCAUGACCAUUGGAUGUUCUUAAGUGGAUUUAAGCCUUAACAUGGAGCUGAUCACAUGUAUUAUGGGCAUGUGAGCUCAUUUUACAUUUUUGUAAAUUGCUUCAUAACUCCUUAAUCAUGAUUAACCAAUGGAAAAUAUGAUUAACAUUGUCAUUAGCAUGGGAUAUAAAUACUGAAACCCUAAUCAUAACUGCAAAGAACCACCAUUUUCAGAUCUGAAAUUCAAGAACUCUCCAAAAUUCUCUCUCUUUGAAUUUGAUUUUUCUUCACACAAUUCUCAAAGAUCAUUGCAUAUUUUUGUUCCUGGUGCUUCACUGAGCAAGAUUCAUCCACUAUUUGGUGCGAUUCAUCAAGGAAUCGAGCAAUACAAGAGCAUGAACAUGGCAAUCGGAUUUGGAAAUUGAAGUAGAUUCAAGAGGAUUCAACCGUUCAUUUUUGCUUAAAGUUUCAUAGGAAGAUCAUAGGAGAAGAUCUGGAGCUGUAGAGCUUGAGAGAACACAUUUUCAAAAAGCUUCAUUUCCAGGUGAUGCAAUUUUCGAUCUCUCCUUUUGCUGUUUUUUGAACAUAGAACUGUAGAUCUUGUUGAGUAGAGCACAAGUAUGUGUUUAGAUUUGGAAUUGAGUGAGAAUUGAGAAUGUUAGGUUGAUUGGAAGUUUGGAUCUAGAAAAUAUUUCUCUUCGAUCUGUAGAAUCUAUGAGGAAUUAGGGAAAUCUAAGGUCAUAUUUGGAACCUACGUUGGGAGACGAGUCAAACGGUAUAGGACUCGUGAGAUUCUGGAAAAUUUUGGGUGGCGCCACCGUGAGGCUUGCCGGAGAAGACGACCGGAGCUGUAGCUCCGGCGUCUGUAUCAUUUUAGGGUUUGAUGAUGUGUACUACCAUGUGUUCCAUUGCGUGGACAAGCGAUUGGAUGUUGUUGCUUUGACUGAGCCACGCGUGCGUUGAAGCGCUGAGUGGCAUGCUGACUGGUUUAAGUGAAACGGCGCGUUUUGAUGUUUAAACCUGGACCAUUGAUCUGGAGCGCGCGCCAGAUCUGAUGGUUGUGGAUUUUUCUGGUUUUAUUCAAAUUAAUUCGUUUCCCUCCAUUUUCAUUUGAUUAUUCAACUAUUUUGCUUGUUUUGUAAAAUUCAUAAAAGAUGCAAAAAUGAUCCAAAUGAGUCCCAAUUUAUUUUCAUGGUUUUGUAUGGAUGUCUACUUUUUUAUGGUGCUGAUUUCAUGAAUUGUUGAUGUCUGGAUUUUUAUUUGUGAAUUUUUGAAUGAACAUUGUGCUAAUUUGAUCUAUUGCAUUCAAUGCAUUGUGAAAUCCUCAUCUUUGAGCCAUCUGAUCCAAUUUUUUGCAUACAUGACAUUCAUACAUAAUAUGAAUAAAUGAACAUUGUGCUAAUUUGAUCUAUUGCAUUCAAUGCAUUGUGAAAUCCUCAUCUUUGAGCCAUCUGAUCCAAUUUUUUGCAUACAUGACAUUCAUACAUAAUAUGAAUUAUUGGUCACUGGUUUUGAAUUUUUCUCACAGGUUAUCAUCAUUUUUGACACAUAGGGAAUAAUGUGACAAUUUGUGUCACAUUUUUGACAUUGAAUUGGUGCAUUUUUGUUCACAUAACAUUUGCAUCAUUCUGGAUUUGAUUUUUUGCAUGAUGAUUAUUCAUGACAUGAGGAACUUGUAAAAAAAAUCUCAAAGUCAUUGCGUGCAUUUCUGAUUUGGUAUGAAUUUUCUAAGUUGGAAGUUUAUUUUGUGCAUAUUUUUGGUCAUUGCAUGGCAUAGACAAUUAGAGGCAUUUGAUUUUUUGAUUUGAUGCUGGUCCUUUUGAGGACAUUUAGUGGAGUGUUGGAAGGUGUAAUGUGUAGAAGAUUGGGUUCUGGUUUGGUCAUUUGGUUAGGUUUUGAAUUCAUCUCUUAUGCUUUUGUUUGUUGGUGUUUUAUUGUGUUGUUUAAAUGCACAUAGACUAACUUUGUCUUGUGUUUCAGGUUUGGAUACUCAUCAUUGAUCUUGUGAGAUACAAAUGCAUUUGAGUACUGACCUAUUGUUGUUUUGUAGGGUUUUAACUGAUGUGGUGAACUCAUGAGCUCAUUUGAGUGCUAGGGCACUUAUGCACUGAAUUGUGUAAUUGUUAGAGGGUUUCACUGUAUGUUUUCUGGUUGUAUGACUGAAGUACUAAUUGUUUAGUCUUUGUACAGGUACUUUAGUUGCUUGCUUGCUUUAGCUCUUGCUUAAGCUUUGGAUUAUGGUUGACACACCACUCAGGUAAUUAGCUUCUUACUUCAUGUAGUCUGAAGUCCUGUCACCUUUUUGGCAGGCAUUUUGCUGGCAAGUCCUCCUUCAGAGGCUCUGUUUGUGUUUGUUUAAAAUUGUGCUCAAAGACCUCCAAGAAGAGGCAUGUGAUAUUUGAUAAGACCUCCAAGAGAAGAGGAAAUUGACGGAUAAAAGGGAUUAGUAGCCAAUCCCCCGUUAUUCAAUGUGUCGUUCUUUAUGCUCGCACUACGUGCUGAUGCUUCUGAACAUGUGCCCNNNNNNNNNNNNNNNNNNNNNNNNNNNNNNNNNNNNNNNNNNNNNNNNNNNNNNNNNNNNNNNNNNNNNNNNNNNNNNNNNNNNNNNNNNNNNNNNNNNNAAAUUCAACAAAAACAGUAAUAAUACACAGAAAACUCAAAAUAAAAACAAACCCUACAAUUCAACAAACUCCUCAAUCUUCCUUCAUUUCAUCGCCAUGGGUUGCACCACCUCCUGCACCCCCAAAAAAAAACUGGCCUGCCCUCGGGCCACUUAGCAUAAUCAACAUAAUCCUCCUAGGAAGGGAAUGAAGAGGAAUAGUUUUGAAAUUUGGAGGUUUGGAAGUGGAGCAGCGAAGUUGUUGAAAGAAUCUCCUAAGUUUGUGAAAAUAGGAAUGAAACGAAAAUGACAUAAAACAGAACUUAAAUGGUUCUGCCACGCUCAGUUCGCUGGGCGAACUCUGUUUGCUAGGCCAACUGAAGGAUUUUUUUUUAUUUUUUAUUUUUUAUUUAUUUUUUUAUAUUCAGUUUGCUGGGCGAAUUGAAGGAAAUUUCAAAAAAAAAUUGUUGGCAGUGGUCAGAACAUAAGUGGUUUUGUCACGCACCGUUCGCUGGGCGAACUUUGUUCGCGGCGCGAACUGAAGCUUUCCAUUCAGUUCGCUGGGCGAACACUGUUCGCGGGGCGAACGGCAAAAAACAGAACCCAAUUUUUCAAAAUUUAACACAGCAGAAAAUCAAUAAAACAGAAUUGAGAAAAUGUAAAAUUCAGACUUACAACGUUGGGUUGCCUCCCAACAAGCGCUUUGCUUAACGUCGUUUAGAGCUCGACGGUUCAACGGUCUUCACGAUCCGCCUUUGUUGAGAAACUUCCUCAAGGGCUUUGUUGUCUUCAAGAGGUUCUUGAUGAACCUUCGAUAAAAUCUGAUACCACCCGUUUUCGGAACUACUUGCACAACACUCACCCAUUCACCAUCGGAGAUAGAACAAAUCAAUCAUUAGUCCAUCAUCAAUAUCAAUCAUCAUUCGGGCCGUUUUCAUGAAUGGUCUUCCAAGAAUUAUAGGAACCUCACGAUCCUCAUCCAUGUCUACUAUCACAAAAUCUACCGGAAACAAGAAUUUUUCCACCUUCACUAACAUGUCUUGAGCAACUCCAUAUGGUGAAGUAGUAGACUUAUCAGCUAGUUGUAAAGUCAUCCUUGUAGAUUUGAUCUCAACAUUUCCCAAUAUUUUGACAAUGGAUAGGGGAAUUAAAUUAAUGCUAGAUCCCAAGUCAAUCAAGCCAUUACCAAUAUAGGUGUCUCCAAUGGUUACCGGUAAAACGACUCGGCGCGGAUCAGAUUCCUUCCUUGGGAGAUUCUUUUGAAUGAUGGCACUACAACGUGCAUCGAGCAAGAUUGUCUCGUCUUCCACAUGUCUUCUUUUCUUUGUGAGAAUAUCCUUCAUGAACUUUGCAUACCGUGACAUUUGCUCUAAUGCAUCAGCAAAUGGAAUAUUGAUUUGAAGUUGUUUGAAUAUGUCCAUAAACCGUGCAUAGUGUCUAGCAUUAUCCUUCUUUGAUGGUGCGUGCGGAUAAGGUAAAUGUUGAACUGGAAUGACAUUCACUCCUUUGUCUCUUGUUUUCUUUUUUCUUGGUUUAAUUUCCUUCUUCAUUUCCGCUUCACACUGCUGUUCUUCCAUCAAUUGCUGAUUCUGCUGUUUUCACGGCGCGAACUGAGCAGUUUGUGCCACUUUCUCCUUCCCACAAGCCACAUCCUCAUUUUCCAGCACAUCAUCCAUAUCAUUCUCAAUUGUAAUUUCCUCACUUUUUUUACUUGUCAACUCUCUACCGCUUCUAGUAAAAAUUGCUUUACAAUGCUCCUUUGGAUUAGUUUGAGUGUUAGCGGAGAAAGAAGAUCCUGCAGUUUGUUCCGACAGUACAAUGCUCCUUUGGAUUAGUUUGAGUGUUAGCGGAGAAAGAAGAUCCUGCAGUUUGUUCCGACAGUUGUUUCGCAAGUUGACCUAUUUGAUUUUCCAAAUUCUUGAUUGCUGCCUCGUUGCUCUUCUCAUUUGCCAUGGAGGCUUGCAUGAAUUGUUGGAGAGUGUCUUCUAGCUUUGAAUUUCCUCCUUGCGAUUGUUGUCCUUGAGAAUUUGGGUGUUAAUAAGGACUUUGCUGCUGAAAACUUUGGUUGUUGAACCUUGAUGGUUGAUAACCUUGAUUGUUCCUUUGAUAGCCUUGAUUUUGAUUGUUCACAUAGCUCACUUCUUCUAGUGGAGGGCAAAAACCAGUCGGAUGAUCUCCUUGGCAUAAUUCGCAACAUGCUACUUGAUGUCGAACUUGAGACCCUUGAAUUUCCUUCAUUUGCUGUGGAAGCUUGGCCAUUUGUUGAGUAAGCAACUCCACUUGUUGAGAGAGUAGCUUGUUUUGAGUAAGAAUGGCAUCAUUGGUAUUUAACUCAAGAACUCCCGAUUUCCGUUGUGAAGGGCUACGGUCAUGUUGACUUCGACGAUCAUUAAGUGCCAUCCGAUCAAUAAUGACUUUAGCUUCUUCAGCAUUCUUUGACAUAAGAGAGCCACCCGCGGUAGCAUCCAAAAGUGUUCUGUGAGUUGAUUGGAGCCCAUUUAGAAAAAUAUGGAUUUGAGUGAGCUCAUCAAAACCAUGACCCUUGCAUUUUCUCAACAUUGACUUGAAUCUUUCCCAAGCCUCAUUUAAAGACUCGUUGCUUCCUUGAGUGAAUACCGCAAUAGCCGUUUUGGCUUCCAUGAAUCGGGAUUGAGGGAAAUAUCUUUCUAAGAACUUUUCUUCUANNNNNNNNNNNNNNNNNNNNNNNNNNNNNNNNNNNNNNNNNNNNNNNNNNNNNNNNNNNNNNNNNNNNNNNNNNNNNNNNNNNNNNNNNNNNNNNNNNNNNNNNNNNNNNNNNNNNNNNNNNNNNNNNNNNNNNNNNNNNNNNNNNNNNNNNNNNNNNNNNNNNNNNNNNNNNNNNNNNNNNNNNNNNNNNNNNNNNNNNNNNNNNNNNNNNNNNNNNNNNNNNNNNNNNNNNNNNNNNNNNNNNNNNNNNNNNNNNNNNNNNNNNNNNNNNNNNNNNNNNNNNNNNNNNNNNNNNNNNNNNNNNNNNNNNNNNNNNNNNNNNNNNNNNNNNNNNNNNNNNNNNNNNNNNNNNNNNNNNNNNNNNNNNNNNNNNNNNNNNNNNNNNNNNNNNNNNNNNNNNNNNNNNNNNNNNNNNNNNNNNNNNNNNNNNNNNNNNNNNNNNNNNNNNNNNNNNNNNNNNNNNNNNNNNNNNNNNNNNNNNNNNNNNNNNNNNNNNNNNNNNNNNNNNNNNNNNNNNNNNNNNNNNNNNNNNNNNNNNNNNNNNNNNNNNNNNNNNNNNNNNNNNNNNNNNNNNNNNNNNNNNNNNNNNNNNNNNNNNNNNNNNNNNNNNNNNNNNNNNNNNNNNNNNNNNNNNNNNNNNNNNNNNNNNNNNNNNNNNNNNNNNNNNNNNNNNNNNNNNNNNNNNNNNNNNNNNNNNNNNNNNNNNNNNNNNNNNNNNNNNNNNNNNNNNNNNNNNNNNNNNNNNNNNNNNNNNNNNNNNNNNNNNNNNNNNNNNNNNNNNNNNNNNNNNNNNNNNNNNNNNNNNNNNNNNNNNNNNNNNNNNNNNNNNNNNNNNNNNNNNNNNNNNNNNNNNNNNNNNNNNNNNNNNNNNNNNNNNNNNNNNNNNNNNNNNNNNNNNNNNNNNNNNNNNNNNNNNNNNNNNNNNNNNNNNNNNNNNNNNNNNNNNNNNNNNNNNNNNNNNNNNNNNNNNNNNNNNNNNNNNNNNNNNNNNNNNNNNNNNNNNNNNNNNNNNNNNNNNNNNNNNNNNNNNNNNNNNNNNNNNNNNNNNNNNNNNNNNNNNNNNNNNNNNNNNNNNNNNNNNNNNNNNNNNNNNNNNNNNNNNNNNNNNNNNNNNNNNNNNNNNNNNNNNNNNNNNNNNNNNNNNNNNNNNNNNNNNNNNNNNNNNNNNNNNNNNNNNNNNNNNNNNNNNNNNNNNNNNNNNNNNNNNNNNNNNNNNNNNNNNNNNNNNNNNNNNNNNNNNNNNNNNNNNNNNNNNNNNNNNNNNNNNNNNNNNNNNNNNNNNNNNNNNNNNNNNNNNNNNNNNNNNNNNNNNNNNNNNNNNNNNNNNNNNNNNNNNNNNNNNNNNNNNNNNNNNNNNNNNNNNNNNNNNNNNNNNNNNNNNNNNNNNNNNNNNNNNNNNNNNNNNNNNNNNNNNNNNNNNNNNNNNNNNNNNNNNNNNNNNNNNNNNNNNNNNNNNNNNNNNNNNNNNNNNNNNNNNNNNNNNNNNNNNNNNNNNNNNNNNNNNNNNNNNNNNNNNNNNNNNNNNNNNNNNNNNNNNNNNNNNNNNNNNNNNNNNNNNNNNNNNNNNNNNNNNNNNNNNNNNNNNNNNNNNNNNNNNNNNNNNNNNNNNNNNNNNNNNNNNNNNNNNNNNNNNNNNNNNNNNNNNNNNNNNNNNNNNNNNNNNNNNNNNNNNNNNNNNNNNNNNNNNNNNNNNNNNNNNNNNNNNNNNNNNNNNNNNNNNNNNNNNNNNNNNNNNNNNNNNNNNNNNNNNNNNNNNNNNNNNNNNNNNNNNNNNNNNNNNNNNNNNNNNNNNNNNNNNNNNNNNNNNNNNNNNNNNNNNNNNNNNNNNNNNNNNNNNNNNNNNNNNNNNNNNNNNNNNNNNNNNNNNNNNNNNNNNNNNNNNNNNNNNNNNNNNNNNNNNNNNNNNNNNNNNNNNNNNNNNNNNNNNNNNNNNNNNNNNNNNNNNNNNNNNNNNNNNNNNNNNNNNNNNNNNNNNNNNNNNNNNNNNNNNNNNNNNNNNNNNNNNNNNNNNNNNNNNNNNNNNNNNNNNNNNNNNGGUGAAAAGAUAUCUUCGGCAAAUAUUUUUAUACGUAUCCACAGAGAUUGGUUGAUAUUACCGCCGUUCUAUAAUCCGAUUUGUUAUAAGUUUAGAAAGUAACAAAGUUGUUUUGGUUGGAAAAUUAUCUUGUGAGUAAAUGUCACUAAAAACAGUAAAAUGGUUUUAAUCAAAUGCAAAAGCUUGGCAAGAUUGGAGUUCAAUAUUUCAAAUGCUUAUGAUUCUUUAUGAUAACUAUAUAGAUUUAAGAUUAUUGAUGAUGUUCAAGUAUCCUCUCAAAGUCAUUUAUGUCUAAAUGAUAUUAUGAUAAUCACUAUAUUGAUCCUUAGACGAUCUCUCCACCUAACUAUCAAUAUAUCAAUCUUUAAUGUUUAAUACCAAAGAAGAGUAAUGAAUAAAUCUAUCUCUACAACUUAUUCACUACUUGAAAGUCUAUUUUAUGUCAAGACUCAAAUAAUCUCUUUCAACAACUACUCAAAUCUGGUUUUCAACUUAGGGCAAAAACAAUAUUCAAUACAUCAACAAUCUUUUUCAUAUAUAAAAAUCAAAUGGAAUACAUAAACAAAUGAGAAUAGCUACUACCUCCAAUCUUGACAAAAUGGAGUUUAGCUCCUCAUCAUCAUUGUUACAAAGCAUAAUGUUAAAAAAUGGAAGAAAAACUCUGUUUUUCUCUCUUACAAAAAUAUCUCAAUGUAUCAAUGUGUGAAUAAUUAUGAAUAAUGUGUUUUUCUCCUAAAAGAGUUGACAUUUCCUUAAUUGAUCAUUUCCAUCCAAAGCAGAAAAGCUAUUCCAAGACAAACACCAAAAUGGCAAGACAGCUGGUCAUGAAGGACAGCAGUUUUGGCCCAAAAUCAACUUGCUAGAUUCGCAGCCUUCGCGGCGCGAAGUAGGUUCGCGGCGCGAACUGAAGCUUAUCCAGCUUCCUUGCUUUGCAAGCUUCAUCCAAAAUCUUCCAAUUUGUGAUGUUUCUUUCCAAAAGCUCUUUCAUCUAAAACUUCUACAAAACUAACAAAUUUGUGAAAUAACUAUUCAAAGCAAAAUAAAUUAAAUCUAAUUGCAUUUAUACCAAUUAACAAGAAUACUAGUGUGUAAUUACAUCAAAGUUUGGUAAAAGGGACCAAUAAAAUGAUAUAAAAAGUAGUACUAAUUGGUCCCUAACAGUACGUAGGCACAAGUCCGAAGGUCUUGUCAGACAUAAAAAUAUAAUUAAUGAAUUCCUUUCUCAUCCCCUCACUCUAUUUAUUACAAACAUCAUUUUAUACCAAAACACGCACACACAUAAAAAGGGCUCCCUAGGAGUACCUAGGACACUUUGGGUGCUAACACCUUCCCUCUGUGUAACCAACCCCCUUACCUGUAAUCUCUGGCAUUUUAUUAGUUUUGAUUUGAAAACUUCUUAUCUUUGGGUUUUGUUUGUACUUUUCCCUUUUCCCUUGGAAACAAUAAAAGCGUGGUGGCAACUCUGGUUUUAUUGACGUUAAGUUUAUCCAUAGCUUAAUGGUCAUGAAUUUACCGCUACANNNNNNNNNNNNNNNNNNNNNNNNNNNNNNNNNNNNNNNNNNNNNNNNAAAGCAGAAAAGCUAUUCCAAGACAAACACCAAAAUGCGAAGACAGCUGGUCAUGAGGACAGCAGUUUUGCCCAAAAUCAACUUGCUAGAUUCGCAGCCUUCGCGGCGCGAAGUAGGUUCGCGGCGCGAACUGAAGCUUAUCCAGCUUCCUUGCUUUGCAAGCUUCAUCCAAAACUUCCAAUUUGUGAUGUUUCUUUCCAAAAGCUUCUUCAUCUAAAACUUCUACAAAAACUAACAAAUUUGUGAAAUAACUAUUCAAAGCAAAAUAAAUUAAAUCUAAUUGCAUUUAUACCAAUUAACAGAAUACUAGUGUGUAAUUACAUCAAAGUUUGGUAAAAGGGACCAAUAAAAUGAUAAAAAGUAGUACUAAUUGGUCCCUAACAGUACGUAGGCACAAGUCCGAAGGUCUUGUGACAUAAAAAAUAUAAUUAAUGAAUCCUUCUCAUCCCUCACUCUAUUUAUUACAAACAUCAUUUAUACCAAAACACGCACACACAUAAAAAGGCUCCCUAGGAGUUACCUAGGACACUUUGCGGUGCUAAACACCUUCCCUCUGUGUAACCAACCCCCUUACCUGUAAUCUCUGGCAUUUUAUUAGUUUUGAUUUGAAAACUUCUUAUCUUUGGGUUUUGUUUGUACUUUUCCCUUUUCCCUUGGAAACAAUAAAAGCGUGGUGGCAACUCUGGUUUUAUUGACGUUAAGUUUAUCCAUAGCUUAAUGGUCAUGAAUUUACCGCUACAAAUGCUUGUUGCUGAUACGACUGUUGUUAUGAUGGGUACUAUUGUUGAGGUUGAUAUUAUUGUUGAUUAUGAUAUUGUUGUGGUUGAUUAUGGUAUUGAAUGGAAUCCUGAUUUUGAAAGUCCCCUUGCUGAUCUUUCCAAGAGAAAUUUGGAUGAUUCUUCGAGCUUGGAUUAUAAGUGUUAGAAUAAGUGUUGUUCUGCUUCAGAAAAUUUAUCUCUUCAAUUUUUUGCACGGUUGUAACACUUUGGAUGGAAAAAUGGAUUCCCCCAUAGAUCUCACAAUUAAUAGCUUGAACAGGUUGAACUUGGGCCACUUGUUGAGUACCUAUAUUCAUUGCCUUAAGUUUUUUCUCAACUUCAGCAACAACUUGGUCUUCCAUCUUCACACUUUGAUUAGUAAGUUUCAAAUUGAUCACACCCUCAGGUCGGCUCACACUUCUAUCAUAUAAUUCUAGUUGUUCAUUUGCAACAAUGGCUUCUAUGAUCUUCAUGAUACUAGUGGUUGUUGUAAAGUUGAAUGAUCCACCAGCAGUUGUAUCAAUUAGUUGUUUAGUCUUCAAUUUGAGGCCAUUAACAAACAUUUGCAUCUGUUCAGUCUGAUCCAAGUUAUAAGUAGGACAAGCAACCAAUAACCUUUUAAAUAUCUUAUAAGCAUCACCUAGUGAUUCACCCUCCUUCUACUUAAAAUCCAGAAUAUCAUAUCUUUUUUGAAUAUAAACAGAAGUAUGAAAGUAUUCAUUCAUAAAAGUUGUUUCCAUCUGUUCCCAUGUAGUGAUACUUCCAGCUGGCAAUGAGUAAAACCAUUCUUCAACAUCUUCAGAUAGAGUGAACAAAAACAUUCACAAUUUUUUUGCUUCUUCAGAGUGCCCAUCUAUCUUCAAAGUAGUGCUCAUAGUAAGAAACCUAUGCAGAUGUUUAUUUGCAUCUUCAUUUAUUUUACAUGUAAAAGGCCUCUUCUAAAGCUAACAGAUGGUUGUAGGAUGAAACUGAAAAUUUAGGACAUUCACUAGUUAAUUCACUAUAGUCACAUGACCCUCGGGGCGUUUUCUCCUCCAUAAUCCCCAAGAAGUCUUUCUAGUGGUUUAUCCAUAACUUAAUCUUCUCUCUCUUUGUCAGAUUCUGUAUCUGAAUGCUCAGAAACUUCAAUCUCUUUUUCUUAUUCGGAAUCUAAAAUUUCUACUUCAGAGGCUUCCAACCUUGCUUCCCUAGCUUGUUUGAGCCUAGCGUGCAAAGUUCUUUCUAGUUUUGCAUCAAAAGUAAAAUCAGCCGAGGGCUUUCCUCGCAUACAAAGAUUAGACAAAGAUUAGUAAUAACCCAAAAAUAGACAUAAAAAUAAAAAUAAAAACUAAAAUUUAAAAUUUUAGUUGCAGAACAACAAAAUUUUAACUGAAAUAGAUCUAUGAACUCUAUAAUCUUUGGCAGUCCCCAACAACGGUGCCAAAAACUUGAUCGAUAAAUUGGCAAGUGUAUGAAUCUGCCAAUGUAGUAAUAAGAAGGGAAAUCCCUAGUAUCGAUCUUAAGGAUUGUUUGACGAUACAAAGUUCUGGAUAAAUUUCAGUUAAACAAAAUCCUUGGGGUUUGUGGAUUGAUUGGUUAAAUUAUGAAUAGAAUGCAAAUAAAGUUAACAAAGUAAUUGCAUGGUUUAGAAAGGCAUGAUUAAUAUGCUAGGGAUAAUGUAUGAUUCAAUUAUUUGACGAUUCUGAACUCACAAUGCAACAACAUAUUCCAGAUAAUUGACUACCAGUUCUUACAAGUGUUUACUCCUAAGUCCUUAGGGAGAAAGCCUUUAAUCAUUCUACCUAACUCCUAUAUCCAUAGAAAAGUACAAAUGAAAUUAAGCAUUAAUUUGUCAAGAAUAAUCCGGUUCUUAUAGGGUAUUCUUAGUCCUAGGUAACAUCUACUAUAAAAUAUUCUCAAGCAGAUUAGUAAUAAUGGUUGUCUAGCUUAAUUAUUACUCAUAAAUCAAACUCCAUUUAUCCGACAAAGAAAGCAUUAAAAUAUUCAAGAGAAUAAAUCAAAUAUGAUGAAAUAAAAUUGUUAUUGCAAAGAGGAAUUCGAAGUCAUUACAGUGACACCCCCUAGCAUUUAUGGGUUUAGCUACUCAUAGAAAUAAAACAAAACAUGAUAAAUAAUGUUUCCAUUGUAGAAAUUUUAGACGAGUUGAUCAUAAAUCGCAAAAAGCUCCUGAAAAUCUGAGUUCUCCAGCCUUCAAAACAUGUUUUUGCCUUCCAAAAUUGUCCAACCCGUGAAAAUUUGUGUUUUCUAGUUAAAUAGACAUUGUUUUCGGGCCUUCAACAAUUUGGGCCUUCAUACGCGUAUUUCCCAAGUCCGUAUGCGUGUGGCCUUGCUCUUGGCCCUACCAGAUAUGCGUAAGCCAACAUGGUUUCCCCAAGGUAGGUCCCAUAUGUGUAUCAUCAGUGUAUGGGAAGAAUCCCCCAUUUCCUCCCCUUUGUUGGUCCUCGUAUAAUACGGGGAAGGAUUCAGGUCCAUACGCAUAUGGACAUAAGCAUGUUCUUUUUCUCCUCUCUGCUGGUCUAUGUGUGCUACGCGUAAGGGUCUAUGGCCAUACGCGUAUGGGUAGAGCCAUAAUCUUUUUUUCUUUUUCUUCUUCUUCCUUGAUCUGGCCCGAUCUUUUCUCUGAUGCUAACUUCCCUUUUCCUUUUAUCCUGCAUCCAACAUGUCACACAUACCAAAAAGACGUAAAAAUAGCCAAAAGAAACUCAAACUAUAAAAAUAAUGUCUUGGCACAAUCUAACUCGAAAGAUCAAACAUUAAGACCAAAAGUAUACAGUUCACCUGGAUUUUUGAUGGAUAAACGAUGAAAGCUAUAACACAAAUGAUGAUUGAUCAAUCAGAUACAAUUUUUACACCGUCGUGCUAAAACCGAUAUCUGAGUACUUUCGCUGUCACGCAAAUAUUUUUGAAUUUUUUGAAGCAAAAUUUAUGGUGAACGCCAUGAGUACAAAAUUUGAAGAACGUGGUGUUAGAACAAGAUUUGGUUCAGCAUCUAUACCUUGAGCUUUGAUAUUAACAAUGUUGUAUUUGUGUGAGAACAAUUUUGGUACCCUAAUGGUUUGUUAUCGUGUAACUUUAACAGUCAAUUCUGAUUUUGAGUAUAUGACGUGUAACGUCAUUAGUUUUUGAACAUAGUGUUAGAAAUUCUGCUUCUGCAUUAAUCAUGAAAAGUUCCAAAAGAUGUCAAGUUGAUGCUGCAAUGUUCUUUUUGCUUCUAUGCUGAUUCACUCCUGAGGAGUUUCUGGAAAUAUGCUAUGUUGCUGCUACAAUGUUCUCUCUGUUUCUGCUUCUGGAUGUGACUCUGGUCAUCCAACUUAUGAAGAAUCGCAAGCUUAUAAAGUUUUGUUACUUAGCUGAAGAUUCUGAAGAUCUCAACCCAUACGUUGAGGUUAUCAAGGUUCUGACUGAAGAGUCUGAAUAUUAUGAAGAUCUCAGGCUAGAUUACUAAUGUUGUCAAGGUUCUGAUAUAAGAUUAUGAAGUUUCUGAAUCCAGCUAUAUGUUUCUUUGUUUCUUGCUUAAUCAACUAUUCAUCAGAAGCCAAUGAAUUUUAAGAUAAGAUCAAAAUAGAUUUUGGAGACUUGAAGAAAAGACUACUACAACAAGUUCGUAAGACUGUUUUUAACGUGAAAAAGAUCUAAACUUAGUUCAUACUUUUCUUUAAGUAUUUGUUUUUCAUUUGUGUAAAAUAUGCUUGUGCAGAAGCAACUUAUAAACACAAAACUUUAUUCAAACAUGUCGUUUGUAAUUCCUUAAGGAGACUAGGGUAUAGUCGGAUCCUUGAGUAGAAAAAGAAGGUUAUUCUUUGUGAUUAUUAUAAUCAUUUAGUUAUAGUGGAUUAAGUCCUUAUGUAUAAUACAAAAUCACCUUGGCGGAUGGAAUGGAGUAGCUUUGAGUUUCAAGUGAACCAAGAUAAAAAUGCUUUCGUUUUUAUCUCUUUGUUUUUAGUAUUUGUGUGGUGUUCUUCAGUUGGAAAAAAACUAUUGUUUUUAAAACCCAGUUCAAACUCCCCAUUUCUUGUGUUUUUCACACCUUCAAUUGGCAUUAGAUCUCAGAUUCUGAUAGUUAUAAAGUUUUUAUGAACACUUCACCGUGUUUAGUACUGAUCCAAUGUGUGUGAGAAAUAAUGGCCGCUGCUAACAACAACAUUGUCGCUACUAACUACAAUGAGAUGGGUCACUACAGUGCUAAACCACCAAUAUUUGAUGGUGAGAUGUUUGAUUACUGGAAAGAUAGAAUCGAAAGUUUCUUCUUUGGAUAUGAUAUUGAUCUCUGGGAUCUUGUAGUCAAUGGCCAUGUUCACCUAGUUAAUGUUGAAGGAAAUAAUAUAGCAAGAAAUGCUAUGACUGAUCAACAAAAGAAGGAUUUCAAAAAUCAUCAUAAGGCUAGAACGAUAUUUCUUCAUGAUAUCUCUUAUACUGAGUAUGAGAGGAUAACUAACAGAGACUCUUCUAAGUCUAUUUUUGAUUCCUUUAGAAUGACUCAUGAAGGGAAUGCUCAAGUAAAUGAGACAAAGGCUUUGGCCUCAAUCCAUAAGUACGAAGCAUUUAGAAUGGAAGAUGAUGAAACCGUUGAGACUAUGUUCUCAAGAUUUCAGAUGCUUGUUGCAGGCCUGGAAGUUUUGGACAAAGGAUACUCUAUGGUUGACCAUGUCAAGAAGAUAAUCAGAAAUCUCCCUAAAAAACGGAGACUAUGGUAACUACUUUGAAGUUGGAAAAUGAUCUUAACAAUAUUAGUCUUGAAGAACUUGUUAGUUCUUUGAGAAGCCAUGAGAUAUAACUCGAGGAAGAUGAACCUUAGAAGAGAGGUAAAUCUGUUGCUUUAAAGUCUAAGCCUGAGAAGAUAAGAGCUUAUAAAGAUGAGUAAGAAUAAAAAGUUUCUAAUGAAGAUUCAGAAGAUGAUGAUGAGUUGUCUUUGAUUUCCAAGAGGGUCAACAGACUCUGGAGGCAUAAGAAGAAUGGUCAAGGAAAGUUCAGAGGAGCUAGGAGGACUGUUGGUCAUUCUAAUUCUUCGUCUGGACAAAAGAAGCAAGGUUCUGGUAAAGAGGUUAUCUACUUUGAGUGCAAGGAACCAAGACACUACAAGAAUGAGUGUCCUAAGCCGAAAAAGGACAUAAGGCAUAAGAAUAAGUUUUCUAAAGGCAAGAAGGUGUCGAUGGCUACAUGGGAUGACCCAAAAUCUGAAGAAGAAGAUUCUGAUGAAGAACAUGCCAAUGUUGCAUUGAUGGCAACUAUAGCUGAUCCACAAGGUUCUGAAGAACCAGAGGACAAGAUGUUGUUAGAAUCAGAAUCAGACUCCAAUUCUGAAGCGAUAUUUUAUGAACUAUCUUGUUCUGAUUAAGAGUCAUAUCUCUAUGAAAUACUGAACGAGUACUAGAGUCUUUAAACUAAGUACAAUGACCUUAAACAAGUCCAAGUAGUUGCUUUUGAAACUCGUAGUGAGCUUGAGAAAGAUAUUUCUUCCCUAAAUGAAAAAAUAUUUUCAAUGCUUUGAAAAGUAAAAUUUCAAAACUAGAGGAAGAAAUAGUCUUAGAAGCUUCUGGUACUGAUUGCAUCAUUAGAUAUGAUAGAGCAUUCUAGUACUUUCUGGCUAAAAGCAUAUAUAAAAGUAAAAUGGCUUCCUUGAUCUAUAGAGUUAGCAAAAAUGGAAAGAAAGGUUUAGGUUAUACAUAAACUAUAAAACCCGACGAAAGUCAGAAGGUUAUAUUGAAACCUCUCUAUGAGCAUAUCGUGUCUGCUGGCACGGAGCUUGAUUUUUCUACAUAUACACAAAGACUUACACAGGAUAAGAACUCAGUUCUGAAACCGAAGUAUCAUGCACAAAUUUCACUUGAUUAUCCUAUUUCACAAAGACCCAAGAGUGUAAGAAACUCUAGGAAAACUAACAAGAGAGGACCCAUAAAGUGGUUACCUUAGGAUAAGAUCAUAUAUGUUGAAGACAUCCUUAGCAGCUCAGUUGAAACACCAGUUAUGGUACCUGGACAAUGGAUGCUUGCGACAUAUGACGGUUAGAAGGUCAAUGUUCCAAGAUUUGGAACUUAAUAUUAGAGGCUUCGUUGGUUUCGGAGGAAACCAGAACGGGAAGAUCAUUAGCUCCGGAACUGUUGGUAACAAUAAACUUCCAUCUAUUACUAAUGUUCUUUUGGUGGGUGGUUUGAUGCAUAACUUAUUGUCUAUUAGUCGACUUAGUGACAAUGGUUAUGACAUCAUUUUUAAUCAAAAGUCAUGUAAGGUUUUUAGUCAAAAAGAUGGUACAAUCCUUUUUAACGGAAAGAGAAAGAAUGACAUUUAUAAAAUCAGACUUUCUGAUCUUAAGGGUCAAAAUGUAAAAUGCCUAAUGUCUGUUAAUAAGGAGCAAUGGGUAUGGCAUAAACGUUCGUGGCAUGUUAGCAUGAUAAGGUUUUCUCAGCUAAAUAAGCUUGGAUUAGUCAGAGGCUUACCCAACCUAAAGUUCGCUUUAGAUGCUCUUUGUGAAGCAUGUCAGAAAGGCAAGUUUUCUAAAACAUCUUUCAAAGUGAAAACUGUUGUUUCUACAUCUAGACCGUUAGAACUUAUGCACAUUGAUUUGUUUGGGCCAGUGAAAACUGCCUAUAUCAGUGGUAAGAAGUAUGGAUUGGUCAUCAUUUAUGACUAUAUUCGUUGGACAUGGGUAAAGUUCUUGAAACACAAUGAUGAGUCACAUUCUAUGUUCUUUACUUUCUGCUCACAGGUGCAAACAGAGAUGGAUUGCAAAAUAGUCAAAGUCAGAAGUGAUCAUGGUGGAGAAUUUGAAAAUAAACAUUUUGAAAGUAUUUUUGAUGCAAAUAGAAUUUCCCAUGAUUUCUCCCGUCCUAGAACUCCAUAGAAAAAUGGGGUUGUAGAAAGGAAGAGUAGGACUUUGCAAGAAAUGACUCGCACCAUGAUCCAAGAGAUUGAUAUGGCUAAGAAUUUCUGGGCAGAAGCAGUUAACGUAACUUGUUAAAUUCAGAACAUGAUUUCUAUUAGACCUAUUCUAGGUAAGACUCCCUAUAAAUUAUGGAAGAACAGAAAGCCCAACAUUUCUUACUUCCAUCCUUUUGGCUAUGAGUGUUUUAUGUUGAACACUAAAGAGAAUCUUGGCAAGUCUGAUUCUAAGGCACAAAAGUGCUUAUUGUUAGGAUAUUAUGAACGCUCAAAAGGCUACAAAGUCUUUAAUAGUGAGACACAAGUUAUCGAAGAAUCAAUUCAUGUAAGAUUCAAUGAUAAGCUUAACCCUGAAAAGUCAAAGCUAGUAGAGAAAUUUGUAGAUAUGAAGAUUAAUUUCUCAGAAUCUGAAGAUAAAGACUCAGAAGGUAAAGCCAAGGACGCUGAAGCAAAACACUCGUAAGUGACUCAACCAGAAGCCAUUGUUGGUCCAAAUAAGAAGAAGAGUUGAUCAAGAACUUCUCAUUCUGAAGAAUUGAUUCUAGGAGAUAAAGACGCACCAGUCAAAACUCGAUCUUCAUUCAAACCUUUUGAAGAAACUGUUCUGGGUUUGGUAUCUCUAAUAAAGCUCAUAUCUAUUGAUGAAGCUCUUCUGGAUAAUGAUUGGAUUUUGGCUAUGCAAGAAGAACUAAAUCAAUUCACCAGGAAUGACAUCUGGGAUCUUAUUCAGAAACCAAAGGGUUUCCAUGUCAAUGGAACCAUAUGGGUUUUUAGAAACAAGCUCAAUGAGAAGGGCGAAGUCAUCAGAAUCAAGGUUCGACUAGUAGCAAAAGGUUAUAGUCAACAAGAAGGUAUAUACUAUAUAUAAACCUUUGCUCUAUUUUCCAGGCUAGAGUUUAUUCAUUUUUUAAUUUCAUUUGUAGUCAAUCAUAUCGUCAUUCUUUAUCAGAUGGAUGUUAAGAGUGCAUUCUUAAAUGGGUACAUUUCUGAAGAAGUGUAUGGGCACUAACCCUUGGUUUUGAAAGUUUCCAAAACCAUGAUUUUAUUUUCAAACUCAAAAAGUCGUUAUAUGGUAUGAAACAAGCUCCCAGAGCUUGGUAUGAUAGACUAAUCAACUUCCUUUUGGAAAAUGAUUUUACUAGAGGUAAAGUGGACACUAAUCUCUUUUGAAAAACCAUUAAGAAUGAUAUCCUGGUUGUCAUACCCCAAUUUUGUUCGGGCAUUUUUAAAUUUUUGUAAAUUUCGAUUUCACUUUUUUUUUUAUAUCAUAUGCACAACAUGACAUGCAUUUCAUCAUGAAUAAUAUCUAAAAUAUCAGUCAGAAUAUAAUAUUGAAAAUACAAACAAAUUGGUUAAAUCGUUUCUCAAGUACGUGCAAAAUCAGCGGGUAAAAAGUUUCAAAAUUAAAAUUACAGACGUCAGUAUCAUUAACCUACUGUUCACGUAGUUUAUUGGUGUGCUCCUUGUAUUUUUCAGGGACUGUUUCGGCUGCGUUUUGACCCGCCUGAGCCUUUUAAUCGGUGACAAUUUAUUUUAGAAUUUGAAGAAACGCUGUAUUUUUUCAAUAAGUGUAUUUUGUGGUGAUCAUUUUGGUGCACCCGAUUUAAUUUUUCGAGCAAAUUUUUACCCGACUUUUUUUGCAUAAUCAGUCAUUUUAUUUUUAUCCUUUCGCCAAAACAUUCAGAAAAUUGAGAUUUCCAUGUCUUCAUUUUAUUUUUACCAUAUUCAUUUUAGAAGUUGUGGAUUUAAAUUUGAUUUCAUUUAUCUAAAUUGUUUUAAGUCAAUUGAACCAUCUAGAAGGGGCACCUUUGAUAUUUUUAGAAUUAGUUAGCAUUUGUGUUUCUUUGGUUUAAUCUCGAUCGUUAAAUCGAGAUUAAUCAAAGGUCUAUAAUAGUUAUCCAUGUGUGUUUCUAUUUACCAAUAAUAAAAUCAAAUAAUAAUAAUAUUAAUAAUAAAGAGAAAAAAUCAAUUUAUGGUUGUGCAAAUAAGGAUAGGUGGCGUUGGAUUAUUGACUCCUUUUUCUUAAAUUUAGAAAAAAGAAAAAUGCUAAAAAUACUACCCUUUAGGAUUUUUUUCGGUGGCCUCUCGGAUCACUCUCAAACAAAAUUCAUAACAACUCAUUAUUGGCCAGGAGAAAAUGAGCUAUCUCCACUCACAGCUGGAAACAGAAUCCACUCUCUUUCUCUCUCUCAAAAAACAACUCUGAAAAGAAAGAAAAAAAAAGAAUAGAUAUAUCUCAACGAGUACACAAAAGGACAAAAAAAUCUCAUUCUGAAAAAAGACGUUACAUCCAUUUAAAUUUCUCUCUCUCACCACUCAUAAAAGAGCUACCCACUCACCUAACUUUCAGAAUCUCUCUCACGGGUUCCUCACAUUACAAAAAGAUAAAAGGAAAAAGGAAAUUAAAAAAGGACUGACAAAAAACUCUCUCACCUGAUACCAUUCCUUCUCUCUCGUAAUAACCCUCUCUCUCUGACUUCAAAAAGGCAACGAAAAAAAGAAAAAAAAUAAAUUGAGAGGACUCUUCCUCUUAUUCGGAAUCUUAUCACUCUUCACCAUCGGACCGCCUUCAACAACCUCUGUCGUCGAAAACCUCACUGCCAUAAUCGUGCCACCCUUCACCCUCCUUCAAACUCUCCGUCGGCGAAAAACAGAAACACCGCGAGCCCCUUUUUCAACAUCGUCCAAACCCUUCGUCUUCGUUACAACCAUACACCGCCGUCUCCACCAUCCAAAUCCCAUCUCCGUCUUCACUCAACUCACAACCGCAACCAACAAACAACACCAUGAAACCGUUUUUGCGAAACGAAACUCAACGAAUCUCCUUCCUCACGAAAUCACCGUCGCCACCACCGACAUCUCACGGCUAUUCACAAUAAACCCUCACGACCGCCUCCGCUCCUCUCCCACACUUCCUUCGUGGCCACCGCGAAAGCCACCACGCGUCUUCUCCUUCACAUUCACGGAUGUCUUCUCCUUCCGAUGCCAGAUUCAAACGCAACACAAACAAACAACCAGCCGCUCUACAGCAAUAAGAGGAGCAUAGCACCAAAGGAAAUAACGCAGAAGGAUGGGUCUAGCCGCACUCCGUUUCCGUUAUAAUUUCAAGUUCAUUUCCGACGAACUCACAGUACUUCCAAUCACCCCAAGGUCGUCGAACCCGUAGGUAUAUCACUAUAAAUCUCAUGUUGAUUGGUUUAUUAUUUUUUUUGUUUUUUCCAAUUGGAGUAAGGUAGAGAUUAAAUCGAGGAUGCAAGGGUUUGUUUCAUCGGUCUUAAAGAUGAAAAAUAAUGUUCUGCAUUUUUAAAGAGCGAAAGAAAGCAUAGUGGAAAUUUCAAACUUAUUAUGAGCCUUGAUUUUCCUAAUGGUAAUGUAAAAGUUAAACUGGAUUUUUACGUUUUGUUACUUGUUUGUUUGACUGAACUUUUUUUUUAUAAUUAUUAUUACAUGACAAUAGAAUUAGUAUUUUGGUUGUAGAAAGAGUUGUCUGCAUAUAAUUCAUUAUGGUCUUGGUUUUCUUUUUAUCCAGGAAAGUUUUAGAUUCGAUCGAUAAUGCUUAAUAGUAUACAUUGAAUUCUUUCUUAAAUCACGUUUGGAAGGGUCCUGCAACUCUUUUUAUUUUUUUCAAACUUGGACAUCAUUGGUUUUAAAUGCUACUUUGUUUUAAUUAAUUGUAUUAGUAUCCCUUGUUCUAACUGAUUUAUUAGUUCACAACGUUACAACCAUUUUUCUCAAAUAUAUGGUUGGUUCUACUAUUAAAAUUUAAAUUAGAUUACUAAUUGCCUAAUGGAUUUUAUAUUGUAUAUAUAUAAAUCUGAUCCAAUCAUAUGGUGUUGUUGUUAACAUUCAGUUAAUAUGUUGUGUAUAACCUUGGCUGGUUUCUAUGUGGUUUCAAUUCCAUUAUGAUGAAGUUGGAAUUUCGACUUGCAAGUACGAGAUUUUUGAUGUUUUGAGCACAUUGUAUCCACCUUGUUUUAGUCACUUUUAAAUCAAAUUUGUUUUAAUUGAAUUGAUUGAUUAAUACAAAUUUUGUUUAAAUUACUUGGUUGUGAUGAUCGAUUACCUUGGAAAUUUUAGUUAAUCAAAUGAUUUUGAUUUUGAAUUUUGAUUGGGUCAAUUAGGUAGUUUGUUUAAAUUCCAAUCAAAUAACUUUAUUAAUUAAAUAUUGACCAAAUUAUUUUAUCACGAUGUCAACCUCUUCCAAACUCGAAUUGAUUUCAAUCUUAUCAAUUCGAAAUCAUUCACCCAUUCAAUAAAAACAUAAUUCUCGAUUCAAAGUCGAGCCCAUUUUUAAAUACCCUUGUAAGUCGAUAGCUUUUCGCAUCGCCAUCAACCUCACAUAGCUUUCUCUUGGGCUUUCUUAUUAUGAGACCUAGUCGAUUGUUAAUUGAUCGAUUAGAUGAUUGAUUCACUAAAUAAAAUCCACUUUAUUCACAAAACACAAACUUAAAACCUCGAUCCACCAUCAAGUAUUUCUAUUCAAAUUAUUAAGAUGCCCAAUCACAAUCAAAUACCAUUUCAUUUGGAAAUGAAAAGGGGGAUGGCUUUGAGUUUUCAAUUCCUUUCCUCGAUUAUUUGAAUAUGAGUUCUCUUAUUCGGUGAGUCAAAUAGUCGUCACUUCCAUCCACCUAAGCACAAACGAAUCGAAUCAUUUUUAUAAUAAGAAACAAAAAGGGAGAUGACUUUGAGUUUUCAAUUUUUUUCUCCUCGAUUAUUUGAAUACAAGUUCUCUUACUUGGUUAGUCAAAUAAUUAUCGUUCCUCUGCAAGCUUCCAAACCCCGAUUAAAUCAAAUUAUUUUCAUAAUAAGUUAAAUGAAAAGGGAGUUGACUUUAAGUUUUCAACUUCUCCUCAAUUGUUUGAAUACGAGUUCUCUUACUUGGUCAAUCGAACAAUUUUCAUUUUUCCACCAACAUAUAAGUUAAUCAAAUCAUUUCAUAAUAAACUAUACAAAAAUGGAGAUGGUCUUGAGUCUUUAAUUCCUCUUCUCAAAUGCUUGGAUAUGAGUUGUCUUACUCACCCAUUCAAGUACUUUGUCGUCUAUUCCAAAAUACAUCAACCAUACGCAAACCUAUUUUCAUAAUCACUCAGAUGAAAAAGAAAAUGGUCUAGAUUCUUCUAUUCCCUUUCUCGACUAUUAGGAUGCGAGUUGUCUUACUCGACUAUCCGAGUAUUCGUCAUCCAAUCAAAAACACCUUAAUCAUCAUUAAAAUCCUUUCACAAUUAAGGAUGAAAAAGAAAGCGGUCUAGAGUCUUCUAUUCCCUUUCCCGAUUAUUAGGAUACGAGUUGUCUUACUCGGCCAUCCGAGUAAUCAUCAUCCAACCAAAAAUAUCUUAACACAUCAAACUUAUCUUUCUCACCCUCGUGCGAUCGAAACCAGUCAAACAAAACAUUAAACACAUCAAUUCAACUCGUCACCCCCCGCGUGACCAAAACCCUUCUUUCAAAAAGAACACUGUCAAUCCUUUCUAAUGCGCACAACAAAUUAGUGCUAGAGCCUCCACCGAGAGUAGACAAGUCAAUGUUUAGCCUUUAGAACGCCGACCUACACAUUCGUUCAUAAAACAAAACACAUCAAUUAUUUGUAGUUCCCCGAACUACAAAUGCUCUGAUUUCCUUAUUACACCAUAAGGAUACGUAGGCGGGAGAUUGCUAUAUCUUCGCGAGCACACUAAUAAAAAACCUCCCUUUUCUCCCUUUUGAGGUCUUCAUCCAUAUAUAUUAUCAACUCUAAUUACUCGAAGAAAACAAACAACGCAAGUUAACACUCAAAUCUCAAAAUUGAACUAAAAGGUUCCCGUUGAGAACAAUGGACGUGAGGGGUGCUGAUACCUUCCCCUUGCGUAAUCCACUCCCGAACCCGAAUAUGGUUGCGACGACCAUUAUUCUAUUUUUCAAAGGUUUUAUCAAUAUUUUCCUAUUCCUUCAUUGGGAUAAAUAAAGUUCGGUGGUGACUCUGUUCGAACUAACAUUUUUCCACGUCCAUCGCGAGGGAUCACAUUUUUUCCGAGGUGCGAAAGCUGGCGACUCUGCUGGGGACAUGCUCCAAGCAAGAGAGAGUGAAGCCUAACUUUGUUUAAUUUUUGUAUUGGGUGUUAACCUUGUUUGUUUGAUUUUUUAUUCUGUUAUUAUUUUGUUGUAAUUAUUAUGUUGUGGUUUAUUUCCUAUGAUACUAUUGGGGUUCUCUGAUUGUUGGUACUUUGUGAGAUAGGCUUUCUACCCGAGUCUGAGAAAAACCAUAAGAUUAAGUUGGUGGUUGCGUAGUGGACGCCCACAAGGAGUCUUCCUUGUUGGGAAGAUACGAAGACCCCGCCUAGAGGAGAUUCUCUUGAGAUAUUAUUGUCCGACAAGCCUUCGUCACGGCGAUGGUGUUUCAAGUUGGAUCAAUGACUCUAGGGACCUUUUAACCCUAUAUCCGGAGGUUAUGUAGUAUUAACCUACGAAGUUUCAUACUUGUUAGGUUAAUACGAAAACCCCAAUCAGAUGAGAUCCCUUGGACGUAUUAUUACCUUACAGUAAUAUUUCCAACCUCGAUCUAUGACUCUAAGAACCUUGUUAGAACCUUGAACUCGAGAGUUGCGUAGUAUAAUCCCUAUGGAGCCUUCCUUGUUGGGACAAUACGAAGACCUCUCCUAAGAUGAGAUUAUCUUAGGGGUAUUACUGUCCGACGAGUCUUCGUCACGGCAGUGACGCUUUCAAUGAGAAUCGAUGACUCUGGGAACCAAUUAACUUUGGAGCCUACCCUUGGGAAUUUCAGUAAUCAGAGAAACCUCUACUUCUUCCUUUUAACUUGACGUACACGACGUGUGAAUGAUCUUGAGUAUUUCUAUUCCUUUGCGAAAACAUGGCAAAAUUUCAUGCAUUUGCAUAUCAUAAACAUGCAUUGCAUACCAUCUUCCAGAAACAAAAACUUACACCAUAUUCUACCCUUUGUCCAGUAACACUGACUACUCAACACCGGUACGAGACACGCCGCAACUACAGGAUGACACUCGAACAACUUGAAGCAAACCAGGUUUUAAUGAGGACAAACAUCGACUCCAUGCAAGCGAAGAUGGACCAUUUGCUUGAAACAAUGUUGCUCUUAGCCCAGAAGGAGAAGGAUGCUGAGACUAGCGCCGAUGCCAGAAAAGUUGCUACUCAGUUUGGAUCACCAUCACUUAGCAUCCAUGGAGUGAUUGACCAUGAUGGUAACCUUAAUCAUCUUAAAGGAGGACCGACCCCUAUUCCAUUCCCGAUGGUCAAUGUAAACCCCCAUGAGCAUUCUGCUACAUCUGCUCGACAUGGAUCCAUGAUGGGUGAUGAAGAUCCGUAUGACGCUUUCUUCAUGCCACAACCCGCCAAACCUGUUAUUGGAGGUCUCUUAGACCCAACUGUUGAGAGACUCCAUGCUUUAGAAGAGAAGUUCAAGUCCUUUGAGGUUCACACUACUCUCGGUUUGGACGUCGUUGAUAUGUGCCUAGUGCCAUGACUCGUGAUUCCACAAAAAUUCAAAGUCCCAUACUUUGACAUGUACAAAGGGAUCAGCUGCCCUAGAACUCACCUCAGAGCUUAUUGCCGCAAGAUGGCUGCCCACAUCGGUAAUGAUCAACUCUUGAUUCAUUACUUCCAAGAUAGCCUCAAUGGGGCAUCCUUGGAGUGGUAUAUGCAAUUAGAAAGAGGACAAGUCCAGUCAUGGAGAGACCUUGUUGAAGCCUUCCUUAGGCAUUAUCAAUACAAUAUUGAUCUAGCACCCAAUCGCACCCAGCUGCAAGACAUGACUCAACGCAACAAUGAGUCAUUCAAGGAAUACGCACAACGGUGGAGAGAGCUAGCAGCCCGUGUCCAACCUCCUCUCCUUGAUAAGGAGCUAAUUGAUAUGUUUAUGGGAACUCUUCAUACUCAAUACAUGGAGAAAAUGGUAGGAUCCAGCUUCCCAACUUUUGCUGAGGUUGUCUCCGUGGGAGAACUAAUCGAGAGCCAGAUCAAGAAGGGAAAGCUACCUUGCGCUGCCAAUGCUUCAAGUGGGAUGAAGAAACCUUAUCCUAAUCUCCCAAAGAAGCUAGAAGGCCAGACCAACGCCAUAAUGAGAGGAGGAGGAUAUAUGACGCCUCCGUAUGUUCCUAUGCCUUAUCAUCAGGUUGUCGUUGUCAUCCCGACACCGUAUCAGCCACCAUAUCAGCAACCAUAUCAGCAACAACAUCAGUUGCCGUACCAACAUCCGGCUUACCAACAGCCACACCAGAAUCAACAGCAACGUGCUCCACCGUAGCGUCAACCUAGUCAACAGAGGGCAAGGAGGCCAAAAAGACAUUUCGAUCCUUUGCCAUUGCCUUACAGCAAGAUCCUUCCCUACCUGCUAAAAGAUGGAUCAGUUGUUUUGAAGGAGCUAACACCUGCAACUCCGCCCUACCCACCAGGCUAUGACACCAAUGCUCACUACGAGUAUCAUAUGGGUGCCCCAGGGUACACCGUAGAAAAUUGCAAGGCCUUCAAACACAAGGUCCAAGAUCUGAUUGACAGUCAGGCAGUUACUUUCACGCCAGUUAGGCCAAAUGUUGCAACAAAUCCCAUGCCAGCGCAUGCAGAGCAUAGUGAAGCUCGAAGAUAGAGCUCCCCACCGGCCUGAACAAGCGGAGCACUUCCUAAACGAAGAAUCAAGAGAUGAAGGCCCGUUUCUUUGAAUGAAGGCAAUCAUUAUGCCAUUUUUACCGUUUCGCAUUCUUGUAAUUUGUUCUUGUUUGUCUAAGUAUUGUAUGGCUUUAAACAUUGUUAUUUGUAUUUGGUUCUAUUAAUGGGAUGAUUAUGCAUGUUUUGAAUCAAUCUUUCAUAUUCACUCAUACCAUUUAUUUGCAAAGCACAAAGCACAAACACAUACUUUUCCACUUCACCUUCUUUAUCACACUAUUGUUAGCAAAUGUUGGAAGGAGGAUGACGAAAACAAAAUACUCAUAAUUGGUGAUUGUAUGCUUUUGGAUAAAAUCCUGCUAAUGAUGUACAAGCAUUGUUUCAAAUCUCCAAACACUGGAGAGAUAAGGAGUUAAUCCCUAGUUAACCAUUUCGGGCCUAGAAGUAGGAGUUUCUUUCAGAUCUACAAACCCUUACGCUUAACCUGGGGCAGGGUAGUGUUCAGUUGAUCUGACUACACAUUCGAAUUACAAGAUGAAAUUUCCCAUACAAGGAUCAAUCACAUGAUAUUCUUCGCACACAUCCUGAAGUGUCGAAGGAACCAUACAAAAUCCAAAAUUUAUGUCCGUUAUUCUUUAAUGACUAAUGACUUGGCAGUCACAAUUUUCCAAAAAAAAUCAAAGAAAGAGCUCGCUAAGUCAAACAUCCAAAAAGGAGACUUAGGCAAAAACUAGGGCAAUCCCGAUGGAUUAAAGCUUCAAAAAGCGGUCCAUGCAAAAUUAGGGAUCAAAACAAAGAUCGAGAGAGACAAUGAGAGUCCUCAACAAAACAAAACAAGAUUCAGUGACCACCAUACCCAAAUCAAAGGGUCGCCAACAUCCAUGAAUAGCAAGAUAGGAUGACUGUCAUUUCAAGAAAUCUUACACUGCUGAACCCUCGCAAAAGUAAGUGUGUGUCGAAUUAACUGAACGUAAGAUCGGAGAUCAUCAUGAAGAAGGGGUGGGUUAAAGUAAACUUUGAGCUUUAUAUCCUUUUGUUUCAAUAACCAUGUGCCAAGCCACGUUACAACCUACGAAAGACCUAAUUGAAGUAAGGUUUAUUCUGAAAGCAUACUACAUCAAGGUUGAGUGAGCUGACUCCUAGAGAUUUGCUAAUAUUCUAUUUUCACUAUAUCACUCACACACUAGCUAAAUCGACACCGCGUCUGGACUCAUGGUCCACUCGCCAUACACUGCUACGAUACUCCUAAUGAACGAUUGUUUUUCAAAACUUGCAUGACUAUUGCAUUAAAAUCACCAUUUCUUGGAUAACAAUUCUUAAUUGUCAGUCAGUACUUGACAUCGAGAAAAUUCCAACAAGGGGAAAUUCAAGAGGUACUUGAUAAUUGGUGCUGACACGAAUCAAGACCAUCUCAUAAAUCAGGGGCAUGGCAUCUUUUGAUUAUGUUGACUUAGGAAGCAGUCAGUAUAAGGCAAAUCUCCAGAGCAUUGGUUGACCAGGGAGGAAAAACACUUCAACACUCAGUCCAUCUGGGGCAGGUCCCUCACAGGCUAAUCAGGGAGCGAACCGUUACAAAGAUUUAGGAGCUGAAAAAAACAAACUCAGACCAUGUCAUGGGAUAAUCACUCCUAAAGUUUCCUUUCAAGGAGAAUGCCAUUUGAUACCCUACAGACUGGGGCAAGACAAGUUGCAAGGGGCAAGUUCCCUUCAUAUCUUCAAGUCAGUCAAGAAGAUUGCGUCAGACACUAGUAACUGCUUGAAUUCUCAAUAAAGACGUCGGAAGUCCAUGCUAGUACGACAUCAUAUCUUGACAAGAAUCCUCAUGGCACGUCAAAGGCAUAAUCAUCAUGCGUUGAUCAUGUCGCUAUGCUCAGUAACAUGCCAUCCAUACAUCUCAGCAGAAAAAGUAGAGAUCGCCUCGGGAGCAAAGACACAACGUAUCACAAGAGAUCAAACUUGGGGAACCAAGAGUAUUCGCAUCUACUACGUGUUCAUCACAUCAUCAACUACCGAGUGUCGGGAAGUCAGAUCCUUUCCCCAACCAACAACCCAACCCACAUUGACAGUUACCAGAAAAAACCAAAGUCCACCUUACUAGCAUCCCUCAUAAAAAACAAACACAACCAGCAUUGGUUUCCAGAAAAUACAUCGCCUUUGAAUAAGGGGGGAGGGGGGGGGGGGGGGGGGCAAUCCCAAACAAACCAAUCAUUCUUUGCAUUCAAACAUGCAUCAUAUGCAUCAUCUCAUACAUCUUUGAAUGCAUAUCAUUUAUGCACAAAAACACGAAUCAAAAUCCAAGGUUAAGUCGUAGGCAUCCAGGCCACCAUUUGCACUUAGUUUUCAUCAUCCAUCCAGCAUGAAUCUUCAAGAAUCGGUAACACUUUGUUUUUUCUUUUAGUUGAUUUCUUAAGUUUAUCGCAUUUUAUGAAUUUCUGCUUGUUUUAUGUUGUAUUAGUAGUUCAUCUCUUUUUGUCGCAUUUUAUGCGUUUCUGUGGUAGUGUUGUUUGGUUUCCAGGUCUAACAAUAAGCCUGAAAUAUGCGUACCGGAAGAAUUAAAGUCAAGGACAUCGUGCAAAGCGAGAAAAGGCAAAAACAGGGGGCUGACACGGGUGCCCGUGUCAGCUGACACGACCUGUGUCAGUAUGUGCAGAAUACAGAUUGUGGAAUCCAGAAACCAAGGGGUUGACACGGGUGCCCGUGUCAGCAAGGGCUGAAGAGUUUGAGUUGACAGAGAGCCAACAUGGGCGCCCGUGUCACCUGACACGGUCCGUGUUGGCCAAUUCGCCAUGUUUGCUGAUUUUUAUUGUUUUGAUCCAUGUGUACGUCCGGAGGGCAGUAUGGGUAUUUCACGAUGUUUUUAGUUGAUUGGAAACUAUUUAGUCUGCAUUUUGGUGAAGAGAGAGGACACUUUUGAUCGUACAAGAAAAAGACAGAAAGGAGAAGCGAACUUUCAAGGUGUUUAGAGAAGAAGAGAUCUUCAAGAUCGGAAGAGAUUGAAGAUCAACCUUCAUCAACAACAAAUUGUACUGUCUCUAUUUUGUAAUUUACUAUCUUUGAAUAUUAUGAGAAGUUAAACCCCCCAAUGCUAGGGGGUGUCCCUGAAUUGCUACUGUAUGAACACUUUUUCUAUGUUUUUAUGAUCAUCGAUGUUUUCUUAAUUCAAAUUAUUAUACAACGUUCUUAAAGCUUUAUUUUAUCGGACAAAUGGAAUUUUGAUCUCUGGUUAAGGUUUAGGUCGGACAAACCACCUUAUCGCUUGUUGUGUAAUAAUAUUUCGGUUUAAUCACUUAGGAAUAAGGAUCAAACCGUAGUAACCGUUAAUUCUUGCUCAAUUGCAUAUUUCGUAACGUCAUUUUGAAUAACUAAGGAAUUAGGAUUGAAAUUGACUGUUAAUGGUUUUCGGCUAAGGGAUUAGAUAAAACAAUUCUUGAGAAUCAGUUUUGAAUAAUUACAACGUAGAUGUUAUAUAAUAUGGAAGGAGUGUAGUACAAAGCAAUUCACACAUAUUGCCUUAGCAUGCUUUCUCAUAUCGCUUAACAACUUUUUAUAUGCUUUAUAUAAUUUAUUCUUGUUCUUAUCAUUUUGAAAACAAUCAUUAAACCCCCUAUGAUCUUUUGUUCAAUGGAAUUAUUGUAAAGAUUUGUACUUAUUACGCAGUCCUCAAGAUGAUACUUGGGAUAACUCCCAUUUCAUUACUACAGUGGUGCAAAUAGUACACUUGCUAUUUUACCGAUCAAGUUUUUGGCACCGUUGUCGGGGAUUGCCAAAGUAUAAGUUGAAUAAUAAUUCAAUUGAAAUUUUUUCGCUCAACGACCAAAAUUUUAUUUCUCUGUACUAUUGGUUAUUUUUAUAAAUUCUAAUAAUUGUCUAAUCUGUGCAUGCAAGACGACGAAAAGCUAGACUGGAACAUUUAGAAGCAACCCCCAUUGUUUCUGAGUCUGAAAAAGAAGAAGCUAUUUCAGUUCAUUCGGAACCAAUGGCUGAAGCUCCACCUUCCGUGGAAAUACUUUUGGGUGACUAUGGAGGUGCAAAUGCUCCUACUGGAAGGUUAACAAUUGUGAACCAACCGGUAAAUGUUGAUCAUUUUCAGCUACACCCUUCAACGAUUCGUCAUCUCGAAAGGAGACCGUUCUCCGGAAAAAUCAAUGAAGAUGCCAACAAGCAUUUACAAAGAUUUCUGACCAUGAUGACAUCGUUGAAAAUUGAGGGACACUCAGAGGAAGCUAAAAAGUUGGUGAUGUUUCCGUUUACACUAUCGGAAGAUGCUGAAGAGUGGUGUUACUCUUUACCCGUGGGAAGCAUUACAGCUUGGCAACAAAUGGAGACAACAUUUUUGAAUGAGUACUUCCCUGGUUCUGUGUAUAUCUGUAAGAGAUAUGAUAUUGUUAAUUUCAAAUAGAAGGAAAGAGAGUCACUCAGAGACGCUUACAAGAGGUUCAAGCGAUUGUUGGUUGCAUGUCCUACUCAUAACAUGGAUGCAACUGAAUAGAUGCAAAAUUUUAUGAAUGGCCUUAGAAUGAAGACUAAGUAACUCAUAGACACAGCUGCCGGUGGCUUAACAAAUUUUACAACAACCACUGGAAUAAAGAAAAUCAUUCAAGCCAUUGCAGCAAAUCAGCAUCUGGAGCUCUAUGACCGCAGUGUAAGUCAACCUGAAGGUAUCAUUGAUCUCAAGCUAACAAAUCAAGUUGUGAAGAUGGAAGAUUAAAUAACAGCUGAAGUAGAGAGAAGAAUCAAUAAAAUGGCUCUUGACACUCAAACGGUGGCACAAGUUCAACCGGUUCAACCUAUUUAAACAGUUAGUUGUGAAAUUUGUGGGGGACCGCACUUCGCCAUGCAUUGUGUGGAAACUACACAACAGGUAGAAGAGAUUAAUUUUCUGAAGCAAAAUAACCCUUACUUCAAUACUUAUAAUCCUGGAUGGAAAAAUCAUCCAAAUUUUUCCUGGAAGGACCAACAAGGAAAUGCUCACAAGCAAGUGCCCAGUCAAUAUCAAAGCCAACCGCAACAACAGUAUCGACCACAACAAUAACAACCUUACCAGCAGCAGUUUCACCAAUCCCAACAACAAUUUCAAUAACAGGUUCCAAGAAAAGCAGAUAGGGAAAUUGCCAUUGAAAAAAUGGCGGCUCAAAGUUCACAAUUUCAAGAGGAGACUAGAAGUAAUCUGAGAAACACUGGUGCAUCAAUAAAAAAUCUGGAAGUGCAAAUGAGUCAGAUUGCUCAACAACUCGCGGGUUCUCAAACACUGGGUGCAUUACCGAGUGCUACAAUUAUAAAUCCACGAGAGCAUAAUAAUGUGAGUGUUGUAACCAUAAGAAGUGGUAAAUCAAAAGAAGUCCCUGAGAAAGAUGAUGACCAAGAAGACUAAUUGAUUGAAGUUGAGUUGGAAAUAAAAGAAAAUGAGGUUGUGAGUGAAGAGGUGGUAGUGCCUAAACUGAUGGUUAAAGGAAAAGUUAGUGAACCAAAGUCGGCUGUCAAACUCCCUUUCCCCAUAAGAAAUAAGAAGAAAGAGCAACAUGAGAAGAACUUCGAGAAAUUCUUGGAGAUGUUCAAAAAGCUUGAGAUUAACAUUCCGUUCUUGGAGGCACUUGAACAAAUGCCCUCUUAUGCCAAAUUUAUGAAGGAAAUUAUUUCAAAGAAGAGGAGCGCCGACACUGACCCUAUUGUACUAACCGAAACUUGUAGUGCAAUUUUGCAGGGUAUGAAGAUUCUAGUGAAGAAGAAAGAUCGAGGCUCGGUAACUAUCCCUUGCACUAUCGGGGAUAGGUAUUUAAAAAAGGCCCUUAUAGACUUGGGGGCAAGUGUGAUUCUCAUGUCGUUAUCCAUUUACAAGAGGUUAGGGAUUGGAAAAGUGCAAGAUAGCAAAAUGACACUUCAAUUUGCUGACCACUCUGUGAAGAGACCUUAUGGAGUGGUGGAAGACAUUCUUGUGAAGAUUGAUAAGUUUGUAUUUCCGAUGGACUUUGUCAUCUUAGAAAUGCCGGAAGAUGAAGAGAUACCACUCAUCCUUAGUAGACCAUUUUUGGAGACCGGAAGAUGUUUGAUAGAUAUAGAAGAGGGCACCAUGACUCUAAAAGUUUACGAUGAAGAGUUGAAAAUUGAUUUGCGUAACACCAUGAGAUACAAAGAUGAUGUGGCCACCAGUCAACACAUAGAGGUGAUUGAUCAAAUGGUUCUGCAAGAAAAUCCUUUAGGUGAACCACAAUUGCCCUUGGAGAGAGUUCUAAGUCUAUCAAUUUCUGAAGACAGAUGUGGCCACCAGUCAACACAUAGAGGUGAUUGAUCAAAUGGUUCUGCAAGAAAAUCCUUUAGGUGAACCACAAUUGCCCUUGGAGAGAGUUCUAAGUCUAUCAAUUUCUGAAGACACUCAAGAAGUUGACUAAAAGGAGAGGGAAGUGUUAACUAUGAUGGCAACACAACCACCCUUUAAGGGAUCCCGAUCACUCCGAUGGGAAAACUUGAGGGAACCCCAGUUUGAGGAAAAGAAAGAUGAGACCAAGAAAGUGGAUGAGCUGAAACAAUUGCCGAAAAAUCUCAAGUAUAUUUUUCUAGAUUCUGAAAGGAGAUGCCCGACUAUUAUAAGCUCUAAUCUAAAAGUUUCCCAAGAAGACAAGCUCGUCAAGGUUCUGAAGAAGCAAAAAAGUGAAAUGGGAUGGGCGAUAGAAGACUUGAAGGGGAUUAGCCCUACGGUAUGUAUGCAUAAAAGUCUCAUGGAGGAUGGUCACAAACCAGUGGUGCAACCCCAAAGAAGACUAAAUCCCGCAAUGAAGGAAGUGGUUAGGAAAGAGGUUGUUAAACUAUUAGAUGUUGGGUUAAUUUAUCCCAUAUCGAUAGCUCUUGGUGAGUCAUGUUCAUUGUGGGUUCCGAAGAAAGGAGGGACUACCGUUAUAAAGAAUGAGAAAAAUGAGUUACUCCCUACAAGGACGGUCACGAGGUGGCGUGUUUGCAUCGAUUACAGAAGGUUGAAUUUGGCGACAAGAAAGGAUCACUUUCCUUUACCAUUCAUCGAUCAGAUGUUGGAAAGGUUGGCUGGUCAUGAGUACUAUUGUUCCUUGAUGGAUACUCUGGAUAUAAUCAGAUAGCGGUUGCACCAGAAGAUCAAGAGAAGACAGCUUUUACUUGCCCUAUGGUAUUUUUGCUUACAGAAUAAUUCCAUUCAGGUUUACGUAAUGCACCCGGCCACAUUUCAAAGAUGCAUGACUUCCAUUUUUUGGACAUGCUCGAAAAGCAUAUGGAGGUUCUUCAAUGGAUGACUUCUCGGUAUUUGGUUUCUCUUUUGAUAAUUGUUUAACUAACCUUUCCCUUGUGUUAGAAAGAUGCCAACAGACCAACUUGAUUCUCAACUGGGAGAAGUUCCACUUCAUGGUGUGAGAAGGCAUAGUCUUGGGUCAUGAAAUUUCUCACAAAGGAAUAGAAGUGGACCAAGCCAAGAUCGAGGUAAUAGAAAAGCUACCCCCUCCAAUGAACGAAAAAGGUAUAAGAAGUUUCUUAGGGCAUGCGGGUUUCUACCGUAGGUUCAUAAGAGACUUUUCUAAGAUAGCUAAACCUUUAACUACCCUGUUGGUUAAGGACAAGGCUUUCAUCUUUGAUAAAGAGUGUGUCAUUGCUUUUGAAACUAUAAAAAAUAAAUUGGUGACGGCACCUAUUGUCAUUGCCCCAGAUUGGUCUCUACCUUUUGAGAUCAUGUGUGAUGCGAGUGACAUUGCAGUGGGAGAAGUUCUUGGGCAACAUAGAGAUAAACUGUUGCAUGUCAUAUAUUAUGCUAGUCAUGAUACCUUUUGAGAUCAUGUGUGAUGCGAGUGACAUUGCAGUGGGAGAAGUUCUUGGGCAACAUAGAGAUAAACUGUUGCAUGUCAUAUAUUAUGCUAGUCAUGUUUUGAACCCUGCACAGAUGAACUAUGCGACUACCGAGAAGGAGUUGCUAGCGGUGGUCUAUGCCUUUGAUAAAUUCAGGCAAUAUCUGUUGGGUUCUAGAGUCAUUUUUUAUACUGACCAUGCUGCUUUGAAGUAUUUAUUUUCUAAGCAUGACUCUAAGCCAAGACUGUUGAGAUGGAUCUUACUCCUCCAAGAGUUUGAUUUGGAAAUUCGUGACAAAAGAGGGUGUGAAAAUACUGUGGCAGAUCACCUCUCUCGGAUGUCCCCUAUAGAGGAGAAUGAGGAAAAGCGUCUGAUAAAGGAUGAGUUUGCUGACGAACACAUCCUUGCUGUUAUUGGAAUGCCAUGGUUCACAGACUACGCGAACUAUCUAGUAGGUGGGGUGAUCCCUAGCGAAUUUGACUCUAACAAAAAGAAAAAGUUUGUGCAUGAUUGCAGGUUUUACUUGUGGGAUGACCCAUUCUUGUACAAGAAGCGAAUUUGACUCUAACAAAAAGAAAAAGUUUGUGCAUGAUUGCAGGUUUUACUUGUGGGAUGACCCAUUCUUGUACAAGAAAGGAGUAGAUGGGUUGGUCAGAAGAUGUGUUCCCGAAGAAGAACAAAGAGAUGUCCUGAAAGUAUGCCAUGACUCUGACUAUGGUGGACACUUUAGUGGUGAUAGAACCGCAGCCAAAGUCCUCCAGUCAGGCUUCUACUGGCCUACACUUUUCAAAGAUGCUCAACAAUUAAUCAAAGAGUGCGAUAAGUAUCAAAGGAUGGGAAACAUCUCGAAAAGAAAUCAGAUACCGCAGAACCCCAUGUUGGAAGUUGAACUCUUCGAUGUUUGGGGUAUCGACUUUAUGGGACCAUUUCCACCUUCAUUUGGAAAGAAUUACAUUUUGGGGGCGGUGGAUUAUGUAUCCAAGUGGGUAGAAGCAGUCGCUCUACCAACGAAUGAUGCAAAAGUGGUAGUCAAGUUUCUAAAGGAAAAUAUAUUUGUCAGGUCUGGAGUGCCAAGAGCUCUAAUAAGUGAUAAAGGAACUCAUUUCUUAAAUCACCUAAUGGAGAAGCUACUCUUGAAGUAUAAUGUAAAACAUCGUAUAGCCACUCCGUACCAUCCGCAAACAAGUGGUCAAGUUGAAGUGUCGAAUAGACAGCUGAAACAAAUUCUGGAGAAGACGGUCAACUCAUCUCGCAAAGAUUGGGCAAGUAAGCUUGAUGAUGCGCUUUGGGCAUACCGAACUGCUUUCAAAACACUGAUUGGUAUGUCCCCUUAUCAAUUGGUAUAUGGUAAGGCAUGUCACUUACCCUUAGAACUUGAACACAAAGCUUUGUGGGAUUCAAAAUUCCUUAAUUUCGAUCUUUCGAAAGUGGGAUAAUCUCGAAUACUUCAACUCCAUGAGUUAGAAGAAUUUAGGAACCGAGCAUAUGAAAAUGCCAAGAUCUACAAAGAUCAAACAAAGAAGUGGCAUGAUAGAAGGAUCCAAAGGAAGGAAUUUUGGAAAGGACAAAUGGUACUAUUGUUUAAUUCGAGGAUGAAGUUGUUCUCGGGAAAACUGAGAUCGAAAUGGUCGGGUCCGUUUAUGGUACACAAGGUAUAUCCUCAUGGAGCAAUCGAACUAAAAAAUCCUUCCAAUGGGGACAUUUUUAAAGUGAAUGGCCAAAGAUUGAAGCCUUACAAUGUGGAGCACGAAGUUGGUCAAAUUGAUGUUGUUCAUCUUGUCUGAUAAGAUGAACAACCGUCGAGCCAUGCGACGUUAAACGAAGCGCUACGUGGGAGGCAACCCACGCUUUUGUGUCUAAUUACUUUCUUUGUUUUGUUGUGUGUUAUUGAAUUGCAGGUUAGAACAAUGUUUGCUAGAGGAGCCAAAAGUUCGUGUGCCAAAAGUCUCUGGAAAAAUUGGAAGCAGAAGCCUGACACAAUCACGAGAAAACAGUGAAGGAAAAAGAAAAAUCGGGGGCCUGACACGGGUGCCCGUGUCAGCAUGUGAUUAGAGAAAGGUGGUUUCCAGGGGCUUGACACGGGUGGCCGUGUCAGCCCCUGAGUGAACAAGUUGGAAAGAGGAAGGACACGACCGGUGUCAUGGAGGUCCUUAGCGCGGACACGGCCUCCCGUGUCAGCAAGCGUGUUGGGAAAAUUUUCAAAAAUUUUGACCGUUGGCAAUUGGGCCCACCACCGAAUUUCCCCCGCUAAAUCCAUUUUAUCACCCAUUCACUCCUCAUUAACCUCUUCUCUUACCUAUUCUCUCACCUUCAUCUCUCUUUCUCUCAAAAAUACCUAAAAACCUCCAUUUUUCUUCACAUAAAGCUCCAUCCUUUCACCUCAUAACUCCAUCAAAUCUCCAUCCGUCAAAAAAUACCUAAAAACCUCCAUUUUUCUUCACAUAAAGCUCCAUCCUUUCACCUCAUAACUCCAUCAAAUCUCCAUCCGUCUUCACAAAAGUUCUUCCAUUUUCCAUCCUCUACCUUCCUACGGUAACAUUUUUGCCUAAUCUCUCUUUUCAAUUUCAAGUUUCUUUUUGUUGUGUGCAGGUAAGAACAUCUCUCGGCGAGUAGACAUAAGCAAAAAUGUGGCGGAAUCAUCCUGGCCACGUCAAAGGGCGAGAAGGACUCUGAAUGAGCACGACAUUAUGUUUGAAAACUUGGAGCACCAAAAGAGGUAUACGGUUCAUCUUAAAAGAAAAUUAACCCCCACCAGAUACAUGUGUAAUGGCACUUUGCAGGAACUGGGAUUGCAAGCGGAAGUUCACCAAAUGUUCCACACCUUAGGUAUGUUGGAAUUCAUGCAGUUAGAAGCGCCAACUUUUGUGCGCAUUACUCUUGAAUUCUUGAGUACCAUUGAAUUUAAGCUGAAAAAUCGGUGGAAUGGAACGGAGAAAGAGUACUACGGUACUCUGCAUUUUCGUUUAUUUAAUACUUAUAUGGAAUUGUAUGUGGAUGAGUUAGGGAGUAUCCUAAAACUCCCAAUCAUAGGCCCUUGAAUGGUGCCCGAUACUUUUGUUCUGGCGGAAUUCUGGACCGCUAUAACAGGUAACACUAAGUAUGUCUCCAAAGAGGCAAAAGCAUCGGGUAUCCAUAACCCUUGUUUCAGGUACGCGCAGAAGGCUUUGGCAUACACCAUGUUUGUUCGCGGUGAUAGCAUCGGUGUCACCACCCAAAGGGAGUUGUUCUUUCUAUACAGUAUGGCAGCACAAACUCCUAUCAACGUAGCAGCAUUUGCAACUGACUACCUAGGUAGCGUUGGUCGCGCUACUUCAGGCGACAUUUCGGUUGGCGGAAUGAUCACACAGAUUGCCGACCAUUUUGGAUUUGGUGUUGCGCUUGCUGACUCUCCACAGGUGCUGGGUAAAAAUAAACUGGACAUGGCCGCGUUGAUUCAACAAGGCAUGAUUGAGGUGACACAAGAUUACUAUUCUCUUAUCUGCCAAAAAUUCCAUGUUCUUGCUUUACCCGCUUAUGAUUUCAUCAGUAUUACUAACAAAGCCAACUGGCUUUAUGAGUGUCCUGACCUGGAUGAGGGGGACGGAGAUUUUCUUGAUUCUUUGCCUGCAUAUGAACAUAUGGAGGGUGCACCGAGCACGGAGGAGUCGUUUACCAACAACCACUGGAAUCGACUCAAGCUUCAAGGUCCUACUCCAUGCCACAAGACCAAUGGGGUUGGAUUCAAGAUGAGAUCGGUCACCUUCGCACGGAGCAAUCUAGGCAAGGUGAGGAGCUCACCAGGUUCGGAGUCGAACAACUCCGCCAAGGGACGGUUUUGGAUGAGAUGAAUGCGAUGAUGCAAUGCAUGAUGUUGCAUUAUCCGUACUCGCCCCCACCUCCUCAUUAAAAAUUGUGAGUACCCCUCUUAUCUUAAUAAUAAACAUUGCGGACAAUGUUUGGUUCAAGUGUGUGUGUGGGGGAGGGGUAUUGUUUUGUAUUUUAUUUUAGUUGUGUUUGUUUGCUUUGUUACUUUGUUUUGUCUUUGUGUGUCUGUUUUAUUUCCUUAAGUUAUAGAUAAAAGUGGAUUCUACUAGAUAAAUGAUGGACUAGUGACCAGUGAGGGAAAGAUGCAACCCCGGAUUUGCUCCCGAGGCAACUUGGAAGUUGAUACAACUGAGAAAGAAAAUGUUGGACGUAACUUGGAAACUCUAGACCGAAAGAGGGGAGGGUAAACCCAAGCUGAAAAGGAAGUUGUUUGUCAUAAAGAGUGGUUUGGAGCCUGCAAGCUUAUCCAACAUGGUGAGAUUUCAACAUAACCAAACACAAAAGAGCGCAUUCAGGUAUGACUUUAUCUCUCUAAUUUUGCGUAAGUUCAGCCUGCAAGCUUAUCCAACAUGGUGAGAUUUCAACAUAACCAAACACAAAAGAGCGCAUUCAGGUAUGACUUUAUCUCUCUAAUUUUGCGUAAGUUCUACUGAUACAGCACAAUACAAAGACGCACAAUGAGGCGCGUUGUUUAUUUUCACCCUUUAGCCUUUCUAGCAAUCCAUAUUGUUAUAUUUAUCCUUUGUUAAACCUGUUGAGCAUGUACCCCGUUGUUUGUGAAAACCGUCAUGUUAACCUAAGCCAAACACUUCCUACCUUCACUCGGCAUGACUGUUGUAGUGUAAAAUUCGUGCAAAAAGAUAAGUUUGGGGUGGUGAUCCUUAGAAAAAGUUGAAAAAGGGAAAGUGCAACAAAAAGAAGAAAAAAAGUGUGUAGAAACAUCCGCUUCUACCGAAAAAAAAAGAGAAAAGAAAUGAAAAAUAGAAGUGAAGUAUAAGCACUUGCCUAAUUCAAAGACUCAUGAAUUAAUGUGAUACUCAAAAGAAAAAUUGAGUGGAAAAGAGUCAAGUUGGACAAAACCCCAUAAACUAAUUUGUGCACAAAGAAAAGAAACAACAUGAAUGCCGAGUUCUAAACCUUUGUCAUCCAUUUUCUUGUCUACCCCCACCGUACCUAAGCCCCGUUACAACCCGAAAGACCUCUCAAAGUGUGUGAAUUUGGUUUGUGUAGUUAACGUAGAAUCUAUUCAAAAAAUAAGAGUUGAUAUUGCAUACCUUGAUAUCAUGAGUGCUAAACACUUUAACCCCGAGAUAUUUGGUGAGUGGUGUGAAGAAGUUUGCAGGUGAAGGAACACUCUGAUACGAUAAUACAGUGGAUAGUUCGAAUGGGUGAACCAGAAGCUUAAUCGGGAAGGAGGAAGAUAAGUUGUGAAUACCAUCAGCCGUAUUAUGGAAAGAAGAAAAUCCAUGGUUGACCUCUGUGUUGUCUCUUACAUCACUUGAGGACAAGCAAUGAGAUAAGUUUGGGGUUGUGAUCGGUCACCAUUUGCACUUAGUUUUCAUCAUCCAUACAACAUUAAUCUUCAAGAAUCAGUAACAAUUUGUUCUUUCUUUUAGUUGAUUUCUUAAGUUUAUCGCAUUUUAUAAAUUUCUGCUUGUUUUAUGUAUUAGUAGUUCAUCUUUUUUUAUCGCAUUUUAUGCAUUUCCGUGAUAGUGUUGUUUGGUUUACAGGUCUAACAAUAAGCCCGAAAGAUGCGUAGCGGAAGAAUGGAAGUCAAGGACAUCGUGCAAAGCGAGAAAAGGCAAAAAUAGGGGGCUGACACGGGUGUCCGUGUCAGCUGACACGACCCGUGUCAGCAUGUGCAAAAUACAGAUUAUGGAAUCCAGAAACCAGGGGGCUGACACGGGUGCCCGUGUCAGCUGACACGGGUGCCCGUGUCAGCUGACACGGCCCAUGUCAGCAAGGGCAGAAGAAUUUGAGUUGACAGAGAGCCAACACGGGCGCCCGAUGUCAGCUGACACGGGUGCCCGUGUCAGCUGACACGGCCCAUGUCAGCAAGGGCAGAAGAAUUUGAGUUGACAGAGAGCCAACACGGGCGCCCGUGUCACCUGACACGACCCGUGUUGGCCAAUUUGCCCCGUUUGCUGAUUUUUAUUGUUUUGAUCCCCGUGUACGUCCGGAGGGCAGUCUGGGUAUUUCACGAUGUUUUUAGUUGAUUGGAAACUAUUUAGUCUGCAUUUUGGUGAAGAGAGAGGACACUUUUGAUCGUACAAGAAAAAGACAGAAAGGAGAAGCGAGCUUUCAAGGUGUUUAGAGAAGAAGAUAUCUUCAAGAUCGGAAGAGAUUGAAGAUCAACCUUCAUCAAUAACAAAUUGUAAUGUCUCUAUUUUGUAAUUUACUGUCUUUGAAUAUUAUGAGAAGCUAAACCCCCAAAUGCUAGGGGGUGUCCCUGAAUUGCUAUUGUAUGAACACUUUUUCUAUGUUUUUAUGAUCAUCGAUGUUUUCUUAAUUCAAAUUAUUAUACAACGUUCAUAAUGCUUUAUUUUAUCGGACAAAUGGAAUUUUGAUCUCUGGUUAAGGUUUAGGUCGAACAAACCACCUUAUCGCUUGUUGUGUAAUAAUACUUCGGUUUAAUCACUUAGGAAUAAGGAUCAAACCGUAGUAGCCAUUAAUUCUUGCUUAAUUGCAUAUUUCGUAACGUCAUUUUGAAUAACUAAGGAAUUAGGAUUGAAAUUGACUGUUAAUGGUUUUUGGCUAAGGGAUUAGUGAAAACAAUUCUUGAGAAUCGGGUUUGAAUAAUUACAAUGUAGAUGUUAUAUAAUAUGGAAGGAGUGUAGUACAAAGCAAUUCACACAUCUUGCCUUAGCAUGCUUUCUCAUAUCGUUUAACAGCUUUUUAUACGCUUUAUAUAAUUUAUUCUCGUUCUUCUCGUUUUGAAAACAAUCAUCAAACCCCCUAUGAUCUUUUGUUCAAUGUAAUUAUUGUAAAGAUUUGUACUUAUUACGCAGUCCUCGAGAUCGAUACUCGGGAUAACUCUCAUUUCAUUACUACAUUGGUGCAAAUAGUACACUUGCUAUUUUACCGAUCACCAACCCUCAGUUGAGUCAUUGUUUUCCUCUGAGAGAGUCCCUACCCUAUUAUCGGGCGUUUCCCAUUAAGUUACAUCUUUCAACCUUUUGUUGAUAAGACGUUAUCCUUAGCUAAGCCAAACAUUGUUUCUUUAAACACUUACCUUGUUUCGCGUUGAGUAUCCCUCAAUGAGUCGUUUCCUGUAACCUUUUGUUGAUGGAAGCCUCAUCUUCCAAUAGAAUAUUAGUUCUGCAACCUUUUGUUGGUUAUACCCCGAGCAAGUCUUACCCAGUAAUGUUCCAAUACUACCCAACAAGUCGGGUUUAUUGAAUGUUGACAAUAGCCUUAUUUUUCCAAAUAUUUUUCCCACUAUCAUCCUUUUGAUGAAAGUCCAUUGAGGAAUAAUACUAAUCAUCACCCUGUUUACGAUAACCGUUAUCCUUUUGGUAAUGGUAAAUCCUUGACAUUCGUGAUCUUACCGUCAUCCUUUUGGUGUCGGCGAUCCUUGAAGUUUUGUCCCAACCUUCAUCCUUUUGGUGAAUGGCGACCUCUGCAACUAUUAUAGCCCACCGUCAUCCUUUUAGUGUCGGUAAUCCUUGUCAUUUUGGUUCAACCAUCAUCUUUUUGGUGAUGACGUCCAGUUCAAUCUAAAUAUUAUCCUUUUUGUGAUAGAGAUUAUGGAGUCUGGUUUAGGCUAUCGUCCUUUUGGUGAUUGUGACCUAGGGAAAGUCCAAUCCCACUGUCAUCCUUUUGGUGUCAGCAAUAUUUGAAGUUAUUAUAACUUACUAUCAUCCUUUUGGUGGUAACAAGUUCCGAAGUUAUGACCUCACCUUCAUCCUUUUGGUGAUGGUGAUUGUUGAUUCAUUAUCAUCCUUUUGGUGAUAACGAGUCCUGUUGUUUGUAGUACCUUCAUCCUUUUGGUGAUGGUGACCAUCGACUUAUUAUCAUCCUUUUGGUGAUAACAAGUUUUGUUGUUCAAUCCUACCUUCAUCCUUUUGGUAACGGUGAUCAGUAAAAGUUAUUGACUUAUUAUCAUCCUUUGAUGGUAAAGAGUUUUGUUGUUUAAUCUUACCUUCAUCCUUUUGGUGAUGGUGAUUGUUUUGACUUAUUAUCAUCCUUUUGGCGAUAACAAGUUUUGAAGUUUUGUUCUUACCUUUAUCCUUUUGGUGAUGGUUAUCAUUUAAGUUGUCGUGACUUAUUAUCAUCCUUUUGGUGGUAACAAGUUUUGUUGUUUGAUAAUACCUUCAUCCUUUGGUGAUGGUGAUUGUCAUGACUUAUUAUCAUCCUUUUGGUGGUAACUAGUUCUGUUACUAAUCUUACUGUCAUCCUUUUGGUGUCAGUGAUAUUCGAAGUUAUAUUGAUUUAUUAUCAUCCUUUUGGUGGUAACAAGUUUUGUCUUGAUUUUACUUUCAUCCUUUUGGUGAUGGUAAUCAUUUAAAUUGUUGUAAUUUAUUAUCAUCCUUUUGGUGAUAACGAGUUUUGUUGUUUGUAGUACCUUCAUCCUUUUGGUGAUGGUGACUGUCGACUUAUUAUCAUCCUUUUGGUGAUAACAAGUUUUGAAAUUUUGUUCUUACCUUCAUCCUUUUGGUGACGGUGGUCAUUUAAGUUAUUAUGACUUAUUAUCAUCCUUUUGGUGAUAACGAGUUUUGUUAUUGGUUCCACCUUCAUCCUUUUGGUGAUGGUGAUUGUUGACUUAUUAUCAUCCUUUUGAAGAUAACAAGUUUUGUUUGGGUCUUACCCUCAUCCUUUUGGUGAUGGUGAUCAUUGAAGUUAUUUGACUUAUUAUCAUCCUUUUGGUGAUAACAAGUUUUGUUGUGGGAUCUUACCUUCAUCCUUUUGGUGACGGUGAUCUUUGAAGUUGAUGAGUACCUUUUGGUGAUGGUGAUCAUUGAAGUUAUUUGACUUAUUAUCAUCCUUUUGGUGAUAACAAGUUUUGUUGUGGGAUCUUACCUUCAUCCUUUUGGUGACGGUGAUCUUUGAAGUUGAUGAGUUAACCAUCAUCCUUUUGGUGGUAGCCUUGAUAUUAUACUUUUGGGAAUGGAAAGCUUUAUCAGAAUGUCAUCAUCCUUUUGAUGAUGGACGUCAUCCUUUUGGUGAUAAAAAUCUUUGAAUUUUAUUAUGUCAGACUUUCAUCCUUUUUGGUGACAGCAAGUUUGGUUAUUAAUCUUACCAUCAUCCUUCUGAUGAUGACUACCUCUAAAGCUUGGUUUAUCCAUCACCCUUUUAGUGAUGACAAUUAAUUCUACUGUCAUCCUUUUGGUGCCAGAAAACUCGUUCAGUUUUCGCUCUCACAUCAGAAACGACCUUUGCAAGAUUUAAAUGUCGACUCGAGGGUUGGCAUUGAUUUGACGUUCUACCCCAAUACCUUGGUGCUAUUAGAACUCGUUGCAUUUUCUCUCUGCAUUUCUCCAUUGCAUCUCAAAGGACAAAAUUCGGGUCUUUUCGUAUUUAAUUACCUUCCACCACGAACGUAUGAAGACUGUCGUCAUUCUUACCUUCUAGUUCAAGUUAAUUAAAUAGGGGCAACUGUCAUACCCCAAUUUUAUCCGGGCAUUUUUAAAUAUCAGUCAGAAUAGAAUAUUGAAAAUACAGACAAAUUGGUUAAAUCGUUUCUCAAGUACGUGCAAAAUCAGCGGGUAAAAAGUUUCAAAAUUAAAAUUACAGACGCCAGUAUCAUUAACCUAUGGUUCACGUAGUUUAACCUGGUGUGCUCGUUGUAUUUUUCAGGGACUGUUUCGGCUGCGUUUUGACCCGCCUAAGCCUUUUAACCGGUGAAAAUUUAUUUUAGAAUUUGAAGAAACGCUGUAUUUUUUCAAUAAGUGUAUUCUGUGCUGAUCAUUUUGGUGCACCCGAUUUAAUUUUUCGAGCAAAUUUUCGCCCGACUUUUUUGCAUAAUCAAUCAUUUUAUUUUUAUCCUUUCGCCAAAACAUUCAGAAAAUUGAAAUUUCCAUGUCUUCAUUUUAUUUUUACCAUAUUCAUUUUAGAAGUUGUGGAUUUUUAUUUGAUUUCAUUGAUCUAAAUUGUUUUAAGUCAAUUGAACCAUCUAGAAGGGGCACCUUUGAUAUUCUUAGAAUUAGUUAGCAUUUGUGUUUCUUUGGUUUAAUCUCGAUCGUUAAAUCGAGACUAAUCAAAGGUCUAUAAUAGUUAUCCAUGUGUGUUUCUAUUUACCAAUAAUAAAAUCAAAUAAUAUUAAUAUUAAUAAUAAAGAGAAAAAAUCCAUUUAUGGUUGUGUAAAUAAGGAUAGGUGGCUCUUUUUUCUCAAAUUUAGAAAAAAGAGAAAUGCUGAAAAUACUACCCUUUAGGAUUUUUUUCGGUGGCCUCUCGGAUCACUCUCAAACAAAAUUCAUAACAACUCAUUAUUGGCCAGGAGAAAAUGAGUUGUCUCCACUCAUAGCUGGAAAAGGAAUCCACUCUCUUUCUCUCUCUCAAAAGAGAACUCUGAAAAGAAAGAAAAAAAGAAUAGAUAUAUCUCAACGAGUACACAAAAGGAAAAAAAAAUCUCAUUCUGAAAAAAGACGUUACAUCCAUUUAAAUUUCUCUCUCUCACCACUCAUAAAAGAACUACCCAUUCACCUAACUUUCGGACUCUCUCUCACGGGUUCCUCACGUUACAAAAAGAUAAAAGGAAAAAAGAAAUUCAAAAAGGACUGACAAAAAACUCUCUCACCUGAUACCAUUCCUUCUCUCUCAUAAUAACCCUCUCUCUCUCUGACUUCCAAAAGGCAACCAAAAAAGAAAAAAGAAAUUGAGAGGAAUCUUCCUCUUCUUCGGAAUCUCAUCACUCUUCACCACCGGACCGCCUUCAACAACCUCCGUCGUCGAAAACCUCACAGCCAUAACUGCGCCCCCCUUCACCCUCCUUCAAACUCUCCGCUGGCGAAAAACAGAAACACCGCGAUCCUCUUUUUCAACACCGUCCAAACCCUUCGUCUUCGUCACAACCACACACCGCCAUCUCCACCGUCCAAAUCCCAUCUCCGUCUUCACUCAACUCACAACCGCAACCAACCAACAACACCGUGAAACCGUUUUUACGAAACGAAACUCAAUGAAUCUCCUUCCUCACGAAAUCACCGCCGCCACCUUCGACAUCUUACUGCCAUCCACAAUAAACCCUCACAACCGCCUCCGUUCCCCUCCCACACUUCCUUCGUGGCCACCGCAAAAGCCACCACGCGUCUUCUCCUUCACAUUCACGGACGUCUUCUCCUUCCGAUGUCGGAUUCAAACGCAACCAACCAGCCGCUCUACAACAAUAAGAGGAGCAUAGCACCAAAGGAAAUAAUGUAGAAGGAUGGGUCUAGCCGCACUCCGUUUCCAUUAUAAUUUCAAGUUCAUUUCUGACGAACUCACAGUCCUUCCAAUCACCACAAGGUCGUCGAACCCAUACGUAUAUCACUGUAAAUCUCAUGUUGAUUGGUUUAUUAUUGCUUUUGUUUUUUCCAAUUGGAGUAAGGUAGAGAUUAAAUCGAGGAUGCAAGGGUUUGUUUCAUCGGUCUUAAAGAUGAAAAAUAAUGUUCUGCAUUUUUAAAGAACGAAAGAAAGCAUAGUGGAAAUUUCUAACUUAUUAUGAGCCUUGAUUUUCCUAAUGGUAAUGUAAAAGUUAAACUGGAUUUUUACGUUUUGUUACUUGUUUGUUUGACUGAACUUUUUUUUAAUUAUUAUUACAUGACAAUAGAAUUAGUAUUUUGGUUGUAGAAAGAGUUGUCUGCAUAUAAUUCAUUAUGGGCUUGGUUUUCUUUUUAUCCAGGAAAAUUUUAGAUUGGAUCGAUAAUGCUUAAUAGUGUACAUUGAAUUCUUUCUUAAAUCACGUUUGGAAGGGUCCUGCAACUCUUUUUGUUUAUUUCAAACUUGGACAUCAUUGGUUUUAAAUGGUACUUUGUUUUAAUUAAUUGUAUUAGUAUCCCUUGUUCUAACUAAUUUAUUAGUUCACAACGUUACAACCAUUUUUCUCAAAUACAUGGUUGGUUCUACUAUUAAAAUUUAAAUUAGAUUAUUAAUUGCCUAAUGGAUUUUAUAGUGUAUAUGUAUAAAUCUGCUCCAAUCAUAUGGCGUUGUUGUUAACAUUC